AAGAAGAAGAAGAAGAAGAAGAAACUGGAUUGAUUGAAAAGAUGCCGAAUUAAAACAGAAGAAUAUGUAUACUGCAUGAACUGAUAAAUAAAUAAUUAUACUACAAAAUACAAUCUUUAUUCUUUGACCUGAAGCAUUUGGUUUAGGUCUGGAUCAGAACUAGCAGCAUCUUAGCCCAUAUCCUCAUUCACGCGAAUAGGUCCAAUCAGCCGGUAGGCUCAUUUACCUAUCGGCCCAAUCGGUUGUUAUUUACUUAUUUGAUUUUCUGUUUUGCAGUUGCAAAUUUCCCGCCGAAUUUUAAAGGUAAAUUUUGUUUUCCAUUUUAAUACAAACAAAACUACUAAAAUUAGAAUUCUUCAACAACAAACAAAAACGAUAAACAAAAUUCGAUUUAUCGUUUUGGAGGUUUCAUAUUUAUCAAAUAUAAAAUCUUUCUUCAUCAACCACAUUCCUCAAAUCAAAACCCAAAAGAUGAAGCAAUUCGCCGGACUUCUCUUCCUCUGCAUCGUUCUUCUCUCCUCACUCGCCGGAAAUGCUGAUUCCGAUCUGAUUUCCGAUCUGUGCAAGAAAACCGACGACCCAAAACUCUGUCUCUCGAGCAUACAGUCGCGUCCCGAGUCCGGCGAGUUCGCAGCCACCAGCAACCAGAUCGAGAUCAUAGCUAUCUCCGCCGUGUCGGCAAACGCCUCCGCCACAUCCGCCUACAUCAAGGAAAAGCUCAGCCGCGAGGAUCUUGAGCCGGCCACGGAGGACACGCUCGAGGACUGUCAGAAGAACUACCAAGACGCCGUUGAGCAGCUCGACGACUCCAUCUCCGCCAUGAUCGCCGACGCACACGCCGACGUCGACGUCUGGCUAAACGCGGCGAUCAGCGCCGUAGAGUCAUGUGGGAACGCGUUGGAGUCACGCGCCGGGAACGAUGUGGAGCUUUCUCAGAGGAACGAGGUUUUUCUCAAGCUUUGCAAAAACGCUUUGGUGAUUAACAAGAUGUUAACUUGAGCAGAUUUAAUUUUAAUCUCCAAAAAUUUGAGAGAUUAAUAAUAUUUGGUUCUUCUUUUUUUUUCAACUUGUUGUUGCUAUGAUUAAGAUGAGUUCGUUUGCAUCAAAGAAAAACAUCAAGAGCAGAUUGUUUUAUUAUUGUUUCAUGAUCAAAUACAAUGUCAUUUUUUUGUCAACCAAAGAAAAACUAAAACCUAAAUUAGAAAUAGUGAACCCAAGCAUAAUAUUAUAUUUUAUUUAUUUUUAUUUCUAAUAAAUAUAUAUAUAUAUAUUAUUUAUUUGUUUUAUUUCUAAUAAAUAUAUAAUAGUGAACCUAAGCAUAAUAUUUAUUUGUCUUAUUUUCAGAAUUUUAAACUUUGAUCUCUGAAUUUUAAUUUUUAAAUCCAAAAUUCUAAUUUUUAUACUCUAAAUCAUAAUCUAUAAACCUUAAAAAAAUUAAAAUAAAAACUAAAUCGUAAAUUAGAAUCUUUAUAUAUAUUAUUUAUAUAUAUAUAUAUAUAUAUAUUUAACAAAAUCUUUGAUUGAAUAUUUAAUUUUUUAAUUUUAAUUUUUUAAUUUUCUUUAAAAAUAAUAUUACAUGGCAGAUUCUCAUUGGCUUAAAUGAAAGAGGGUGAAUGAAUGAAUUCACCCAUAGGGAUGAACCCAAAAAUUUUCCAUAAUUUUUUAAUUUUAAUUUUUUAAUUUUCUUUAAAGAUAAUAUUAUAUGACAGAUUCUUAUUGGCUUAAAUGAAAAAAGGUGAAUGAAUGAAUUCACCCCUAGGGGUGAACCCAAGAAUUUUCCUUGUUUUUAUUAUUGUUUCAUGAUCAAAUACAAUGUCAUUUUUUUUUGUCAACCAAUGAAAUACAUGUUUUGACAAGAAAAAAAAAAUACUUGUUACCAUUUUAAAACCCGACCCGAAUGGACACUGUCUAUUGGGCUUAAAUUGUGAAAGCCGCUAUUUGGUUUAUAAUCGGGUCCAUCUUAUAUUUCCAAUUGGUUUAAUUAGAUGAUAAUUUUGUCUGGAUAAACUUUUUUGAAAAAAUAUCCAUUUCGAUCAAAUGAACAAAUGAACAAUUCAGUUUCUAUCCAUUUAUUUGGUCUAAUUAAGAUGAAAUUGGAUCGAUUUGGUUUAUUUAAUUUAAACAUCCUUGCCUUCAAGUCUUCAACUAUAAAAUCUCAUGGACAGUAUGAUUAGGAGGUGUGGAAAAAAUGUGUAAAAGCAAAACAAAGGUGGAUAGUUGAAAUCCAAUAAAAACGGAACCAAUGGUGGAAACCUACUCGACCCAUCAUGAAAUUUUUCUAGUCAAAUUGUUUUACCAAACUCCAACUUCAUCGUUGACCUACCACAUUCAUAACGUAAUCAAUUAUUUUGAUCUAUCUAUAUUAAACCAAUAUUAAUAAACAACUGUUUUCUAACAAAAAAAAAGGUGCAUUAGGAUAAUCAAUUGUCAAGUUUUGAGAUACAUAUUCAGGAUUCAAGUCUGAUAUUUUUCGGAAAUAUACGGACACGAUCCAUUUGGACAUCAUUUCAAAGAGGUUGCUUGUAAGAUGGGGUGUUGGAUAGAUUCUAGAUUCAAUGUCCCACAAAUAGACAAAACACAGAUACCUUUCUUCUCCACCUGGAUAAAUUGUAUAUAUACACUUGUUCUACGCUUUAAUAUUUUAUUUCCCAAAAAAAAGUUAUUUUUUCUUGUUAUUCAUCACUCAAGAUGUAAUUCACAAUCACAUUAUUAUAAAGCUUACUAAAUAUACAGUGGGUGUAAGAAAGAAGCUUUAAUUUUAAAUACUAUUAUUAGAUAUAUACCUAUGUUCACAUAAUUCAAACAACUUGCACAUCAAAGAUGAGAUCAUAAGAGAAAACUUGCACUCUUGUAAAGUAAUUCAAGAUUCCACUAAGACCCCACCUUGUUGCAUUUCCUCUUAACAAUGAUAGAAUCUUGCUUUUUAUUUGCUUUUUUUUUCAAUUAUUUAUGGAUAAAACUAUAUUUUUAUCAACCAACUUGAUUAUACUUAAUAUUAGAAACAAUCUGGUUUUCAAGUAUAUGAUAUCCGAGAAAUUCUUGUAGUUUUUUAUAACCAAAAAAAAUCGAAACACGAUUGCAGUUAUAGUGGUUACUGGUUAGUUAAGGAUUUGAAUUUUACUGACCCCAGAAUCAAGUGUGGUGAAGGACAUGGAAGAAAAUAUAAAUAUGCAUAGAUUUUGAUUCGUUGAAUUUCGAAUAUGUGGGAAAUGGAUGGGAGAUUCAAGUUGAAGAAGACGAUGAAGUUUGGAAGUUGCAAAGGAGUGGGCAAAGGAACCAAGUUGACAUAGAAUGCACGCAAAUCUAUGCGAGUGCUGAAAAGAACACUUCUCUCACAUUAAUCUAUACAAUUCUUCUGUCACUCAAAUUGAUUUAAACAAUUUUAUAUGUACAAAAUAUUUGUAAAGUAGAUAGAUUUGCCUAUCUUGGAAGCACACAAAUUCCAAUUGCUUCCAUCACACUCCAACGCCAAUCUCACAACCUAUGGUAUUAAAUUUAAAACGCAUUGUGAAACUCUAGAUUUAGAUUCAUAAUAAAUCAAGAUUUUCAUAUGUAGACACUAUCUAAGCACUCAGUAUCAAGUUAUUAUGCAUCAACAAUAACUAAUUGGAUGGUUACAUGUAGUGCACACUGUUUUUAGGCUAAGAUCAUUAGAAUAGUUUUAUGGAAUUAAUAAAGUUAAUACCAGAAAUAUUCUAUGCUAAGAUCAAUCUAUACUUUGAAAAGGAGAAAAGAAGAAAAACAAAGAAAAGGAUAAUUCAUUCGUUGGGGGUAAUUAUGUAAAUGAUAAACCACAUCGAACCCAAGAAAUGUUGAAGUAUCUCUAAAGUCUGAAAUUACGUUGGAAGAGAAGAAGACUAGAGAAGUAUCCAAUAAAUGGGACACACGCCCCAUAUUAGAGAAUAGAGACUAGUGCCCAGUUCGUGAAAUAAGACAAGGAACAUAGCACCAAACACUUCACUUUCUCAGUUUCUCUCUCUCUCAACCAAAAAAAAAAGGAAACGAAACCUUUCAAAUGACGUAAAAGCAAAACACUGACUUUGCUUCCCCGGAAUUACCAAUCCAAGAAACGCUAAUGAUUCCUCCCUCCAUUAAACAACUCCUCUCUCUAAACCCAAAUCUCAAUCCUUCUCUCUUUUGAUUCUGUUCGCUUUUAACCCACACAUACAGAUUAUACAUAGUUUCGUAUGUGGAAGAAGAGUGUAUGCCAGAAAAAUCCCCCCUUUCUCUCCAUAACCUAAAUCACUCGAUCAUAAGUAGAAGAAAAAGGUAAACUUUUUUUUUGGGUGAUUUUAUAUGGUAAGAAGAGGAGAAAAGAGCAAACCUGGGAAAGUCAGGGGAGAAUUUGCUGGAGGGUUUAUUGGAUUGUAUCCAUGACAUCACAUCGGCUUUGGCUUUCGCUAGGAUGACUGAUUCUGCUUAUAGAGUUGACACCAUUUCCAGGCUCGCCCAAUGGCGAAUCCACAACCUUUCUUCCUCCACUUACCGCAAGUCCGAUCCUUUCAAGAUGGGUCUCUGGAAUUGGUAUCUCUCUCCUCUCUCUCUCCUUCCUUCUUUCCUUUUUUCAUGACCCGACAUGAAUGAUGGCGAUGAAUGAAACAAAAGUGGGCACCUUUUUUUCUAAUUGAUGUGUUUGGUGAUUGAUUUUGACAAUUUGGUGUGUUGAUUAUAUCCAAGGCAUUUGUCUGUGGAGAAAAGCAAGAUGCUAUUAAAUGUUAAGUUGUAUCCAGAGGUAUCAAACCUCACCAGAGAGAAUCCACCUGUUGCCUCCUUUGCUCUUCGUGUUGUCUCUUCUGCCGGUGAAAGGAAAGCUUUAUCUCAUCCAGGUCAAUAAGAUCUUGCUAUUUGAUUUUUUGGUUUCCCCUGCUUUUGUUCCUGUUCCACUUAAGAUGAAUCAAAAUGCUGACACUAUUUCUUUCACGAAUUUGUAUACCCGAAUGCAGAAGUAAUAGAUAAGCGGAUCAAGACAAACGAAGAUUUUCUUUGGACGAUUGAAGUUCCCUUAACUGGAAAAAUCAUCAUCGAUGUUGAGUUUCUAGACCUGAAGGUUCUGUCUCAAGAUGUAAGUGUUUCCAUCACUUCAGAGAUGUUACUAAGAAGAACCUUAUAUAUGUUUGGUGUGUUUAGUUGAUACUUAACUGAAUAUGGCAGAGUGGAGAAUUCUACUCAAUCUGGGAAGACGGUUCAACGCAGAAUCAAUCCAAAGCGUCAGCAGUAACAUCCCUUGGACGUAUGUUGGAAGAAAGCAUUUACACAGACAUAAUGAUCAAUGCCUCUGAUGGAAGCAUUGGAGCUCACCGAGCUGUUCUUGCUGCACGUUCACCUGUUUUCCGCAGCAUGUUUCUACAUGACCUUAAAGAGAAAGAGCUCUCAGCGAUCAACAUGCCCGACAUGCCUCUUGAUGCUUGCCAAGCGUUCCUCAGUUAUAUCUAUGGCAAUAUCCUGAACGAAGACUUUCUUAUCCAUAGAUUAGCUCUCCUCCAAGCAGCAGAUAAAUAUGAUAUUGCUGAUUUGAAAGACGCGUGCCACUUGAGUCUUGUAGACGAUAUCGACACAAAGAAUGUUCUUGAGAGGCUUCAGAAUGCUUAUCUCUACCAGUUACCUGAGCUCAAGGCUAGCUGCAUGAGGUAUCUUGUGAAGUUUGGUAAGAUAUUUGAGAUCCGUGAUGAGUUCAACAUAUUCAUGCAGUGCGCAGACAGAGAUUUGAUUUCUGAAGUUUUCCACGAAGUUCUCAGUACCUGGAAAGGAUUUUAGGGGGGAAUCAGAAAGGGUAUGUGUGCUAUUAUUAUUAUACAAGGACUAUUUUUUUGUGCAGAAGGAUUUGUUGGUCUUUAUGUACAGAUUAAAGUGUUGUCAGGGUUUUAACUCAAAACCCCCAAGUAUUGUCCUUGCAAGGAUAAAAACAGCAACAUGUAAAUUCAUGAUUUGAUUGAAUGCGAGAGCUUCUUAGCUUGAACUUUGGAUUGUUGGUCCAUAACACUAAUACUGUAUAUAGUUAUCAGUCUUAUGCUUUUAAAGUAAAAGUUUGAAAUCAGUUCUAAGUUCCAAGCAGGAUACCAGGCAAAGAGAUUCUAAUAGGGAUCAAAGGCUUAUUCUAGAGUUAGGCCAAGCUAAACUUUAUAUAUCCUCUCAUACUCUGUUAUAAUAGUACCAUUCAUCAUACGAGCAAAUGCCACAGGAAUAAUUUUAAGUGAUUUUGCAAAACUAAGCUACUAGUAACAUAUCAAAACCAUCACUCUAUAAACAUGACAACUAAACGUCUUAUAAUGUACAAUAUAUCUUAUAAGAUAUAGAGUGAUAUGGUUUUGAUAUGUUUGGAGAAUCAUGAAAUUUUGUACAAGAAACAUUAUAAAAAAACUUUUAGUUGUCAAUCUUUUUAACAUGAUUAUCAAUGAGUUCAUUUUGCAGCACAUUACAAGAAUCCAUAUGCCAUUUGACCUGAUUCGUAAUUAUGUGUUCCAAGCAGGAUAAGAGAUAUACUUAUAGUAUGUACAGAUGGUCAAGUUAGGCCGAGCUAAACAUUUCUAUAGAUAUGUAUCCUCCCUUAAUCUAUAAUCUCCGCACGGUUUUAAAAUGGUCAUCACAUAAGCUAAACAAUUCAUAAAUGCAACAGGAAUGGUUCAGUUUCAGAGAAUUCUCUAUACAUAAGCCCUUGUGCUAUUUAACAUUUUCAUUAAUUUAUCAAAAAGAGAAAGACUAGAAUCUGUGAUCAUACUUGAUACUAUACAUAGAUACCGUUGAUGCCGAACAUAAGCUUAGCGACAAUGAUAGCAGAGAUAAAAACACACCAAAAGGAACGAUCUGAAUCAAGCCAAUCACCGAAACCAAAGCCCUCGAAAGCGGAGAGUAAACCAAAGCGAAAGGUGUAAAGGACGUGUUUAGUGUCCAUGGUAUACCCAAAGGCAAUCCAAAGCGAAAGCCCAAACUAAAUUGGGCUUAACGUAGAGUUGAGCUGGAAGAUGGCGAUCCCAAAGGCAAACACGGAGCAUAUGUAGAUCAAAGCAUCGAUGGUCGAGUAAUAGUAAGGGAAAUAAAACAUGGCUACCAUAAGAAUCACAGAGUAGCCCGCACGUGUAGCAGGAAGAGGAGGCUCGUUUGGAUGCGAAUAAUAUUGUGGGACACUUCGCGAUAUCUCCCUUGUCGUGGCAUUGGAUUUUAAAGAUUCUAUCUCAAAAAAACACAUUAUCGAAGGAAGAGAUAAUAGUGCUGAUUUGAGACGUCCAUAACCUAUACCUAGGCCAUUCCACCGGUUUUAAGAUUGCAUCAAGAGCAGCUGCACAAUCAGUCGCUAUCGUUAUAUCCAUCAAGUGAAGAUCCCUUAGGCUUUGCAAUGCUCAGAUAAUACCUCUUAGCUCUGCUGUUAUUCGGUUAUGAAAGCAGGUCAAGGCAUCUCUUGCGUGAAACAGAACAGUACCUGAUGAGUCUCUUGCAAGCCACGCAACACCACUAAGUAGAGAGGCACUUCUCCAAUUGGCAUUCACAUUACAUUUCACGGUACCUGGAGGAGCACUUCUCCAAUUGUUUAUGUACAGAUUAAAGUAUUGUUAGGGUUUUAACUCAAAACCCCCCAAGUAUUGCAUAGUUAAUUAGUUUUUCUUUUGCAAAUCAAAGGGCAUCAAACAUUUUCAAACCAAUAACACCAACCAAUCAAUUGUUUUCACUCAGCUUAAAGAAUGUCAAUAGUAACAAACAGCUUAUGAUCAUGUUUUUGAGUAGAAAACAUUCCACAGCUCCCAUAAUUCUGCAUGGAAGAGAGCAUAUAAGGUGAUUAAAAGUUUUGGUGUACACAGAGACAGAGAUGGCAGAAUCAAAAGGACACAAUAUGAGCAAAAUAAAUGUCAGUCGUACAAAUCUUUAGUGUUUCUUUUUCUUUUGGUUAUUUCUGUUUCAGCCAGCCAGAUACGAAAGUGGCAUUUGCCAUUUGUUAUGCAUACUACACGAUUAGUGAAUAACAAAAAAAUAAAUAAAAGUUUUAAGAAAGAAUUAAAUAUAUAGGACAAAUAAACCUAACUAUUGUUAAAUUUUGUCCCAUUAAUACUUCUACUAAUAAUUUAACCUUUUCUACCCUUCUAAUUCGAAUUUACCCAUAUAAUUAAAAUUUAUGAUAUAAAAUUUAUUCUAGAAAGAAAGAAAUAUAUUCGAAAAAGAAAGAAAUAUAUUCUCUAGAUCUGAUUAGGAAAAAAAUAAAAAAUUUAAGAAAAUAAUUAGGAAAUUAAAUAAUUGGAAAAGGAAAUAAAUAUAUUCUCUAGAUCUAAUCCUAGAUUCUCGGAGAUUCAGUUAACCAAAUUGUAGAAUAAGUAUUCUAUAAUUAUAGAACAAAGAGUUUCCGUAGAAAACAAUUCUACUAAGAUAUAGAACAAAGAGGUAAAUAUAGAAAGAUAAUUCUACUAAACUGUAGAACAAUGAAAAAGUUAUAGAAUACGGUUUCAUAACUUUGUAGAACAUAGAAGAACUGUAGAUAACUAAUUCUAUAUAUUUAGUAGAAAACUAAUGAAAUAGUAGAUAGUCUAUUCUAUAAAUUUAUAGAUUUAUAGAAUGCACUUUCUACUAAUUCAUAGAACAUUUGUAAAAAGUUGUUUAAAAUUUUUUUUUGGCAAAAAGAUGUUAUGAAAUGUUUUUGUCUUCCCUUUUCAGAAUGAUCCAAAAUUUUUUAGAUUAUAAAAUUUUUUUUUAAAAUUUUUGUAAUUGUAAAUUAAUGGUAUUUUUAUCCAAAAGUGGUCAAGUUUGAAAAAGUAUUAAGGGGACAAUACUACAGUUUUUUUGUCCUAUAAAUAUAAUUGAAACAUAAGAAGGUCUAGACCCCUAUAUGAAAAUGAUAAUCUAUAAUUAAGUGGCUCUAACUCAUAUGGUUACGGAAUUAUGAAAGACCAGUGGCGGAGGUAUAUACAAUGAGUUGGGGGCAGUUGCCCCCAAUAAAAAAAAAUAUUUAGUGUAAAUUUGUAACAAUAAUACUAGUUGCCCCCACACUAAAUAGCAUAUAUGUUCCCAUUAAAUACGUUUUGUCCCUAAUAGAAAAAUGUUCUGGCUCCGCCACUGUGAAAGACAUCAGUGUGACUUGAAGCAAUGCUUUGUUUACUUCAAAGUUUGAUAUUCUGUGUAUAAUUAAAAAGUUUAGUCAAAAUCAUGAAUUUUCACUCAUUAUCCAUAUAUAAUCUAUAGAGAGACAAUGGUCACGUACGUAACAUUGUCGUUAUUUGACAAAAAAAAACCGUUUGUAUAUCAGAAUAAAACGAGAGAGUAUCUGUUUGGUUUAUAAUCAUACGUUAUUAUACAUAAUUAGACAAAAAUAGAUCGUAAAUGCUUAGGAAACAAAAUAGAUCAUCAUAGAUAUAGGUAAUUAACGGGGAAAAAACAAGAAUUCAUAGCCAAAAAAGAAAGAAAGGAAGUUUUAUAUAUUGAAUGCAGCUAUAGAAAAUACGAAGAUCCAAAAUGAUUGAUUCCUAUUUCCCAUUACGUUUUGGGUUAUAAUUACAAGUUUCUGAAUCAUAUAUUUCCAAUCGAUCGAAUCCAAAAGAAGCAAAACGAAAAGAAAAAAGAAAGAUGUUGAUGUGGGACUACUAAACAAACUAAAUUGGGCUUGACCAUCUGCUAGUAGUAGUCCGGGCUAAUGUCGAUCCAGCCUAAUUUCUUUCAGCCAUCUGCAACGGGGGACUUGCCUGGGAAGCUCAGCGACGACAGCUUCAGCCGGCGGGGGAGGUGGAGUGUUCAGGACUGCCAAAAGAAGCGAGAAGCAUACGCUUAGGACUAGAAUGUAAUGCUUCUUUGGAUAUUCUGCGACUGAGACGGUGAAGGCAGCAAUGAGGACUCCCUGGGCGAUUCCAAUGUCAUCGGUGAUUUUGUUGAUGACCCAGAACGAUAGUAGAAAGAGAAAGUAAAAGAUAGCGGAGAUGGCUAUAUACACAUCUUUCUCUGCCACCAUUCUUUUCCCCAGCCAGAGGAACAAAAAGAAGAAUCUAAUCGUAGUGACUCCCUUGAAGAUAGUGAAUGCACAAUCCCCAAAUUUAACAAGGAUUUUUUGUCGUGCCUUCCGUUACAAAUUGUGGAAUCCAAAUCAAGCAAAAGGAAACCAAUAUCACAUCGGCGAAAUACAUUGCUUCAUCGCCAGAGUGAUUCUUGCAAUACACCGAUUUUUUUAAAAAAAAGUUGUAGAGAUGAGCAGAUAAGCAGCAGCUUGAUACUUGGGAUAAAUAGAACCCAAGAAAACCUGUGAUGCGAGCGGCUGGGUUCAGACUUGGAAAUCGGAUGGUGUACCUGGGAAAAGCUGGAUUUCCGGCCAUGAGUAUUUGGAAAGAAGAAAAUGUAUUGGAGGAAGACAAAGAAAAUGUAUUGGAGGGAAGAACCAGAGGAAUUUAUAAAUCGACGCUGAUAUAAAUGAUAUUAAUGGGCCGGGUCAGUUUGAUUAGAGGCCUUAGAGAUUCGAGUCCUUAAAUUCUUGUCCUCAAAAAAAAAACCUCGAUCUUCAAAUCCCUUUCAUGGUUUAGUCUUGGAAAUUCGAUGGGGAAAAGCUGGAUUUCCGACCAUGGAUGAAUAAAGAGAAAGGCUCUUGGAUAUUUGGAAAGAAGAAAGAAUUAGUGAAUUUGUCCGCGCCUUGCACGAGCUGAUAUUAUUUUUUAUUUGAUUGUUUAAAAAUGUAAUAUAGUUUAGAUUAAUUUUUUUAUUCUUUAUUAUUGUAUAUAUUUGUUUGUUAGAUUUCUUUGCAUUUUAAUGUUUAAAAACAUGAUGUUGACUAUAAAUACUAUCAUUGUCUUUUUUUGUCCAUUUGGCUGAUAUGUUUUUUGAACAAGACUACAAACUAUAUAUAUAUACAUAUUUAUAAUAAUCAUAGAACAUAAUGAUUUGAAGUAUCGUACAAAUUUAUUCGAAGAAUAAAAUAAGAAAUUAAACAAUUUAGAAGGAUGUGAGAGAAUUAGGGAGAAAUUGUGUACAUAUUUAUACUAAAACAUUUGAAGUCAAAAACCGUAAUAGAGACAUGACAAAUUCCGUUAUUCCAUUAGAUAUUCUAUUUAUUGAUUUUUACUUUUUCGUUUAUUUGACUGAAUAUCAAUUAACUAAAUUAGAAAACGGUUUGAUUGACAGUGGACUGAAACAUUAAACCACAAUAAUUUAGAGCGGUAUGUUUUAAGUUAUUGUAAUACAUUAUCAGAUAAAAAUUAAUAAAAAAUGACACUUAAUUGGAAAAUAGGGUUAAAAAGUCUUUUUGCGUCGAAAUUCAUUCUAGAGUUGACACAUAAGCAAAACUUUUUGAAACUUGAUGAGAAACCGAGACCUAAGCUUUUCACUAUACAAAUAGUAUAUAGAAUUGGAGGAAGACGAAUUAAGAAUUGGAGGAAGGAAUUUAUUAAAUCGAUGCCGAUAUGAAUCCUUGUGUUGAUGUUAAUGGGCCGGAUCAGUUUGAUUAGAGUCUCACGGGUCCUUUAAAAUCCCACAAAAUGCCUCUUUCCCGUUCUCCUCAAAAAAAAAACCUCGAUCUAUCUUAUGACCUUUCAUGAACUUAGUUUUCGCAUAGUUUCGAUGGAUUUUUCCCGAUAUAUUGGCAAACCUGAGACGAAUUUUACCGCGUUUUAGAACUUUUGGCGUAUCUGCUCGAUAUGGCGGGUGGGCAAGUGGAGAAGCGAGUCAGAUUGCAGCGCUUUUUCUAAGUAAAAGUUUGAAAUCAGAUUGCAGCGCAUUUUCUAAUUACAAGUGCCAUUAACCUUAUUCAUAUGCAUGAAUGAUUCUGAGUUUCAAGCAGGAUGAUACCAGGCAAAGAGAUAGAUGCCAUUGGGUUUACUUUCCCUACCAAUUAAUCCACAGCCCAUAGGCCUAACUUAGGCCUAACUUAGGCCCAACUUAAGCCCAAAAUGCUCUAUCUUCCGAUCGUAUCACUGUCGUUACCACUCGUCGCCGACAUAUCAAACACGGCACAACUCCCGUCGAUCUGAGAAUCCCCGUCGUAGCUGGUCAUAAAAGAAUAAAACUCACAAUAAUAUAUUAUAGAAGAAGAAGCUUCUGUUUCGAUCAUAUCGGUUACAAAAUCUAAAUUUGUUGUUGUUGUUGUUGUUGUUGUUGUUUUGUUAACAGGUUUACACACGAUCGUCAGUAAGGUAAUCUCAUCGUCCAUGGAUUUUGUUGCUUAUUUUCGAACUACUCUAAACCCUAGAUUCCAAUUUUUGCUACAUCGCCUAUAAUUUUGAUUGAUUUUGACCGAUUUAGGGAACAUAUCUGCUGGAUAUGGCGGGUGGUGGGCAAGUGGAGAAGCGAGUCAGAUACAAGAGCUCUGUCAAGGAUCCGGGAACUCCUGGAUUUCUCAGACUAGUAAGAUUAAUCCACGAACAACUGGUGAAUUCUCGAUGCAUUUUUUUUCUUCUGCUUUCAUAUGUUUCAAUUGAUAAAAUUUCGCAGACGGAAGCAAUGUUGCUAUUUGUCCCAAACGAUCCGAAAUCAGAUUCAAAGCUUAAAGUGCAGACUCUAAACAUCAAAAGUAUGUAUGCCAAUUUACACCAGGUCUUAUUUGGAUAAGAGAUAUAAUCUGUUUUCCUCUUGUGUUUCUCGUUUCUUCAGUUUCUCCAUUGUAAAAUUUCUCAGGUCAAAAAUAUACAAAAGAAGGAUCAAACAAACCUCCUUGGCUUAAUCUGACCAACAAGCAGGUCUUUUGUUGGCCUUUUUGCUGAAAGCUUAGAUGUGUGCAUUUUGAAAGCUUAUUCUGUGUGUUUUAUGAGGCUUCCUAAUCUUUUUGAUCACAGGGAAAGAGUCAUAUCUUUGAGUUUGAAAAUUAUUCGGAUAUGCAUGCUUGCCGUGAUUUCAUCAGUAAGCUCUUUGUGCCGAUGGUUUUCUUUUAUUUAGUGGAAACUACCUUCUAUUGGUUUCUUUCAGUGGUACUGAAACCAUUUUACUAUGAACAGCUAAGGCCCUUGCUAAAUGUGAAGAGGUGCCUAAGAAAUCAGCUGUCUCGACAUCAACUGAGCAGCUCAGUAUUGCAGAACUGGAGCUACGCUUCAAGGUUCUCCGAGAAAAUAGGUAUGCAAUCGGAACACUAGGUUACCUUUUGGGAUCCUUAGAGUUUCUAUUUUCAUAAGUUCAUCGAAUUCCUUAAAACAUAAGUAGUGCAUGCAUGAUAUGUAGUGAGCUGCAAAGAUUGCAUAAGCAAUUUGUGGAAAGUAAAGUUUUAACGGAAGAUGAAUUCUGGGCUACAAGGAAGGUUGGUUCUUUGUAGUUUCUUUGGUUCUCAAUUAUCUGUUUGUUUGAGUGUAAUCAUAGUUACCAGCUUUCUUCUGAUCGCAGAAAUUACUUGGUCAAGUUUCCACUGGAAAGUCAAAACAACAAGUCGGGCUCAAGAGCAUGAUGGUAUCUGGCAUCAAACCAUCUACUGAUGGGCGGGUAUGGUAUAUUUCACUCUACCCCUUCCUGAGAGUCAUCCUUUUCGGUUAAUAAGUUCAGUGCAUGCUUUUGUAUGAAAGAAACAAUGCACCUGUAUAAGUAAACUAUGUUGUGUUUGGUUGAAGUCCAGCCGCUUGCUGUUAUAUAUCGUACAAUUCAUCUGGUUUAUACUAACCACCUUCUUCAAUGUUUUUUUUUUCAGACUAAUAGGGUGACGUUCAACUUGACAUCAGAGAUCAUUUUUCAGGUCAGCUCUUUGGUUGACUAGGUUCUCCACUGAUUUAGGUGCUCUAUAGGGUCAGGAUAAGUUUUACGGUGAACGAGGUCCAUGUUUCAAUUGGUGAUAUUUUCUGUCAUAAAUUAUGUUAUGUGUGGUUCCAUCUGCAUCAUGUGUUUGAACUUACAAACUCCAAAGCGAAACUACAAGCGAGGGAUAGAGACAUUUAUAAUAGCCUUUCAGUUCACCUUCUAUUUUGCGCUGGCUUAGUCCUUAGAUCUGCUGUAAGAAUAGUUGAAUGUUGCUUCACUCAUGCUACUGUCCAUGUCUCACAUAUGAUUCUUUCAUUACGCUUUCAGAUUUUUGCUGAGAAACCAGCUGUUCGGCAGGCAUUCAUAAACUAUGUUCCGAGUAAGGUAACAAAGCCUUCAUGACUAUGACUAUCUUUGUUUAUAGGUUUAACCAUCAAAUCCGACAAAUCUUAAAUGGUUUUUGGUAGUUUUUUACUACGACAGAUGACAGAAAAGGACUUUUGGACAAAAUAUUUUAGAGCAGAAUAUCUUUACAGCACCAAAAAUACAGCAGUAGCUGCAGCAGAAGCUGCUGAGGACGAGGAACUCGCGGUUUUUCUGAAGCCUGAUGAGAUAUUGGCUCGGGAAACUCGUCAGAAGGUUAUUUUGCCUCUACAAUUAUUCAUUUCUCUGUAUUUUAUUUGAGAAGAAAACAUUUUUUUGCAUAUUUAUCUGAUCUGAAUGUCAUUUAUGUAGAUUAGACGAGUUGAUCCGACUCUUGACAUGGAGGCUGACCAGGGAGACGACUACUCUCAUCUAAUGGUAAGCCAACUACCACUGCAUUAGAUGUAUGUUGGACACUGCGUCAAGUGAUUUGUUUUCUAAAAUCCUCAGACCCUGUAUAAGCUGUUAAAUCAAGAAAUUUAGGUUCUUACAAAUGUAAAUUCUGGACUACGCAACUACGUUUGAAUUAUCUGAUCUACUUCUAUUUCUUUGUGCCUUACAAAUUAAAACUACUGCUUUUAUCUUAUACACUAGGACCAUACUUUAAUAUUAGCUUGUAUAGGAAUGUGUUUCAUGCUGAUAUCUAGAAAAUAGGGAUCUUGAAAUCCAAUUUGCGGAUCAUAUCUUCACAUCAUGUGCUUAAUGUAAAUUUACUUUCCAACAGGACCAUGGGAUUCAGCGUGAUGGCACCAAAGACGUUGUUGAAUCACAGAAUGACCAAUUUAGGAGGUCACUGUUGCAAGAUCUUAAUCGCCAUUCUGCUGUUGUAUUGGAAGGCAGAAGCAUUGGUAAAACACUUCUACUAGAGCACCUAUUCUGAUUUCUUCAUCUGAUAUUCUGUGUAACGUCAUGAGAAAUAACUGCAACUGACUCUUACAGCUAGUUCGUAAAGGUUAAAUAUAUAAUGAUGCGCACUUGUACUUUUUUAAUUGAAAAGCAGAUGUUGAGUCAGAAGAUACGAGGGUUGUUGCAGAGGCUCUGACACGGGCCAAACAAGGUUUGCUGUUUCAUUCUGCUAUGUCCUACUUUAAUAUUCUUGCAGAUUGAUGACCGAUGCCACACGUUAUUAUAUUCAUCUGACUUCAGUAUCCAUCUUUAUUACUUUUGUAGUUAGCAAAGCUGAUGGUGAAACCACCAAGGACGCUAAUCAGGAUAGAUUGGAGAGAAUGUCUCGGACAGCGGAAAUGGAGGAUCUUCAAGCACCACAAAAUUUCCCGUUAGCACCGCUAUCUAUCAAGGUUUGGCUUUCUGCCAUUAAAGGGUUUUCAGUGUUGAUGAUGGAUGCUUCAUAAAUCCUCUAACCCUUUCUUUUUUUUUUUUUGGAAUUUAGGACCCUCGUGAUUACUUUGAAUCUCAACAAGGAAACGUCCUCAAUGAACCUAGAGGAGCAGGGGCAUUAAAUAGAAAUGUCCAUGAAGCUUAUGGGUUGCUAAAAGAAUCCAUUUUGGAGAUUAGAACUAAAGGAUUAAGUUAUCCGUUGAUUAAAUCAGAAGUUUCCUUUGAGGUGCUACUCUAUCUCAUGAUAAAAUGUGUGCUUACUAAAAGAAACCAUGGCUUAUUGCUUUGGUGCCUGCGCUAAACAUUGCUAACCUAUUCAGGUUUUCAGUUCGUUAACCCAAACUAUCUCAACUGCCAAAAAUAUUAUCGGGAAGAACCCGCGAGAGAGCUUUCUGGACAGAUUACCAAAGUCCACCAAGGAUGAAGUUCUACAUGUAAGUCAUAAGUAACAAUAACACCUAUGGAUUCUGUUGUCCCCUCAAAAUGGAUCACAAGAGUACUUUUUCUUUUUUCUUUUUCUCUUUCAUCUACAGCACUGGACAUCAAUACAAGAAUUACUGAGACAUUUUUGGUCAUCUUACCCAAUAACAACCACAUAUCUUCACACGAAGGUAAAUUUGUUCCCAUUUCAUAAUUCUCCUAAUCCCAGAAUUUGCUAUAUACAAAUAUUCACAACUUAUUUUACUCCAAGAGCAAGAUCGUAUACUAGGAUAUUAUGUUUUACUAUGCAGGUUGGUAAACUGAAGGAUGCAAUGUCCAAUACUUAUUCACAACUCGAUGUAAGCUAUGAAAUUCUUCUUCAAGUCUUCCUGAUAUAAUAAGCUACUCGUAGUCUAUUAGAACAGUCGUUCCAAAUCUCUCCAUGCCAGUAAUUGCAUAUGGUCUAGUGUGUGCGUUCGUGUACGGGUUCCUUGAUAUUAAUCUGCAUGUAACUCAGGCAAUGAAACAGUCGGUGCAAUCUGAUCUCCGGCAUCAGGUUUCUUUACUGGUUCGGCCAAUGCAACAGGUUAGCCUCUUCCAAUACUUACAGAAGAAGUUUUAUGACAGCAUCUCUCGAUCGGUUAAGUCUCCACACGCAUUGUAUCGGAUCUAUCCGAUUUAACCAUCCAAUCCAGGCACUACAUUGUAAUCCGGGUAACACAGUGAAAUCUGAGUGAUCUUAACCCGUUUUGUCCAUCAGGCCCUUGAUGCUGCGUUCCAACACUACGAAACAGACUUGCAGAGAAGAACCGCUAAGAGCGUUGGAGGCAGCAGCAGCGAAAGACCAAACGGGGGCGUUUAGAAGACAACACGCAUCUUUGUUUUGUUUCACAAAGUGUAAUUGAUGUUUUUGAGAUUUUUCUUUGGUUGCUUUUUGUCCGAUCAUUGAGAAUACAAACAAAAGGCGGUUAUAUUGUCUAAUCGAGGCGCUUUGUACUUGAAAGAGCAAUUUUCUUCAACAUCAUUCUCGAACUAAAGUACCCACUGAAUAUAAUUUAGCUUUUGAAGUGUAGUAGAUAAGAUUCUCCAGAGGACCUUAAGAUUGUUGCUUGAGUUACAAGAAACCUCCCGAUGCCUAGUUACAAUGAACAAUAAUAAUAGGGAGAGGCUUCUGUUUACAUAAAUUUCAAUGGGAUAUGACAAUGAUCAAAUUACAAAACAAACAUUCCAGAUUGGAAAGAGAAAAAGAAAAAAAAAACUUCGAAGAUAAAGAAAGAUGCAAGACUAAGUCCAAUACAUAACCUAUAAGAAAUAAAUUUUUAAUCCAAGAUUCAAAUACAUCAUCAAAGUUUUUUGUAGUUUGAUGGUGGACUUCAUUAACCAUGCGAAUCACACACUUGCCGUGGAGAUGGGACAACAAGAGGUCCACUUCGAUUUAAGCUAAAAAUCUAUACUAUUAAAUCAGCAUAUUUAACUAAAUAUCAUAUCAGUAAUUCACAUAUAAUACAUAAGGGACAUUCGAAAUUAAUUCAAAAAAAAAAAAAAGGUAAAAUGGCCAAUCAAAAAAAAUUAUUUUGAGUCCGAAUAACUCUAAUUAUUAUUUUAUUUUUGGUCACAAAACGCGAAUAAUAACUCUAGUUAUAUAUAGUGUUUUUUUUUCUUCUAUAUACACUUGUAGUUGUAGUUAGUUAACAGGACAAAUUAAAAUGAUGUAAAAAACUAUAAAGAUAAAUGAAAAUAUGAGGAAUAAAUUUAUGAUCUCUUCGAUUUGCAUUCUUUUGAAAAAAGCUAAACUUGUCUUCUUCAACGGAUGAAAAUUUAGUAGCGAGAAGGAAACUUCCUAGCUCACGCUCUUCACUUCAAUCUGAGAUCUCAUCGCAACUAAAUCACACAGAGAUCACAAAUCUCGUGAAGUGAAACUUUUUAAUUGUAUUCCUUGAAAAUAACAAACCCAUCGAAUUUUUGUAGACUAAGCUUCUCCAUCCAUUCUUCCUCCUACAGCAGAUCCGAAGACGAAGAAGAAAUCAAACUAGUUCCGGGUUUUUUAUCUUGCUAGUUUGUUGAGUUAUGCUGGAUUUGGUUUUCAAUCUUUCUUCUCUGACCGUUCGUUGACUUGCUUAGGUAAAAAUAUCGGGAUCUCUUUGCAAGUUCCUUUCAUUCCUAUGAAAAUCACUCAACUAUGUGUUGUAUUGAUUCUUUGUUUGUGGUCUCGAGGUUUGGGUUAGCGUUUGAAAACGUUUUUGACUAAAGCUUUGAAAGACAAAUUCGAAUUGGAUUCGCGUUACUCUAUAUCAAUGAAUUUGUUCUUCAAGUAUCUACUGAUUCAUGCAAAUCUUAAGCUUAGACCUUAAAGUAACGCAUUUUCAGUUCAAGUUCGCCUUUUGUUGCGGUUUCUAUUCUGUGAAGAUCAAUGGGCUUUGAUAUUGAUGAUCUGAUUGGUCUCCCAAGUUUUCAGAUUUAAAUUGUGUUCGAUACCUAAUCUAAGGUUUGGGUUACAGGUACAAGUCUCUCCAUCUCCAGCUUCUAGAAGAAGACAACAUUUUAGUGUAUCCUCGUUGAGUCUAUGGGUUGUUGUAAGGUGCCGGCUCUUAUUCAGGCGCAGGUAGAAGUAAGUUAGUUCACGAGAUCAGUGUCUUGUCUCUUUUUUUUUUGGCUCCUCAUUGUCAGCUGAUUGGAAAAAGUUGUCAUUGUAAACAGAUGGGUUUGGUAAGUGAAGUUGAGCACAAAAGACUUUUCAGACGAGAAACAGAUUCACCACAAACAAAAGCUGCUUCUUUGAUGGAGCAAGGUGGAUCAUUUUCUGCAAAUUUUCAAGAGCGCACAGCUAAAGCACCUAAGCACAGCGUGCUCCAGAGCUUCAAGAUCGUCAUUUUAUCGAAUAAACUCAAUCUUUUGUUGCCUUUCGGUCCACUAGCAAUAUUACUCCACUAUUUGACAGAUAAUAAGGUGAGCAAUGUUAGUUUCGGGUACUAAAUUUUAGCACUUUCGUUCCUUCUUGUUAUGUCAUCAAGAAAUGAUUCUUAUGGCUCAGGGAUGGAUCUUCUUACUGAGCUUAGUAGGAAUCACACCAUUGGCUGAACGUCUCGGAUAUGCCACAGAGUAAGCCGUUGCUCGCACUUGCAACUCUUAACUUACAUUCUAUUAGCAAGACUUGUAUAAAAGUACCCGUUUGUUUAUUCUUUGUAACAGGCAAUUGGCUUGUUACACAGGUUCAACUGGUAUGACUUGGUUUCUUCUAAAUACACAAGUUCAUUUUCAGGAUUCCUUUCCCUCCUGAUUAGUUUUUGACGCGCUAGAAAAAUUUCACAGUUGGAGGCCUCUUAAACGCUACAUUUGGAAACGUGACAGAGCUGAUCAUAUCUAUUUUCGCUCUUAAAAAUGGAAUGAUACGCGUUGUACAGCUGACACUGCUCGGCUCCAUUCUUUCUAACAUGUUGCUUGUACUUGGCUGCGCCUUUUUCUGUGGGGGGCUUGUAUUUUCCCGUAAAGAGCAAGUCUUUGACAAAGUAGGCAUAUCAAUUCACUUGUUGUCUCUUUUUUUUCCUGUUUUGUUCUUGUUGUUCUGUAAUCUUUACCAUGUUUCUGAGCUUAUAUCUUCUGCAAUACAGGGGAAUGCGGUUGUGAAUUCAGGACUGCUUUUGAUGGCUGUUAUGGGGCUACUCUUCCCCGCUGUUCUUCAUUACACGCAUAGCGAGGUUCAUGCUGGUUCGUCAGAGCUGGCUCUUUCAAGGUUCAGUAGUUGCAUAAUGCUUGUGGCCUAUGCUGCUUACCUUUUUUUUCAGCUAAAGAGCCAGCCCAGUUCUUAUACCCCUCUUACCGAGGUGUGUCAUCUUCGACCUUUAGUUUUUUCUUACAGAUGCCUGGAAACGAUGGUGAAGACAACUUCAAAUAUUAAAUGGUUUCUUACAAGUUACAAACCAGUUUCAUCAUUUAUGGGCUCUGUUCAUUUUUCUUCUUGGUUGCUCUCUCUACUAGCUGGACUUCAAUCUGCUGUUUGGUGAAAAUUUGUAAACUUUAGGAUAUGAACCAGAGCGAAGAAACUUCGGACGAUGAUGAAGAUCCUGAGAUCUCCAAGUGGGAAGCAAUCAUCUGGCUUUCAAUCUUGACUGCUUGGGUCUCUCUUCUUUCAGGCUAUCUUGUCGAUGCCAUUGAGGUAAAUCACUACCCUUUUUUUUUUUCUUUCUAGAUCUUAUCUUUAUGAAGAUUUUACAGUAUUAACUUGACUUGUUUAUGCCAUAUGAUUAGUACGGCAUUAUAACGUGAGUAUACUAGCUGGCUUAUGGUAAAAACUCAACCGAUGCAAUACAUAAGUUGGAAUAUGUUUUAGAUACUUGUAAUAUUCCUAAUCACAUGCACGAGUCCAUCAAAAGCGCCAAUAUUUUCUGUAGAAGUGUCUUGUCAAAGAGUGACUAGAAACCAAUGAUCACUACAACAUAACAAUGCGAGUUUGGCUUACUGUUUUCUGUUGUUUGUGUUUUUCAAUAUAUAACAGGGUGCUUCGGUCUCAUGGAAGAUACCAAUCUCGUUUAUUAGUGUCAUCUUGCUUCCUAUAGUUGGAAAUGCGGCCGAGCAUGCAGGUGCUAUUAUGUUUGCCAUGAAAGACAAGCUGGUACGCAGACUAGUCUCUUGCAAUUCUGAUGUCUUUGGUUUAUCUUUUUUUAGGUGUAUAUUUAUUAUACUCUCCUCUACAGGAUCUGUCUUUGGGAGUGGCUAUUGGAUCGUCAAUCCAGAUUUCCAUGUUUGCGGUACGUAUAAGAAAUGUGAACCUGGGGUCUAUAUAGUACUGAACAUUCUCUUUACAGAUCUGGCCUGACUUUUGGCCCGAUUAUGGAUAUAGGUUCCAUUCUGUGUGGUGAUCGGAUGGAUGAUGGGUGAACAGAUGGAUCUGAAUUUCCAGCUAUUUGAGACUGCUACACUGUUCAUAACUGUGAUAGUUGUAGCAUUCUUCCUCCAGGUGGGUUCAUAAUCUUGAAGCAAUUAAUUACGAAAACCAAUCUUGACGUUAAAUUAUGUCUCUGUGUUUGUCGUUGUGCAGGAAGGGACAUCGAAUUACUUCAAAGGAUUGAUGCUCAUUCUCUGCUAUUUGAUAGUUGCUGCCAGUUUCUUUGUACACGAAGAUCCUCAUCAAGGUUAGGUGUUGAAUUUGUUAUCUUCUUCCCAUAUAUUACGUAAAUGGUAACAUUAACCAGAAAACCUGGUUCGUGUGUCUGCGGAAACGACUUUGAAUUGGUUUUUUGUGUUCUUCGUUACUUGACAGAUGAUAUAUAGCCAUCCCAAAAAACACGUGAAUCUGGUACGUGUCCUAAAACUAAACCCUGGUGAUCUUACUUACAUGUACAUUUUUUUUUUAAGAUUCUGGAGUUAAUGUUUGUAUCAGACCAAACUGAAAGUUGUCCCAGUUUACGUUUGAGGCCCCUUCCUUGGGGGCUGGUUUAGGGUUGCAAUUUUGUGAAAUUACUUUGAUUAUCUUUAUAUAUAUUAUAUAAUCUAUUGGGAACUUGUAAUCGGAAUUUCUAUAGAUUAGGCAUCUAUCCAAGCGUUGCGCUCACCUAAAACAAUUUAACAUUUCUAUACAUAUUAAUAAUAUAUAUCACAUUAACCAUAUAUAUAAAUCAGAUUAUUCAUUCGAUAGUAAUUUUGUUUUAAAUUCAUGGUGUCCUGCUACCAAGAUGCAAGACCGGCUAAGAAACCUUUUAAAGAUUAUGCGUUAUGUUCAAGAUUUUUGUAAUACAAAAAAAAAACUCUAUUUGAUGAAUUGUGUCAUGGAUCCUAUGUGAAUUAGUGAAUACACAAAUGCGAGAAUCUCUUACAAGAACAGCCAUGUCCGCUUUAUAUUAAAAGAAAAAAAAAAUAUCAGGUUUGUUGAGUGUACAUUGUAAAAAAAAAAAAAAAAAGGAGAAAUGCAAAACGACGACACAGUUACACUCGUCGUUUGCAAAAACAAGAGGGAGGGCAUGAGGCCAUGUUGUGGAGAUCACCUCCAAACAAAAAAAUAAUAUACGAUGUGGGGCCCAUAUCGUAGGCCAUAGGCAGAAAGAACUAAAACCAUACGUCGUUUUUGAGGCUUCCCACUCCAGUAAUAAUUGGUUCAACAGUCAAAAAUGUAAAACCUACAGUAGUAAGUAAGAACCGUUCAGUUACCGUUGGUUAAAACAGUAAACUUAUUCACUUUGUGGGGCCAGUUCGUUUGAGCAGCCCAUUAGCCUAUCUAAUCAACAGGGCCCAUCUCUUGUCUGAAGGAUGCAUACGCCUUUUUUUUAACAGCUACCCACCCACAUUACCAACUCUAAUCUACCCAUCUACUGUACGGAUUGAUUUAACAUACUGUAUUUGAUUCUUCAAUACCCUAUUUUGACUUCCUGUUGACUAUGUGUUUAAAAUGAUUUUCAUUCAAGGCCUUAAAUCGUAAGCGAACAACAAUUUUUGCGUACGUGUACGCUGGUAAUUGGUGUACUGUGCGUUAAAAUACUUUAUUAAUAAAAUGUUCAUCGAUUGUAGCAAAUCACCUUCACGGGAAGAAGAACAGAACAGUUCAAAACUUGAAAAGGUAAAGAAGGCAAAGAGUUGACUCCAUGGAUUCAAGAGACCGUGUCAGGCUUCUUCUCUAAGCGAUCCUAAACCCCAUUACAGAUGUUACGUUGUUAAUUUACAAAUUAAUAAAAUCAAAUUAUUUUCUCUUCUUUUCUUUUUGGUAACCAUAUAAAAUCCAUUUUCUUUAUAAUACUAUUUGGUCAUAUUAAACUUUAAUUUUUUUGGAAACUACCACAGCUUCCGUUUUUUCUAACGUUAAUACAUAUAUAAAUCUUCUUAAUCAAAAAAAAAUUAAUACAUAAAUUGUUUAAUUAAGGGUUUUGAAGAGCUUUAAUUAGAUUCUUCAUUACAAUUUAUUUACUCAGAAUCUCUUAUGAAAAGUUUAAGAAAAAAAACUUUAAACCUUUUUCGUAUUUUAUAAAAAAGAUUAUGGUGUUUUUGAAAGGAAAAAACAAAUUUCAUGCUUUAUUAGAAAAAUUUCCUUAUAAUAAGUACGGUGUUGUAAGUUAACAAUAUAUUUUCAUCUAGACACAAUCUUCGUUCUUCUGUACGCUCCAUCUUUUUUUUUUUUUUUUCUCUGUCGCUAAUAAUAGACUAGGUGAAGACCCGCGUAUACGCGGAUUUAUUAUAUUAUUUAUAUUUUUUAAUUUGUGUUUAAUAAAAUAAAAAUUUUUCUAUCAGUGUAUAAGAGUUAACUUUUUAUUUUUAAGAAAAUUAUCCUAACAAAUACAACAUAAUUUGUGAUAGAAGACAUUUGAAGAAUUUGUUUAAUGUUCUCUAAACUAACUUAAACAAAAAAAAAAAGUGGUUUGUAAUUUUGUGAUGAGACCAUAUGUAUUUAUUAAUAAAUCUGUCAUACUUUCAUGUUCUUGUAAGCUCUUUGCCUUCUUUUCUAAAGUUGGCAUCCAUCUCCCACAAGCCUCAAAGUCAUUCACCAUGUGUUACCAACAUUUUCUGAUGGGAUCGUUGAUUUGACAAGAUUAAUAAGAAGACCGAACAAACCAAUGAUAACUGAAAUAUAGAUUGAUUUUUGCCCAAUAUAUAUCCAAAAUUAUCCCCCACAAAGAGUAAAACCUUUAUCUUCUCGAUUAAACAGAUAAUGAUCAUGACUUUAUCCUUCUACUACUCAGGAGCCUAUAAUAUGAUGAUAAUAAAGUUUUUUCAAAAGAGAUACAAUCUCAACCAAGUUUUUAUGAAAUCAAAACUCUUGGCCUGAAUAAAUUGGUAUGUAUAGAUAACAUGUGAGCUAACUUAAAUAAUUCUAAUUUGUCAAAAUACAAGCAAGCUCUGUUUACAAUAUUAUGUGAUUAUAUUAACUUGCUAUCUCAGAAGUGUUUUUUUUUUUUUUUCAGAAUUGUCUAUUUUAUUUAAAAAAUAUAUUCAUGCCACGACAACCAUACAAAAUCUUGUGACCAAUAAAAGGUAGUAUCUAGAUGCAACUUGGAUAAUAUAAAGCAUCUCUGUAUUGUUAUUCACUUUUUCAGUUAACUGAAAGAAUUGCGUUAUAAAUCUAUAGAUAUAUCAACCAAAAAAUAUGGGUAGAUGAUAAGGAAGUACCUUAAGGUGAUAUGUGCAUUCUGGUGAUGUACCAUGUGCAUUGACUAAAUUCCAUUUUCACAAUAUUAUGAGCAAGCGGCUAAUAUCAUAGCAUAGACUUCUAAAAUAUAUCUAUAAUAAGUAAUUGACUAUAAGCCGUAAGUAAGAUAAUGUCAACCAUAAAGAACAUUAGAUAACUUUUAAAUUAUAUCAGGAAACUAAGAGAGAAAAUAUCAAACAACAAAAUUGCUAGUGCGCAUCUUAUUGAGAAAAUAUAUGCUUUUACCGAGGAUUUUUAGCGAUGAAACGUUUUUUUAAAGGAAAAGGAAGACGAAGAAUUUAGAAAUCGAUUAUAAUACAUAAAUUAGAGAUGACAAGUAGCUGAUUUUAAUUUGAUUUUUUAAGCUGAUAUGUUUUAAGAAGAAAAGCUUAUGUGUCAAGCUUGUGAGACUUAAUUGAAUCUUUAUAUAAUAGAUUAUUAAAAAAAUGAAAAAAUUGUCAAUAAAAAGCUAAUCUUUUGCAUAUACAUUAUAUAUUUCGAGAAAAUGCUGUCUGAACUUCGUUUAUUAAUAACUACAAGCUUUCUGAAUAAUCUCAUGCAAAUAUAUAUAUUAAAAAUGAUCGUGUAAGAGUUAAAACAAAAAAUCCUAAGUUUAUCGGAGCCAUUGAUACAUCAAUUUACGAAGAAAGAGUCAGAGGGAGAGACAUUGCACUUUCUCUUUUUGUUAAACAAAGAAGACGGGCGCAUUUGACCUCAAUGUAAUAAGGUUUGGAACUCGAGGAAAAUAUGGAAAGGAAAAAAAUUGAAAGAUUGCUUGUGAAUCAGGAAAAGCAAAUCUCACAAGCCUUUGAAAAUGCAAUUUCUUCUCAGUUUAAAAUAUUUAUUAUUUCUGACAAACUGGUAUAUAUGAUUAAAAAGUUAUUUGUAAUUGUAUGUUUCUUCGUUAAGUCUUAACCACUAGUUAUCGUACCAAAGGGAGCAAAACAAAAAAUGUUUCUCAGUACGCUCCAUCUUCCUAUCUUGAAUUUUUAAAAAUCAAUAUAAACUAAUGACUUUACAAAUUAAUUAUUAAUUAAAUAGAGUUUUUAUCCUAUAUUUCUUAUUUGAAAAUGAAUACCAAACUCUCAGAUGUUAAAAUCUGUAGUUUUUGAAAAAAUAUGUAUGAAAUGUAGUAAGUACAAAGUGGAAGGGUAACGAAAACGAUCAAUAACUGCAGAAUAUUUUGGGCUUUGGAAUGGUAUAUAUUAUUAUUAUGGCUGUCACUCUGCGGAGAAAGUGACAUUUCCUUGUUUUUUUAUUUAUUAUAAAUGGCUUUGUAAUCUUAUAUAUAAAACUUGGCCAACUUUCUCCAGCUCCUUGCCACAUCAACACUGGAGAAAGCGCCACCUGUCCAUUUAAAAUCUUAAUGAAAUAAACAAUUAAUCACAUUUAAAGAAAAAGCAUUAAAGAACAUUAAUAAAUAUUAAUAUGUAUAACAAAUGUAUUUAAAUAAAUAAAUUCAAAUUUAUUUUAAAUAUAUCAAAACUUAUAAAUAUUAUAUAAUAUAAAACUUUUUGAAAUACAUCAUUCCAUUUCUUCUUUUCAAGUGAUUUAAACUACAUUUUCAAACUAAAAGUAUAAUUAAAUUUUUAUGAAAGUGAAAAAAAAUUAUCAGACUGAAUAAGUUAAGAAAUUUUAAAUAAUCUUAUAUAAAACUCUAACUAAUAAAAUUAUAACACACAAAAUAUUCAAUAAAUGAUUAAAGAGUUAAAAACAUUACUAAAAAAUAAUAGUAAAAAAAAAGUGGAUACAUAAAAAUGUCAUACAAAGUUUUUUAGUAAUUUUUAAAAAGAUGUAAUCAAUAAAAUAUAUAUAACCAAAAAAAAUCAAAAUGGUAAAUUUUUCUAUGAGCUAUUACGUUUUUAUAUAAAAAUUAAAAUAGUAGAUCUUUAGUCUCUCAUUACCGUAUGAAAAAAAUUGGAUUAUUUGGUACAACCGGUGUGAAAGAGAUUACAAAUAAUUUAUCAUCUAGAAGAAAUCGGAAAAUAUAAAUAUUUUAAACGAAAAAACAUUGAUGGUAAAAAUAAAAUUCAAUACAAAUCUUAUAUAUAAAAGACAAUCAACUCUCUCCAAAUGAGUGACACAUCAGCAAUGGAGAGAGUGACCUGUGGCACAUCCAAAAAUUGAUAAAAUAAAUAAUUAAUUAAAUUUAAAGCAAAACACAUUAAAAACAUAAAUAAAGAUUAAUAUAUAUAUAUUUAUAUAUACAUACAUUAGAAUACAAUUCAAAUUUAAUUUAAAUAUAGAAAAACUUAUAAAUUAUAUAAUACAAGAUUUUUUAGAUGCACUAUUCUAUUUUCUUCUUUCAAGUGAUUUAAUUUUUUUUUCAAACUAAAAAUAUACUAAAUUUUAAUGCAAAUAAAAAAAAUUAAGACUGAAUAAAUUACGAAGUUUCAAGUAUUCUUAUAUAAAACUUCAACUAAUAAAUUAAAAAACACAAAAAAUAUUUAAUAAAUGAUUAAAGAGAUAACAAUUAUUAAAAAAAAAUAGUAUAAAGAAAGAUGUGCACGUAAAAAUAUCAUACAUAAAUUUAAAUUAAAAAAAUGGAAUCAAUAAAAUAUAUAUAACUAAAAAAUUCAAAAUGGUAAAUUGAAAAAGUUAACAAGUAUUAUAUUAGUAAGAUUUACAAGAAUAAAAAGAAUAUGAAGAUCGAAGAACAAAUAAAUAUUCUUUUCUGAUAUUAAACGUAUAUUUAUAAGCGAAUUAUUACGUUUUCAUAUAAAAUUUAAAAUAGUAUAUUUUUAAUCUCUUAUUAUUUUGGAAGAAAAAUCAGACGAUUUGACACAACCGGUGUAGAAGAGAUUACAAAUAAUUAUCAUUAAAAAAAAAUCAAGGAAAAUAUAAAUAUUUUAAACGUAAAAACAUUGAUAAUAAAUAUAAAAUUCAAUACAAAUUUUAAAAAUAUAGUAUUUAAAUAUAUAUUAAAACAAGAUCCGUGUAUACCACGGGUUCUCUCCUAAUUUAUUUAAAAGGACUUUGUUCUGCACUGCACUGCAAAACGGAGAUUUCGCCAUCUUCUUUGUCACAAUGUCAAGUUGCUCUCAAUUCUUGGAUUCUCUCCAUCACAUCCAAAUCUUUCUUUUAUAUCUUUCCUCUUGUAUUUCCCAUUUUUUUCUUUUGUUUUUUUUUUUCCGUUUUUUGUUUGAUUUGUUGUUUGACCCUCUUUUUAGCUUAGCUACCCAUGUUCGUAUUAUUCACUUAUUAAUGUUUCUUAAAUAUGAUGCUAACGUUACUAUCAUGUCUGAAAUUCACAAGGGCGAAUUUUAGGAAUAUACUAUAUUAUAUAUGUAUCUUCAAAAACUCAGAGUGCAUACACACUUUUCGAUGUUUUUUUUGGCUCAGCGCUAGAUAUUGUAGUCGGCUGAUCGGCUCACAUUUGGUUUUAAUUACUGAAAAAGUGGUCAAUUCGGGUUUCAAAUCAUACUUUUUCUCUGGUUAGACUAGACUACUUAAUUUUGUCUAUAUAUAUUAUACAUCACUCUCUACAUAUCUAUGAAAACAUCAAAGGGAAUAUAUGUUUUAACUAUGUUUUUUUUCAGUCAUUUUAGAUUAUUUACAUAUCGGAUGUAUUGCCUGUUGUAUUAUAAACUUGUAAUGGUCCCUUAUGGACACUGUAUACGCAUUGUUUACUUAUAUAUAUAUAUAUCACGUGUAUACAUCUACAUAUACAUCAUGCAUAGAUGUAAAAAUGUUAUUCUGGACCACCGACCUCCUAAAGAAAAAAUGAUACCAAUAAUUAUGUAAUUAGUACUGUGGUUAUUUGCUGGUGGGAGUUCCCGAACAUUAAAUGCUUUUAACUGGAAUUUAUUUGUCUGCACGCAAUUGAAUAGCAAAGUGGAAAUUUAAUGGCGCGAAUGAUGGUUUGAUGAUGCGUUUUGGAGUCACAUAGGAAGACACGACAGUGUCUUGUGUCGUUUAUUAGACAUAGGGGGUAAAAAGUAAAAAAAAAAUAUAUGAUUCAAAUAAAAUCAUUCGACAAUGAUGUAAUAUUUUCCCUCCGAACUGAACUAUGUUCUAUGCUGUUUUUUUUUAACGUACCGUUAUGUCUGAUGGGACCAUUCUCAUUUAUUGCUGGACCCGUUUAUUUUUAACCAAAAUAAAUUGGAAUCGUGAAAAGAAUUUAACAAAAAAUAUCGUGAAAGCAAAAAUAAGGUACAGUUUUUAUUUUGCUGUUUAAAUGGUACAAAAUUGGUGGUAAGAGUCCAUGAGUGAUGCAAUGGACCGUUUGUUCAAUAAUCAGCUUGAAAACAAUCGAUGUAUGAUACUGGUAAGAAUAAAUACAUAUAGAUAUUGAGUUGGUACUAUUGUGUAGUAAUUAUUAGAACACAAUAAUUAAUCUAUCAGAAUGUCAUUUAUUUAAUGCUUUAGAAAUCCACAAUCCUAGUAUGAAUCUAAAAUGAUGGGGAAGCAUGCAUUAAAUACAGCAGGCUGGAAAGUCUUGACACGUGUCCAUAUCCAUAUGUGGUUGUAUGAAAAGUCAACUUACUGCAAUUCAUUACCACCAUCCUUUUGCUCUAAUCAAACAAAACAUUUUUAUUUCUUCUUUUCUUUUUGAGAAAACGCUUUUAGCUCUACUAAAAUAUCUCAUGGAACUUUACUGAUUUACAUAACUAAUCAACCUUUUUCUUUUUUUACAUCUUACUAAAUGUCAUUCAAGCUAUUAGUUUAUUGACUAAUAUUUUAUCUAUAAAUCAUGCAGAUUUAGUAAUUGGUUUUAUACCCAAUUAAAUAUAUUUUUGAAUUAUUAAAAAAGGAUUGAAACGAUAAUAAUUUUGAAUACUUCUUUCCCAAUAUAAUCUGAUCAGAAAAAGUUCACCAAUAAAUCGAUUUGAAUAAAAUGAUACAUGAUAUACUGUAAAAAAUGCAAAGAAGUAAAUAACAGAAAUUAUGCGUUGUGACUUAUCUUAUAUAUAUAAAAGUUGCUUAACUUUCUUCAUAUGAUUGACAUAUCAGCAAGGAAUAGGUUGACACAUGUCCUUAAAUUUUAAUUAAUAAUUUUUAAUAUUAAAUUUUAAAACACUUAAAGAAUAUGAAAAGUUUAUUUUAUUAAUUGACUCUUAAUUCAAAUUUAUAUUAAUGUUAAACAAAAGUUUAUGUUAUAACUAAUUAAAAAUAUUGAUAGAUAUGUAUUUAAUUUUUAUAUAAUUGUAUAUUAGUUAAUAAUAUUUAGAUUACUUAAUAAUAUUGAAGAUAUAUUUUAAAUUAAUUUUUUAAAAUUAUUUAUAAUAAAAUACUAACAAGUAACAAAUGAAAUGAUGAUUAUAUUAAUUUUAUUUUUUAAUUAAUUGACUAUCAAUUAAUAUUUCUGUAAAUGUUAAACAAAAUUUUAUGUUAUAACUAAUUAAAAAUAUUAAAUGAUAUUUAUUAAUCUUGAUAUAACUUUAAAUUAUUAAAUAAUAUUCAAUAUGUAUUAAUAUUUUAUAAUUUUUAGAAUAAAUAUUAACAAAUAAGUAAGUAAUAAGUAAUGAUUAUAUUAAUUUUUAUAAAAAUAUAAAAUAAAGUUUGAAAAUUUUGAAAAGAAAAAUUGGCACGUAACGUGCGGAUAUUCAAAUAAUAAUAAAAAAGACUAUUUUGUGGUCAAAAAACUAAAAAUUCUAAACUCGAAGAAAACAAUCUCUUUCUCCUUUUUGAUCUCUAUAUGUGUAAGACUUAAAGGUCUGAUUUUAUUCAACAUUUUUGUUUAAUUUUACUAAGUUUGUAUGUAUGUAUACAUUAAAUGUAAUAAUUGUUCAAUAUCUACAUUUUUCGUUGUAAUUAAACAACAUAAUAGAUAUCGUAAAAUUUAAAUUAACAAUAAUUAUUUAUAUAAGACAAGACAUUAUGUUAUGUACUUAUGUUUAAAGGAUGCUUACCUUUUUUUGUCGGCAAAGGGUACUUACUUACAACAUCUAUUGAACAGUCGAGAAAAUAAUUUUAUCAAAAUAGUUGAAAAUCGUGAUGCUUUUUUUUUUUUUCUUACAUUUGAAUGAAUAAUUUAAUAGUCACUUAUAGAGGGAAGGGGAAGGAAGAAAAGGACACGCAUGCAAAAUGAAGGCAGACCAAAGAAAGGGUAAGAAAAAGCAAACUGACGAAGCUUAAUAAAACUUUCACCUUCCCCAUUGUUUGUUCACAGAAAAAGGGACCAACAGAUAAAUUAAUAAUACCAAACCAAGAGAAUUUUUAUUUAUUCAUUCCUUUUUUUUAUAUUAAUGCAAAAGAGAAUAUUAUUAAGUAGCGAAAUUCAAGACUUAAAAGAAGCAGAAGAAGAAGAACAACAACAACACGCGAGAAAAUCCAGAUCUUUCCCUCUCUCUCUCUCUUUCCGCAUCUCACUUUUUCCAUCCUCGAAGAACCCUUUUCUUGCCCUCUACUUUCUGUGGAAAUUUCGUAUUCUCGCUUCUUCGUUUGUUAAUUUAACGUGGAUUCCGAUCGUUUGGAGUUACUGGAAUCGGAGAGAUCGUAUUUCGUCAAGGUAAAUUUCAGAGUUUAAAAGUCCUUUCUUUAUUAUACUGUUCGUCGGUGGGUAUGUUCACUGUUUCCCGAGAUUCGAGUGUGAGAUCCGUUUUGUUUUCUAUCGGCAUUGCUGCGAUUUCAAGCGGUUUUAAAGUGUCGGUGAAUCAUUGAGAGAAAGAGGAGGAGCUUCGUGGUUUUCGUUCUCGAUGCUCCUCUCCUCUGACUACUGUUUCAUUUUUAACGGUUUCGUCUCUUUUAAAGUUUCGAGAUUGCAUUUAUGGCGAGCUAAAGUAAUGCGUUUUUUUUUCUUUUGUUUGUUUUAGGACAAGACAAGUGUAGAUAAGACUUAAAUGCAGAGAAAUCGAGUGAAUGUAUUCAUAAGCCCCACUUUAAGAGCAGAUCUGGAGCUUUCACUAGGAUUCUGCUAAUUUCGUAUACUAAGCUGGUAGAAAUUAUCAAGAAGCACAAAAAGGUUAGGUUUUUUCGUUCUAUGUUUUUUUUCUUUUUGGUGGUAAUGGCUGAGGCAAAUAUCUUGUGGGGGAUACUUUACUUCUUAUGUUCACGGGGAAUCUCCGCUUUGGAGUUUAUGGCCGUGUAACAUGACCUUUAAUGCCAUCACAGGAAGAUUCAGUGGCAAACAUUUAAUUGGAAAAACUCAAAAAAGAAAAGAUGAUUCUUGAUUUGAUAUCUCCUACUUUGUAUAACCGUUGCCUUCUCUUUCUCCAGGUUUGUUUUGUCUCAUAAGUGAUGGUGCAAUAAGUCACAUGCAUGUCCUCUGAAUCCGCGUAGCAUCAAGAAACUUUCCCUUUGAAUUGAUGAUGUCAGGUAAAUUUUGUUGUUUGUUCUCCAUUUAUGUCUGAUUGAUAGAUAUUGAGACUUUGCAGAUACUUACUUUGAUUUGUCUAUUUGAAGGAGUUGAAGAAAACGGAACCCUUGAGGAAAUUAGGGAGAGAAGAUCAGACUUUGAAAUCUCGGAAGAUGAGAGGCGGCGCUCCAAAAUCGGGAAUUUGAAGAAGAAAGCGAUUAAUGCUUCCACCAAGUUCACUCAUUCUUUGAAGAAAAGAGGGAAAAGGAAAAUUGACUAUCGGAUUCCUUCAGUCUCCAUCGAAGAUGUACGGGAUGAAAAAGAGGAAAGCGUUGUGCUUGAAUUCCGCCGCAACCUUCUCGAGAGAAACUUGCUGCCUCCUAGACAUGAUGAGUACCAUACUCUUCUGAGGUUAGUUUGUCCUUAUUUAGCAGCUACAUAAACACUCUGGUCGCUUGAAAUAAAAAUGUGAGUAGUUGUAUAUAAAGUGGAGCUAACUAACCAUUCAUUUUGAAAAUCUAGAUUCUUGAAAGCGAGGGAUCUUAACAUUGAAAAAACUAUCCAGAUGUGGGAAGAAAUGCUUAGAUGGAGAAAAGAGUAUGGGACAGAUACCAUACUAGAGGUAAGCAGUCAUAGAUUUAAGUUUGACUCCAGCUUCUUUGUUGUUCCAUAUAAAAGAGAGAAGUAAUUUUCGUGUUAGUCAAUGGAUUCAACAUCAAGCUCUUAUGUUCUGAUAAUUCUAUGCAUUCGGAUGCUAGGAUUUUGAUUUCAAAGAGCUGGAAGAAGUUCUGCAAUAUUAUCCUCAAGGGUAUCAUGGAGUUGACAAGGAAGGAAGACCUGUCUACAUUGAAAGACUUGGAAAAGCUCAUCCCGCUAAGCUUAUGCGUAUCACCACCAUAGAUAGAUAUCUCAAAUACCAUGUGCAAGAGUUUGAGAGAGCUCUCCUUCAGAAAUUCCCUGCAUGCUCGAUUGCAGCCAGGCGUCGAAUUUGUUCCACGACUACAAUACUAGAUGUGCAAGGACUGGUACUUAUUCAAGCUAUUCCCAAGUUUUGGAAUUUUUCUUGCACUGUAUUAUGCUCUGAAGCAAAAUUUACUUUUUUAGCGCUUCCAUAUUCUUAGCUGUGCAGUGUCAUGUUUAAUCACAGGGCAUGAAGAAUUUUACACCAACAGCUGCAAAUCUUGUGGCUGCCAUGUCGAAGAUUGACAACAACUACUAUCCUGAGGUACUUGAGUUUCUCAAUUCAUAUGUCAAUUAUUCUUUGCAUACAUACCGGGUUGUUGCAAGUCAUCAUAUCAUUUUGCAGACGUUGCACAGAAUGUACAUUGUAAAUGCUGGGACAGGUUUCAAAAAGAUGCUUUGGCCUGCUGCUCAGAAGUUUCUUGAUGCAAAGACCAUCGCAAAGAUACAUGUACAGCUUUCAGCCUAGUUUUUCUCUUUGGUCAACUUUUGCCAUGUGUACGUUAUCUUAUUUCUGUUGCUGCAGGUGCUAGAACCUAAAUCUUUGUCCAGAUUACACGAAGUUAUUGAUUCAAGGUAGUUUGCUUUUCCAUUCAAACCGCACCUGACAAAUUUCAAAUAUCAUUUGUAGCUAUUACUUACCAGCUCCAUCGCUCUGUGCUUUUAGUCAAUUGCCAGACUUCCUCGGAGGCUCAUGCUCUUGCUUUGGCGAUGGAGGGUGUCUUCGCUCGAAUAAAGGACCCUGGAAUGAUCCUGAAAUAAUGAAGGUAAAAAUCUACAUCCUAUUAAAUUUUGCUUUUAAAUUUUUGGGCACGCUGUUCUUUCCUUACGAACUUUUAAGUAGGAGUCAGCUUAUAGUCCGGGCUUGUUCAUGAAGAUCAUUUUAAAUCUGUGCCUUUAUUAGCUCAUCUAUCAUGGAGAGUCAUCACUCUUUAGACAAAUCACCAGGAAGCUGAGUGACCCACAGAAUUCUUCAUCCUACAUAAGUAUACAUCCAUCGAAGGUAAAUGGCUAUAUCAAGCCAAUAUCUGUUUGUUUUGGAAUUUUUGUUUUUUUUUUUGUUUUUUCCAGGUAUAUAUGACAAAUUCAAAUUUGAAUAUCAGGCUAUGCAAGCUGAGACUUCUGCAGCAGAAUGUGUAUCUUGUUCUGAUGUUCCUACUUCUCUAACUGGAAGGGUGUGCGCAGCCUCUGCUCAUGUGAAUCCAGCUUAUGAGGAAGUGAGUUCUUGUGUUGGUACAUUUUGUGUCACAGACCACACUAGUUAUCUUAUCACUGACCGGAAAAAUAUGAUCUAUGCAGGCAAGGGCAUCAGAUGUUAAUGGCUAUUAUAGUUGCGAUGACAAGUUUGCCAUACCUAACAAAGCUACUAACCGAAAAGGCCAAGAAAGGCAAUCCCACUACCAAAUGCUGGAACUCAAUCAAACAACACUCGGUUUAAAACAUGAAACAUCUCCACCAGGUUAUACUGCUAACUCAUGCUUUGCUGCUAAAAACAUAUUCCUUUGUAAUUUUCUCACCUUUUGAAUUUCAUCUUCCCUCUGGUACCUUCCAGGUGCUCCCAUCAUACGAUGGCUUCAUGAUUUAAGGGGAACAAUUGACAGCAUAAAAUCUGAGAACCUAGCCAAAAGGGUACUCUCGUUUAUGCUGAAACUAGCAGCAGUUUUCCGUUAUAUCCCGUUUGAGCUUUCGAGAAGACAAAACACCGUUACUCCUUCAAACCCAACAGAAGAUAAUAAUAGGAGAAGCCUCAUUCCAACUUCUACAGAGCUCACAAUGAAAGACCGGAUUCUUCCGUGUUUGGAGCGUAUUCAGAAGCUGGAGAAAAAGUAUGAGGAAAUCCGGAACAAACCCGUUGAAAUUCCCGUAGAGAAGGAGAGAAUGCUGUUGGAUUCUCUUGACAGAAUAAAAUCGGUUGAGUUUGAUCUUGUUAAAACAAAGAGGGUAUUAUGAUUUUCCUUUGUUUUUCUUCACAAACUUACUUAGAAUUACAGUAUGGACUUGACAUGUUCGAUGGUUGCAGGUUUUGCACGCCACAGUGAUGAAGCAGAUGGAAAUAACCGAAAUGCUGGAAAGUUUAAGAGAGUCCCAACUUCACGUAAGUCCUCGAGAUUAUGACGCUAUAGUGAACAAGAUUUGCGAUGAGCUAACACCUGCAGAUUGUUGUUUGUGCAGAGAAGAAGAUUGUUCUGUUAGAAACCAUUAGAGAACAUCUGAGUUUUGCAUAAAAUACAGCUCCAAACUUCUGCACAUACAGAGAGAGAAAAAAAAUCCAAUAAACAAACGGUGUUAGUUUCUUAAUCUCCUUCCUCCUCUAACUUCUGUUAUCUUUCUUUCCUCAUAGGUCCAUCUGCUUCCACUUUUAAAUUAAAAAAGAAGAAGAUAGGGACAGUGAAAAUCUUUGAUGUUCGAUCUUGUCGUUGAUAAUGUAGAUUGAGAUCAGAGUUGAAGUAUCAAGCUGAUUUCCAAACCCUUUUGUUGUAAUCGGUGUAGAGAAGAAACUACACUAGAAGAAAAAAAAAGAAUCGUAUGAGAUUUUGUAAAUCUUUUUUAAGGUAAUAUGAUGAGGAAAACACUACCGAGUCUCUAAUGUCUUUACUCUAUGAAGAGAAUCCAUUUGUUUAACAUGAACGCAACAAGAAACAAAAUUGUGAAUGGUUAUACUAUAAUCAUGUAGUACGAUUAUUUAGGAAUCUGGUGCAUCUUGUAGUUGUUAUAGGUAGAUUGUGUAAAAUAUUUACAUAAUUCCAAAUAUCCGAAUGCAAAUGAUAUAAAAGUCAAAUCAGCCCUCGUAAACUUGAUUGAAUACGAGAGACACCCGAAUUAUGGAAGGGUAAGAUUGUAAACAAAGGAUGAUGAAAGUGUAAGGAAUUUUAAAAUCGGGGAAAAAUCGGGACCGUCCUUUUCCACUGAUGUAAGCCUGUGAACGAAGAAGAUAAAUUUCCCUGUCUUCUCUCUCUCUCUCUCCUUCUCCGUUCUUGUUUUCUGAAUUCGCUCGAAAUCGAUCUCAACGCCAAUCCAAUGAUGUUUUAUAUUCGACCCCAAACUUAAAUUUAGAAACCACAAUUUCUCGAAGUCAAUCCGUUUUCAUUUUCACGAAUUGCAUCGCCAGGUGAAUUUGUUGAUCCUAUGUUUUGUACGCCUUUGAUUGCCAUGUUGCUGAGUUUUUGGAAUCGUGCUCCGCUUUUGUUCUUAAUUCGAUAUCACGAUUGCUUACGCAUGUGCGGGUUUUCAUUUGGUUUCGCUUUUCCCUCCGCGGCUUUGUGAAUUUGAACUUUUAGUGCGUCGUAGCCGAAUCAGGGGCUGUUUUCUUCGUUUCGUGUGGGAUGAGGCUACGAUUUUAAUAUUGAACUUGGGAAUACACUUUAAUCUUUGUCCAGAGGGCUCCUAGUACCUAAGCGCUUUGCUUGUUGGAUAUUGUUACUCUCUGGCAUAUUGUCUUGACUAUGAAUUCGCUAGAUCUUGUUUUAGAUGUUGCAGCUCAAGCAAUAUGUACAGAUAGUUAUGGUCUUUUGAAGUCUUACCUAAGAUAGUGUCUUUAUAUGUUAUUGUUCACUUUAGGUCCCUAUUUUGAGCCUCAUCCUUGUGAGUAGGAAUAUUAAGCUUCCUACUAUUGUAGCUUCUGUGGUCCCUUGCUUUGAGAGUUCAGUAAUAGAGGUACUUUUCUACAUGUUAAGGCCCUGUUUAUCAACUAAAAAAAAUGUCCAAUUACCACCAAGAGGAGGAUGCUGAUUACAUGGACGAUGUGGAUGAUGAAAUGGAUGAUGUGGUUGACGAUGAUAUAGAUGACGAGUUUCGCGGGGAUGAUAUGGUUGCAUCGGAUUCCGAUGUCGACGAGUUUGACUACUCAGUAAGUGUGCCUGUACCUGUAAGAAGUCUAUUAAUGUAAAUUUAUUUGUGCCAUUCUUGAAUGCUUUAUGUGAAUUGUAUAGCUAAUAAUAAUAUCGGUUCAUAAUUAGGAAUUCAGUUUUUUUCGAUGUUGUUGCAAUCGCUUACUCUACUGUGUGGACUCUUUGGUUUCAGAAUAAUAAAAUAGCUGACACUUCAGCUGAUCAAGCCCGGAAAGGGAAAGACAUUCAGGGGAUUCCUUGGGACAGGCUUAGUAUUACACGUGAGAAAUACAGACAAACUAGACUAGAACAGUACAAAAACUACGAAAAUGUUCCCAAUUCUGGGGAAUCCUCGGGGAAAGUAAGUCUUUCAUUCUCUGACCCUUAAGCCUUUGUCGACUUGUUUUACUAGUAUUAGUUUACAUAUCAUUCAUUCAUUUGUUUAAUGACCUCAGGAUUGCAUGGUCACGCAGAAAGGGGCCAUUUUUUAUGAUUUCUGGCGGAAUUCAAGAUCUAUCAAAUCAAGUAUUCUUCAUUUCCAGGUUACCAUCGAAGCAUAGCUAUUUUUGUUAUUCAAAGUUCUUUUUGGUAGCUCAGUCGGUAUGCCAUGUGUUUGGUUUAUAGGAUGUACAAAUUGCUACAACUGUCCACAAAAGUUGAAAGAAAUUGAUUCGUAGAACGUUUGCUGUGCUAAAAAGCAUGUACGUGGACUUCUAAUAAAAAGUCGUUUUCUUUGGUUUGUAGUUGAGGAAUUUGGUUUGGGCAACUUCUAAGCACGAUGUCUACCUUAUGUCACAAUUUUUGGUGAGCCACUAUUCUACUUUGACAUCUGGAAAGCAUGAAGUUCUCAAUGUUCAAGGUCAUGUUUCCCCAUCCGAGGUUAGUUUCUUCUGGAAUCGUGAAAGAUUCUUGUAAAUCUACAUCAGUUAAUGAUGAUUUUUUCUUUCUUUUCUUGUGUGGGUGCAGAAACACCCUGGAAGCUUGUUGGAGGGAUUUACGAAGACUCAAGUGAGUACACUUGCAGUGAGAGAUAAAUUUCUAGUUGCUGGCGGAUUUCAAGGAGAACUUAUCUGCAAGGUAAGCUCUAGAGUUUUACGAAUCAUGCAUUUCACAUACAUGCAAUCUGAUCAAGGAACUUCAUCUGUUUCCCCAUUGAUUUGAUUCAGCACCUUGAUAGACCUGGUGUGAGCUUUUGUUCACGUACAACUUAUGAUGAUAAUGCUAUCACCAAUGCAAUUGAGAUUUAUAACAAACCCAGGUAUUUACUUGUCUUUUGGUCGAUGUAGUUUUUGCCAACUUGGGCAAUUUACAGCUUCUAACUUGCCUUUUGGCGUCUGCCUGGCUUCAGUGGAGCGCUUCAUUUUACCGCAUCAAAUAAUGAUUGUGGAGUCAGAGAUUUUGAUAUGGAGAGAUAUCAGCUUGUACACUAUUUUCGCUUUCCUUGGCCAGUGAAUGUAAGUUCCUUACUUGUUUCUUGAUUCAUUGUUUCUGCUUUGUCAUAAGUCGAUCAGUCACACUUGGGACAGUAAGUUUAAGUCAUAACUACGGUAUGGAAUCUGACAUCUUUUACAUCAUGAAUCAUUUAACUAAAAAAUGGAUCAUUUUUUAUUCUUGUCAGCACACAUCUCUGAGUCCUGAUGGUAAAUUAUUGACGAUUGUGGGAGACAACCCGGAGGGCCUUCUCGUAGACCCCAACACGGGAAAGGUGCAGAUACUAUCAUCUCUAUGUUCAAUUACUAUGAAAUAAAUACGCUCUUUCUUUCUAACUCAAUUGGAUCAUUUCCGACAGACACUGGGAACGCUAGCAGGACACUUGGACUUUUCCUUUGCAUCGGCAUGGCACCCAGAUGGGGUCACAUUCUCCACAGGUAACCAAGACAAGACAUGCCGGGUUUGGGACAUACGUAACCUGUCUAAAUCUGUUGCUGUCUUGAGGGGUAACCUCGGGGCAAUCAGAUCCAUCCGCUACACAUCUGAUGGGAGAUACAUGGCCAUGGCUGAGCCGGCAGACUUUGUGCAUGUCUAUGACGUCUCAAAAGAGUAUGAAACAGAGCAAGAGAUCGAUUUCUUUGGGGAGAUCUCGGGAAUAUCCUUUAGCCCUGACACAGAAGCGCUCUUCAUCGGUGUUUGGGACCGCACUUACGGUAGUCUCCUUGAGUAUGGUCGGCGCCGUAACUACUCCUACCUUGAUUCAUUUCUUUAAUCAUUCACUCACAAUAAUAAAAGAGCGUUCCUCACUCUCCCGUGGCUGGCUUUGUUCAACCGAGAAACCCGACCAAGAGAAAACGUUAAAAAGUGUAUAACUGAAUCUCUCUAAUGGUGUAAAUGAUGUGUUGUGCAAUUACUAGUUAAGGGCCAUGGCUAUGGGUAUAGAAAAGAAACAUUUGCCUGAGCCCAUUUUUUAAUAAAAUUUUGAAGACUCCAUUUGAUUAAUUGCUAAUUUUUAAAAUUUUCAAUUGAGUUUUGUUUACAUUAGCAACUAAUUAAAAAGAUUAAUUUAAGUGGAGUGAAUAGAAAUUAGGCGCAUUUGUUUUUGCAAAUCUUGUCCCAUGGCAAGUCUGAGCGUUUGCAUCUAUAUCAAUUAGAUAUGGAUUAAAACUAACAAAAGAGAAAGUAAGGCGUUGAAAGAAAAACCGUGUAAACUACGAGGGCUUCAACAAAAACUAUAUGACUGAAAAAUCUCAUAAUCCAGAAAGAACCAACGAGAUAAUGCCACAUCAUCAACCCGAAAUCGUAUCCUCACAAACAAAAUCCUGUUUCGUCUCCUGAUGACCCAGAGAAGCCAAAACCGAUCCCUAAGAUCAUAAAUCCAAAACCACUCAUUUCUAAUUUGCACUCCAAAAGAAGAAGAAGAAGAAGAAGAAGAAACAAUGGCGACAAGUGCAUCUGCUUUGCUCUCUCCUUCAACAUUCUCCACUGCAAUCUCCCAGAAAAACCCAAACUCCAUCUCAUUCCAUGGCCUCCGUCCUCUCCGCCUCGGUGGCUCCUCCUCCGCCUUACCCAAGCUCUCCACCACCACCGCCGGAAGAAAAUCCUCCUCCGCCGUCGUGAGAGCCGAGCUAAGCCCAUCCGUCGUUAUAAGCCUCAGCACGGGUCUCUCCCUCUUCCUCGGCCGAUUCGUUUUCUUCAACUUCCAGAGAGAGAAUGUGGCCAAACAGGGCUUGCCGGAGCAGAACGGUAAAACCCACUUCGAAGCCGGCGAUGAUCGUGCCAAGGAAUACGUCAGCCUCUUGAAAUCCAACGACCCGAUUGGAUUCAACAUCGUCGAUGUUCUUGCUUGGGGCUCUAUUGGCCACAUCGUUGCUUACUACAUCUUGGCCACUUCUAGCAAUGGCUACGAUCCCAGCUUCUUUGGCUGAUAUUCAUUAUUCUCCAAUCUCUGUCUCCUAUAUGAAUGUAUAUCUUUGACUUGUAUCGCAAGCUAUCUAAUAUAUUCUCUAUCUUUGUUUCUUCUUCUUCUUCUUCCUCCCGUCGUUGUUGUGUCUUGUCCAAGGUUUCUCUCUCGCGUUGCAACUGUUGUUAUGAUUAAUUUUGCCAUUCACAAAGACUGCUUAGGUUCUUCACCUUAUGCUGGUUUAAGUCCAACAUUAGCAGCCUAGCACAAACUACAUGCAUUUCAUUACUACAAACGAUUUUAUGGGUAAUAACAUGUCUUAGAAACUUAUAAGUUGGCCAAAUGUUCAAAGAAAACAAAACUCAUGUAAUGUAAAAGUUGCCAAGAACCUAUGGCCAAGUCUACAACUUAUUGAUUAAAUUAAAGUUCUCAAACAGAAACACAAAAACAGAGAGAUCAAAAGUUACAAACAGAGAAGACAACAACAGAGAAUCACUUAGAGACCCGGCUCAGCCACAUUUUCAGCUGCAUCAGUAGCAGCUGCACUUUCCGCCGCACAAGACUCAAUGAAAGAUUUGUAUUCGGACAUCUCUGUGCGAUACCUCUCCACAUCCUCAAGCCCUUUAUCUUGAUAAACCUGUUCAAAAAAUCAUUAUAAACAGAUCCAUUUUAAUCUCAUUUAAGAUAAAAAGAAACUUGGAAUCCUCAUGGAAAAGAGAGAGUUUUGAUUUACGUUUCUGUGUUACCUUUCUAUCAGAUUCAGAGAGAUUGCUCCACAAGUUCCCAAUUUCUUUAAUGAGAAACCGCUCUCGUCCGGCGUACUCAUGUUUAAGCCUCUUGUACUGCUCGGAAAAGAAGAAGUUAUAGCCGCUCCUGUGGAACUUGGGUCGACGAGAAUCCAUCUGAGAUGAUUUUGAUUUCUUCUUGCGUCUUCGAGUUUCAACACAAGUUUCAGGAAUGUGGUAAAGCACUCCUUUAAGCUCUUCUGAGCCCAUCUUCAUGGUUACAAAAUACCCGUCCUUGAAUUUCCCAUCGAUGAUCCCGUUCACCGGGCAGCCAGGUUGCAGUUCCUCAGUGUCUGUGACAGUUUCAGAAUGCAAAAUCUCAAACACUCCAAAGCUUGAUAAAAAUGGUUAAGUAUAAAGGCAAAAUAUGAAACUCAAGAAACAUAUGGAAAAAAAAUAGCGACUUUAAUUAGCAGCUGAACUACAUUGAAAGCUUCAAGUAUUUUAGUACCUUUGUCAUGAUGUGCAGAUUUUUCGACAAGGCGCUUCACUGCUUCUUCUGAGAAAAAAAAAGGGAGAACGGUGGCUAUGUUAAUCUCGAGUCUCCAUGGAGAAUUAGAAAGAGGCAUAUAAGAAAAAACAUUAUUAUUUUUGGGUAUUUGUUCAGACCUCUCGCCGAGAAUGAAGAAAUUGGCUCUUGGAAGAAAUACACAUGCUCAAAUUCAAAGAGCAUUUUCAGAUAAUACUUCUUUAAAACAAAUGCUGCAUUUGUCAUCUUAAAAUUAAAUGUUCCAAUCACUUCUUUGCAUUUGCGAUCCUUGAUCACCUAAGAAUCAAAAAGGAUUUAAAGAAAAAUUUGUAUGUAAACAACAAAAAAAAAAAAGAAGAAAACUUCAAAAACUUUCAUGUUCAGUGGAACUAUGAACUCAGAUACCUGUUCAAUACCACCUCGACUUGUGACCUCGACGAAAAGCCGAUGCAAAUCGAGUCUGUUUCCGCCCACAAUAGGAAUCCUUUACAAAUCAUGUACAAAAGGCAAAAUCAUUGACAGUUUUCUUUUUUCCUCCAUGAAAUGAAAUAAAAUCUUCUUCAAUAAAAAAAAAAAAAAAAUAUAGAGAUCCACUGAAGCACAAACAAACAUACCCACCCAAAGAAGAUAUUCAUGAUAACCACAACAACACAUUUUAAGAACUCCUUUUCAGAGCCUACCAUUACUAGAUUCUAAUAUAAACCAAAUCCAGUCUGAUUCUAAACAGUUCAAGAACUAAAUGGAUCCAAUGUAAUAAGACAUACAUAUUCCCGAAUAUAAUUCCAUUAAUUAAACCCUGAUUAACUACUGCACCCAAAUCUAUCAUCACCCUUGCAAUCUAAACAAAAUACGAGUUUUAAACAACCACCACACGGCGGAUUACGAACAAAAAUCUCUAAUAAAUACACAGGAAAAUCAUUCAAAUUUUAAUGCAGACUAGGUUUUUCUCCAUCCACGAUUGUAGUAAACCAAUAAUUUCUUAUAGAAACGCAAAAUCCACAAAAAAAAAAUAUAUAUAUAUAUAUAUAGAAGAAUCGUCGAUCUAAAAAACUUACUUCAAAGUUCUGUCAGAAUAUCCGAGAAAAUCCCGGAGCUUGUCCCAGAAAAGAUCAGAGUUCCGGACAAGAUCCUCGUACGUAGCAGCGGGAGAGGAAACGUCGAUGCUCUUGCUGUCUGAAGAGGAAGAGCCAUAAGCGGGAACUAGUUGGAAUUGCGAAUGCUGUGAAAUUUCGGUCGACAUCAAAAAUUCUUUUUUCUUUUUUGGCGGGCGGUUAAAAGGUUGAAAUGAAAAGAUGUUGCUAGCUAAUAACCUUCAAGUUCAAUGGUAAAAAUUAACUUCAUACAUGAUUAUAUUCUACCAGUGAGAAUUUAUUAAGGGAAAGCAAUGCAAUAUUUUCUUCUUAUCUGGAAUUAGGGGCUAAUAUGUAUUAUAUAGAGUUUUUCUUUUUUUCUCCACCAAUUAUAAAUUUACUUUUCUUGAUUGAUAAAGGGUAUUCAAUUAAAAUGCAAGUAAAGAUUACACAAAUAAAUUUACUUCAUUUCUUUUUUUAAAUAGUCUAUAUACGCGUAUAAAUUUAAGUUUAUAACUAAAAAUAAGAUGUUGAAUAACGAUUUUUGGCAAUAAUUUUAAAUGUAGUCAAUCAGAUAAAUAUUUACCGAAGCCAAGUGAAUUAUUUUAUAAACUAGAGUUUGACUCCGCGCUUUGCGCGGAUUUAUUUUAUAUUCAUAUUUUUAUAUUUUAUAUGUUAUUUUUUAGAAAAUAAUUUAUUUGUUAGUUGUCUUUUCUUAGUUUAAUAUUUUUUAUGUUUGUAUUGUAUUAACAUGCAUGUGUUUUCUUAUUUCUCUUUAUUAGUGAUUAUGUAUAACAACAUAUUUCUUUUAAUUAUAAUUAUGUUAUUAACUUCUAUUUAAAUAAAUUUUCUUGUUCAAAAACUCUUCUGUUAAUAUUUUAUUUCUUUUACUUUUAUCUUUUGUCUGUUAUUAUUGUGUGAUUCUAAUUACAGUUUUAAAAUUUACUUUUAUUUUACACCAUCUCAAUUUUUUUAUAAAUUUUGUUAACUUAUGUUUAAUUUUAAUUUAUUUUUCUAUUAUAUGUUAUAUGUUACUAUUUUGUAGUUUUAAUUGAAAAUCUUUUAACAUUAAAAUUAUUGUGUGAGAAGUUUAUAUCAAAUUCUAAUUUAUUUACCACUUUUUCUUCCCAAAAUUUAGCAUAUUUUAAAUAUUUUGCUUCUUUAAAUCCAUUUUAGUAUUACAAUUUGAUGAAAAUAAUUCUCAAGCAUGUGUUUUUUAAUAAAAUAUUUUUAGUUCAGUUAGUAUUACAAUUUUCUUUAAUUUUUAAUCCAGUUAAUUUUUUUAUUUGGUUAAACUUAUACUAAAUAUACUAAUAAUAAAUAUAAAUAGAGAUGUAUUAAUUUUUUUGUUGAUGUGAACAUCUUAGAUGGAGAGAAACCUCUUUCAUUAUAUAAUAGAUUAUAAUUUGCAUUAAAAAAUAGCCAUUUUAUUUUUAUUAAAGCUAGUGUUUUUAUUAAAGCUAGUGUAUCAUUUUUAAGAAGAACAUUUUGUUAAUUUAUCUUACUCCAUUUAAGUAAUUCUUUAUUCAAACCCACGUACACCUCUUCAUAUAUGGCUUCUUCCAUAUGAUCAAAUUACUUACAGUUUUAUAUCCACAAUCACAACUUAUCUGAAUCACUUCAUUUGGGAAGUGUGCUGUAAGAUGUUUUACAUGUCAUCCACGUUAUCGCGGUUUACUGGAGUUAGAGUGGAUUUGGAUGGUUUCUAACUUUCGAUUUGAUAGAAAUUAAGAUUUAUAAACAUUCUUUUCUCGGAUUUAGUAUAUAUAAUUAGUACAUCAGAAUAUAAGUUUCCCUUGAUCCUCGCAAGGAUCAAAAAGCAUGAACAGGAGCUUCAUAGCCAUAUAUCCCUCUGCCAAAAGAGAUGAGCAGAGGUCUACAAGGAGAACAUCAAUGGCUUACAGGAUGAUACAGAAAACAUAACUAAUAAGCUUUUGAACGAUCCGAGCGUACUGAAUAACAAAAACACCAACUGAGAAUAUAUCAAGUUUAUGACUACAAUGUUCCUAUAAGAAGACUAAUAAAGACUACAAUGAGAGGAGCUGGUAUACCUUUCUUGCAGCCAGCUUUGAAAGAUGUUCACUCUUUGAUCCGGUACACACCUAAAAUUGGACGGCAUACAAAUGCUACAUUAAAACAGAACAUGGUAUAUCAAUCCAUAUGAGCAAAAGUGACCAAACAUGCUAUAAACCUGUAUAUAACAUACCAUUUUCCCACAAGCAAAAAUUGUUAAGUUGUGGUAUGCCAUACCAUAAGCUAUGGUAUUGUCAAAUUAUGGUAUAUAUGGCAUACCAGUCCAUGGCUUAACAAAUAUCAACGCUGUGGUCUUUGGCUCUCUUCUCCUCAUGAUAACAGCAGCAAAACGCUCAAACAUGAAAAAACAAAAAAGAUUAGAGCAAAUUUGAGAAUACAAAGAAAGUAGUACAAGUAGCUAUAGCCAAUCAAUAAUGAGAAAGGUAAAAUCAUCAGACCAAUUAUCUCCAUUUUUGUAACCAUAUAUGCUUACAAUGCUUUGAGAUCACUUACACUUGAAAAAGCACUGAAAAUAUAUCAAGUUUGUGACUACAAUGUCCUUAAUUAAAAGAAGAAAAUCAGACUAAAAUGAGAGGAGCUGGUAUAAUCUAGACCCUAAACCUCUUUUCUAAAACUGUUUACACCUCUUCUAAAAUUGAUAUUUAUCUAUUAUUUGUUUGUCAAUGCACGGAACUGGUGCAAAGCUCCUUCACUCUAGUAUACUGCUACUUAACAUUUAGCUGUAAUCGGGUGAAGUUGAUCAACAAAAGUUCAUACUAGGUUCCUGGGAUCUUUUUCGCUCACUCUCUUUGUCCCAGAGUUAAAGCGGCUUAUUAAUGCCUCAACUGCAUGUAAUGGUACCGAUUAGUGCUUGUACAAUUUUGUUGUGCCUACACAUACCUGAACUAUUAAUAAUGUGAAUAUUCAUACCUGAACUCAAUUUUUUUUUGCUGAAACAUACAUUGACUUUUUAAUUGUUAGUCAAUUCCGUCAAUUUGUUAAUGGAGCUGAGUCAUUUGCCACGCUGGAAUCUCCGUUAGACAGAUAUAUAUAAAACGAUGUCGUUUUGAAUUUAAAAAAAAUUUAAAAAAGGUUUAAAAUUCCAAGAAUCGAUUCUUGUAUCUCGCUCCAAGAAAAAUGCCCAGUAACCACUACACCACAUAUUGUUUUCAAAAUUAAAGCGCACCAUCAAAUAUAUGUACUAGGCGUAAAAAAAAUCUCUAGUAAAAUCUCUUUCUUUCUCUUUCGCCAGUGACUCGCGACAAUCAGGUCUGAAUCAUCCUGAGGUGUGAAUCCAUGUCAGAUGUAAAUCAAAUGAAAUCGUUGAAACCCAGAUAAAAAAUCCAAAUUUUUCAACACCCAUCUUAAUCCAACAAGAGAAAAAUUUGGAAUUUACACAGAUUGGGAGAAAGAUUCAAUCAGAAAAACCUGGAAUUUUUUCUUUGGGCUGGUUUUGUUUGUGGGUUCUAUGAUCUAAUUUUGUUUAAUUUGAAGAAUAGUUUACAUAAUUUAAAGAUUAUUUCCUUUUUUGGUUGAAUCUCGGUUCGAAAAUCACGAGAAUCUAGGUCAAAUCUAGAUCUUUUUCCUUUCUAAUAGCUAAUAGCUGUGUAAGUAUUAAAAUAUGUAAUAUUUUGCUUAAUAUUAAUAAUUGUAAGUGGCGUAUCGGUAGCGUAGCUUGAGUUGGUGGAGGACCACGGUUCAAAUCCCCUCAGAUUUGAAUAACUUUUUUUUUAAUUUCAAAACAUCAUCGUUUUAUAAAUAUAUGUCUAACAGAGAUUCCAGCAUAGCAAGUGACCCAGCUCCGUUAACAAUUUGAUGGAGUUGACUAACGAUUAAAAAGUCAAUGUAUAUUUCGGCCAAAAAAAAUUGAGUUCAGGUAUAAAUAAUCAUAUUAUUAAUAGUUCAGGUAUGUAUACACUAAUCGGUACCAUUACAUGUAGUUGAAUAAGCCGUUUUCCCGAGUUUUGUAUGUACCCUAUAGCCUAAAAAAGACUCGAAUAGACGUGGACCAUUCUACCCUUGAACUCUCACCUCCUUUGUCUCCUCUCGGCCUGCUCUUCCUUCUCGUAAUCAAUCGUCAAAUUCAGAUGGAAUUCGCAGAGAUCUAGAUCCCCACCAAGUUGCUUAAUCUUCGAUAGUUUGAUGGGUUUUUGCGAUGAUGGGAACCCGAGGCCCCUGGUGAUAUUUUCGUCUUUGGAUUUAGGUUUAUCGAGUCCGGUCAAUUUCUUUAAUGUGGCAGAGAGAUGAUGAAGAGGCGUCAAUGUUGGAUUGAGCUUAAAUAUGAACUCUGUAAUCCAUUCCGGCACAAGUGUUGUCCGUAAAGCUUCUCACUUUCUCUCAGUCUCGAGGAAAUUCUUCUGCGAUGGUAGUAGCAUCGUUGGUGAUGAAACCGAUAAUGGUAUCGAAGAGCCUUUGAAGGUAACAUGGGAAUCUUCGGAGAUGGAUUGUGGGUUUGCCGAGGAACGUAAAGAAAGCUCCGGUCUUGAGGAAACCUCUGUUAGGAGAAGGUUUUUGGAAGGUGCUAAGCUCGGUGCUUCCCAGGUUCUCAGUACUUUACAGCAAGAUUGUCCCGGAUUCAAUACGAAAUCAGCUUUAGAUGAGUUGAAUGUUCCAAUCUCAGGACUUUUGGUGAGAGAGGUUCUUGUUGGGAUUCUAAAGACUCUGAGCUUUGAUAACAAGACAAGGUGUGCUAAGCUAGCUUACAAGUUUUUUGUGUGGUGUGGUGGACAAGAUUGUUUCAGGCAUACGGCCAAUUGUUAUCAUCUACUUAUGAAGAUCUUUGCAGAGUGUGGUGAGUAUAAAGCCAUGUGCAGGCUAAUAGACGAGAUGAUCAAAGACGGUUAUCCAACAACAGCACGCACUUUCAAUCUCUUGAUUUGCACAUGCGGCGAGGCAGGCCUUGCAAGAGAAGUCGUGGAGCAGUUCAUAAAGUCGAAAGCUUUCAACUACAGGCCUUUCAAGCACUCGUACAACGCGAUUCUGCAUUCGUUGCUAGGUGUGAAACAGUACAAGCUGAUUGAUUGGGUUUACGAGCAGAUGCUAGAAGACGGGUUUUCACCUGAUGUUCUGACUUACAACAUUGUAAUGUUUGCAAGCUUUAGGUUAGGAAAAACAGAUCGGCUUUACAGGUUGCUUGAUGAGAUGGUUAAAGACGGGUUUGCUCCGGAUUUCUACACAUACAACAUCCUCCUCCACCACCUAGCCACAGGGAAUAAGCCUCUCGCAGCUCUUAACCUUCUAAAUCAUAUGGGGGAAGUAGGAGUAGAGCCCUCUGUGAUCCAUUACACUACUCUGAUAGACGGGCUUAGCCGAGCCGGGAAGUUGGAAGCUUGCAAAUACUUUAUGGACGAGAUGGUGAAAGUUGGAUGCUUGCCUGAUGUUGUUUGUUACACUGUUAUGAUUGCUGGUUAUAUAUCAGGUGGGGAGCUCGAGAAAGCCGAGGAGAUGUUCAAAGAGAUGACUGAAAAGGGGCAACUCCCAAAUGUUUUCACGUACAACUCCAUGAUCCGCGGGUUUUGUAUGGCCGGGAAAUUCAAAGAGGCAAGUUCUUUACUCAAGGAAAUGGAGUCGAGAGGGUGUAAUCCUAACUUUGUGGUGUAUAGUACGCUGGUGAACAAUCUUAGAAACGCAGGGAAGCUUUUAGAGGCUCACGAGGUAGUCAAGGACAUGGUGGAGAGAGGGCAUUAUGUUCAUCUAAUUUCCAAGCUGAAAAAAUAUAGAAGAUCCUAGUUCUCUAUAUUUUGUUUUGUUUCAAAAGGCAAUUUUGUGGUGUGGAUUAAACAAAUAUAUAGCUGUUCUCGUUUUAUCAUGUUCAGUAUCCUUUCUCAAUUCUCAAACAUGUUUAGCACAGUGUUCUAUAAUUUAACACCCAUUGUUUCAAUAGAUUGAAAUAACUAACGAAAAAAAAUAAAAGUAUCGUCGACAGCAGGGUUCGAACCUGCGCGGGCGAAGCCCAACAGAUUUCAAGUCUGUCUCCUUAACCACUCGGACAUAUCGACUUGUUUGAAUCAAACGAACAAAGCCUUAUAUAGUCUUUAAAUAUUCGUACAGAAUGACGAACUUAGCCCAAUAAAAGCCCACAAAUGCUGGCUUGGAUCCUCUAGCUCAGAGUGAGGGUACUCUUACGACGUAUGCCACGUGUUACGUUAACGAGACGGUAAAAAUAAUUCUCGGAAUCUGAAAUCCGAUCAAAUCUGAAGAAAACCGGCGAAGAAUCUCUGAGGCGUAGAGUGUAUUUCAUCCCGAAGACGAACCAAGAGAUUGGUGAUAUCGUGAACUAUCACUGCGACGGCGAGGGAUGAUAUGUUGUUGGUAACGGAGGCUAGGAAUUAGAUAUGUCAUCGGGAGGAGCCGGAGAGUACAACGAAGACAGGCAUCUGUUGCGAUCCACCGACGGCGAUGAAGUUAGCAUUGGCGCAGGAGACGAUGAUCUCGAUGUUGAAUCUCAGUCUCCGGCUAUCAGGAGUGGAAGCGGAGGAGUUAGGGAUCUGUUCAAGCAUCUGGAUCGGAGAUUUUCUCUCUCCGGGCGUCGUCUAAGCUUCAAACGGAUGGAGAAUAGCAGAGUUGAUAGGGAGCACCACCAUCCUUCUUCUUCUUCACCGUUUUCGGCCGGUGUGGUUGGUGGAGUAGAAGAUGGCGGUGGUAUCAGUAAUUUACAUAGCGUCGACGAUCGCGAUUACCGGAAUGAUGAGUUCGGUUCUGAUGAUGGCAACGACGUGCUCGGAGAUAGUGCUCCACCUGAGUGGGCUCUGCUUCUCAUCGGCUGUCUUAUCGGUGUUGCCGCUGGAAUUUGUGUCGCCGGCUUCAAUAAAGGGGUAUGUAUGGUCAUACAUUCAUACAUCAGAUCUCGAUCUAUUUGAAUCUAGAUCGAUUCGACUGAACAUCAACAGUGAAUCCUGAUAAAUGCGAAUUACGCUAAACUUUUAUGACUGCUGAUUCAAUAGAGUAGUGUUUUUGUCUAGGUUCAUGUCAUUCACGAGUGGGCAUGGGCUGGUACUCCGAACGAGGGUGCUGCUUGGCUUCGUCUACAGAGACUAGCCGACACUUGGCACCGUAUUCUUUUAAUUCCUGUCACUGGAGGUGUGAUAGUUGGAAUGAUGCAUGGUUUGCUCGAGAUCUUAGACCAAAUCAGGCAGUCCACUUCUUCUUCUCAAAGACAAGGAGUCGAUUUUCUUGCUGGUAUAUUUCCAGUGAUUAAGGCCAUCCAAGCUGCUGUGACCCUUGGUACAGGAUGUUCACUUGGUCCCGAGGGACCUAGCGUCGACAUUGGAAAGUCCUGUGCCAAUGGUUUCGCCCUCAUGAUGGAAAACAACAGAGAAAGGAGAAUAGCUCUCACUGCAGCUGGGGCGGCUUCUGGGAUUGCAUCUGGUAUAAUCUAAGACCCUACCUCUUUUCUAAAAAUGCUUACGCCUGCUCUAAAUUGAUAUUGGUUUGUUAAUGCAUGGAACAGCAGCGUAGCACCUUCACUCUAGUACUUAACAUUUAGCUCUAACCAGCUGAAUUUGAUCAGCAAAUGUCUGUACUAGGUUCCUGUGAUGUUUUUUCGCUCACUCUCUUAGUCCCAGGAUUUGUAUAGCCUACAAAUGUGUCUAUGGAUCUUAGGCUCUAGUACUAGACAAAGCAUUUUGCUGAGAGUAGUUGAUGAAAAAUAGUUCUGGUUGAAGUUAUAUUUGUGAAGUAAUGGUGUUUCUUACUAGAGAUGUGAGCACCAAAACAGGGCCUGACAUUUAGUUUUUUUUCCCAAGCAUGAACUCAGUUCGCUGCACUUUGGCUUGUUUAUGGUUAAAAAUCUGAUUUUACUUGAUCGUUAUUUCCCGUUACAGGUUUUAAUGCAGCAGUGGCGGGUUGUUUCUUUGCUAUUGAGACUGUUUUAAGACCUCUACGUGCCGAGAACUCGCCUCCAUUUACCACUGCAAUGAUAAUAUUGGCCUCUGUUAUCUCAUCGACUGUGUCAAAUGCGUUGCUUGGUACUCAGUCAGCUUUCACAGUCCCCUCGUACGACCUGAAGUCCGCUGCAGGUAUGUUUAUGAUACUUUUAGGCUCAGUUGCAAAUCUUCCAGUUAGUCUUGUGGUAUGAUUUUUUUUUAGUAGCUUAUAAUUUAGUGUCCUGAUGGAUUAUGUAAUAUAUAUAUAUAUAUAUAUAUAUCAUAAAGAAUCUUGGUAUCCUUAAAUAUCGAAGCCGAGAUUUAUCUGCUUCAACUAGUACUUUCUAAUUAAUUUUCCGAAAUAUGUUUCCACUUGUCUCCAGAGCUACCUCUGUACCUGAUAUUAGGCAUGCUGUGUGGGGCUGUCAGCGUUGUUUUUUCUCGCCUCGUCACAUGGUUUACCAAGUCAUUCGAGUUCAUCAAAGAAAAAUUUGGUCUUCCGGCUAUUGUGUGCCCUGCAUUAGGUGGUUUAGGAGCUGGGAUGAUUGCUCUCAAGUAUCCCGGAAUUUUGUACUGGGGGUUUACAAAUGUUGAGGAAAUCCUGCAUACUGGAAAGAGUGCUUCAGCUCCAGGAAUCUGGUUAUUAGCUCAGUUAGCUGCAGCCAAAGUUGUGGCUACAGCUUUGUGCAAAGGCUCUGGGCUUGUAGGCGGUCUAUAUGCACCAAGUUUGAUGAUUGGUGCUGCUGUUGGUGCUGUGUUUGGAGGUUCGGCUGCUGAGAUUAUUAACAGAGCUAUUCCUGGUAAUGCUGCUGUGGCUCAACCACAAGCUUACGCUCUGGUAUUGUAUUCCCUUUGUUGCAGGCCCUUGCUCCAAUGCAGCUUUUUCUUAUUAUAAUAUUGUCCAAUUCAGUUGUUACGAAUUCUGACUUAUCAAGAUGCCAUGUUUAUAUGUGAUGCAGGUUGGGAUGGCAGCGACACUAGCUUCCAUGUGCUCAGUUCCCUUAACAUCAGUAUUACUGCUGUUCGAACUAACAAAAGAUUAUAGAAUUUUGCUUCCUCUCAUGGUAAACAUUCGUUUUCCCUCUCACUUUUUAUGAUGCUUAUGUAAAAUGGUGUAAAACCGUUUUGGAGGGGCGAGAUUAAUGAAAAUCUUUUUCUAGUAUUCUGAUUUUGUCAUUAAUAUGCUAAACAAAUUCUGGGUUUUUCUACCCUUUUUAAAACUAGGAAAUGUACCAGUUACCAUGUUCGCUAUAGUAAUAAUAAUAUAUUUUUAACCAGAGGUCGAGAGCUAGUUUUGUACAGAGAUAGAAAUAAUUUUCUUCAUGUCUACAUCAUGUGCGUUCUUGAUCUGAUCUGUCUGUCGGUUUCUUCUAACAGGGAGCAGUUGGUUUGGCAAUAUGGGUUCCCUCUGUGGCAAACCAAGGCAAAGAAAGUGACUCAUCUGAGGGUCGCAGCACAGGAAGAGGAUACUCUUCUCUUUCGCCUAAAACUGAAGGUGUUUGGAGACACACGGAUAUUGCUGACUCCCUUGAGCUUACCGUCAUAGAGAACCCUGACCACAAAUCCUUGUUGGAUGAAGAAACUAUUCUGGAAGACUUAAAGGUUCAGCGAGUUAUGUCAAAGAAAUAUGUCAAGGUUUCUCUGGGAACAACUCUAAGAGAAGCAAGAAACAUCCUUAAAGACAGCCACCAGAACUGCCUUAUGGUGGUAGACGAUGAUGAUUUUCUAGCCGGAAUCCUAACACACGGAGACAUCAGACGAUACUUGUCCAAUAACGUACCUACAAUCUUAGAUGUAAGUAGUCAAACAAAAACAAACUCUCAAAACAAACUCUUCAAUUUACUUCUUUGUCUCUUGCAGGAGAAUACAUGUCCAGUCUCUUCGGUGUGUACACGGAAAAUAACAUACCGAGGCCAAGAACGUGGAGUGCUUACUUGUUAUCCAGACGCGACAGUUGGUGUGGCCAAAGAGUUAAUGGAGGCAAGAGGAGUGAAGCAGUUACCUGUUGUAAAACGAGGUGAAGUCAUUCACCAAGGGAAAAAAAGGAAAUUGCUUGGCCUUCUUCAUUACGACUCCAUCUGGACUUUUCUCAGGUAUUAAAUUAAAAAGUCUCUCUUUUACCUUUAAUGCCCAUAAAACCCCAUUGUUUACGUGUUCGUUUUUGGUGUAUAUUCACAAUCUUAAUCAUCACAAGCAAAAUUUGCAAAUUUGUCUGUUAAUUGUAAACGUAAAUGCAAUGUUUUCAUUUCAGAAAUAUGACCCUUUUUUGGAUGUUUCUCAUGUAAAAGCUUUUGCGUUUGAAACAAUCUUGAAUUCCGAAUCGAAGGGUUUGAUUUUUUUUUUUUUUUUUUUGCUGUGGUUAUAAUUUUUUGCCAGAGAUGAAAUGAGUCGUAGGAGAUUGAUCAACGAGCGUAGAAAAGAGAAGUACGAGGAGGUUGGUGCAGCAAAUGGGCAUUGAUUGGGUUUGUACCCAUUUGGUAUAGCUUUCUUCUUCUUCUUUUUUUUUUUUAAUUUUAUUUUUGAGGUCCAUUUGAUUAGAACGGAUGAAAAUGUGGUCGUAAAAUAAUGUUAAUACCUCUUUAUUAGUUUUGGAAAUAUAUAUAUUGUUCUCAUAAAGUAACACUCAUAUCAUAUAAUCAAAGAGAAUUCUAGUGACAUAGAUACGAUAAAUUGUUGGGUGAUCUCUACUUACAAAAUUAACAUCACUAACCUCUUAGCAAACCUUGUGAUAUUCAGAAUCGACAAUAUCAUAGUGAGAUGAGUGAGUUCUGUUGAUUUUUCUUGUGUGGUUUCUCUAAUUAAUUGUUUAUCGAGGUUUAGAUGGUAUUUAGUCACCUUUACAUAACUUUAAUAAUAUGAUCAUAUUCGAAAAUUCAUUAAAUUGCUUUUCUUUUGCAUGAAUGUGAUGUACAACUGUUAAAUUAAAGUUGUGAAUUUAAAAGGUUUUUAUCUUGAUGAAUAAAUCAUGUACAGAAGAUCCACAAAGAUAAUGUCAUGACUGAAACUGGACCCUUCCUUUAAUGAUUUUCACUAAAACAGCUUUUAAAGUAGAUUUGUUAACAAAAGAGGGACAAACCUAACAAAUAGUUGACUAAUUGAUUGGAGUGUGAUUGAAUUUUGUUGGUCAUAUAUUGGUAAGUGGGUGAAGAAUGAUAAAUCUAAUAUACGUAGCUUUUUCUUCAUUAUUAGGUCGGCCCUUAAUGUCAAACAAAACAAUCAAGAGUAAAGAGAAAUGGUUUCAAUAUUCUGAUUGUAUACCCACAAUAAAAGCGCAAUAUAGUCUACCAUCUUCCAAUCUUUUAACUGAAACAGCUAAAUAUAAAAGCGUAACUAGAAUAUCAAUUAAUUUCAAAUGAUUAUUUUUCGAUAAGUCAUUUACGAUAUGUGAACACUUUACAUUUGAAGGCUUUAAACAUGUCAAGAGAUGACAUGCAUGUACUAUUCGUCAAUUUCCUUUUACCUAAUCUGAAAAAUGAUACGUUGGACCAUUAAAAUGUCUUUUUCCGUCUUUUCUAUUUCUUCUUUUACAAGCUAUGGACUAAUAAAAAAAAGGAGAAAAUCAAUCCUUACAUGUAGAAAAGUGAUUGUAAUUUGGACAAAUAAUUUUGAAUUGACUUGGAUUUCGAUCACCAUUAGAAAAGUAGUCGUUUUCUUGAAGUCGUCAUCAUCCAUCAUUCAUUAUACCAAAAUAAAGUUAAAACAAUGACAAAUGUGGUUAAGGAUGGUUUCAUAUAUUAAGCAUGUUUACACUUGUCUUUAAAAAAAAAAAAACGUGUAACUACACAUUAGAAAAUAGUUUCAAAUAUAAUAUUUUUGAAACUAGAUGUUAUCAGAAUUAACAUUUGCUCACACAAAUUUAUUUGAAAACGUUAAGAAGUCAUAAAUUGAGGAUUUUUUCUUUUUUGCUAAAAAGGUAACACUUGUAGAAUUUUUUUCUUUCAAAGCCUAUUCUCUUUAUUUUUAAUCCUUACAUACACUAUGGUUUUGAUUGGUAACUUUGCGGAAUGGCAGAAUUGCGGAAAAAAUCUUGUAGAAUAGAUUAAGCGACUUAUAAGUCGCUUUUCUGCGGAAUGACUUUUCCUUUGUAUUUUUGUUAAGCAAAAACGCAGUCUGCGUUUUUGUGUGUAUUUUUUUAUUACGCGGAUUUUUGUUGAUUGACAAAAAAUCUGCAGAUUACCAAUCAGAGCCUAUAUUACUAAUCUGCGGAUUUUUGUGUGUAUCUUUUUAUUACGCGAAUUGUGUUUUUAAACACAAUUCUACCAUUCCGCAGAUUACCAAUCAGAGCCUAUAUAAAAAAUAAAAUAUACGUAUGCGUAAGUGGGCGUGGGAGAAUCUUUGGAGUCGAAAGAGCACAAAAUAUGCGCUCGUGCGGUAGAGUAUACUGACAAAAUUGGUACCCGGCCCAACCCUACGGCCCACACGCGUCAAAACCGUUUCCGGCUUUUCAUAAAACCUCUUUCGAUUUUGAAUUCUCUUAUUAUCUCUAAUCUAUCUAUUUAAUUUUAUUAUAUAACGUAUAAUAAUAAUAAUUUGAUUCCCUGUCUUUUCCCUCACCAUAUACUGUAGUUAUUUCAAAGUUUCCCGACCUUGUCGUCAUUAACAUCGGAUAUCACACAAGCUAAAUAAUUUAAAAUAAUACUCUACUUUGCCCAUUUUCUAUGUGUAUAAACUAUGUUAUACGUUAAUACUUCGAAUAUUUUGUUUGUCUUUGUCCCCUAAUCUUUACAUGUGAAUGUCACGGAUGUUUGGAAUGAAUGUUAUAUUGGAUGUUUUAUUUAUGUAGUACAGUAAUGAUUUCAUUUUCAAAACGUAGCGUUAUUUCGAAUGAGAUCAUGAAAAAACUUGCUCAGCUUAUUCUAAAUAGAUAAACUUGCUUAACUUAAUUUAUUCCUAAUAAUAUACCUCGAUUAAUAAAAAAAAUGUACUCUGUAAAGCACUUAAUAUAACGAUCGAAUAGCUAAUACAGCUGUACAUAUGGGCUAGGAUAGAAAUUAGAUAAAAUGCGACGGUUUGCCAAAAAGUUAAGCGGCAACUAUAUAAAUGAAGACAAAACGCGGGGCCACAAAACUAAUAUACAAAAGGAAACGAGGACCAAAGGCAAAUUAAGAACUAUAUUUGUUAAAAUUUUUGAAUUUAACAAAUAAGCUAGUGCUUCGUGCCGUGUAGGGUUAGAAAGUUGCAUUAAUGCGUAGAAACAUACGAGAACUGAGGGGAAAAGUAGGCCUUUAUCGUGAAUAUCGUCAAAUUUAUCAUACUUUAUUUUCUUGUGUAGGUUAGACCACAGACUACUAUUUAUAUGGUAACGAGAGACCUAAAUAUCUACUAUCAAACGUGCCGGGUAAUUUAUAUAACCCCAAAAAAAAGUAUGAUAAAGAGUGAUAAUAAUAUAAUCGGAACACUAAAAGAUAUCGAAUCCAAGUGUUUGACUAUAAGUCCCAUUUAAAGAUUUAUCUCCAACGGGCCAAAAAAAAUUAUUAGCAAGAAAACAUUUACAAACUUCUUAGAGUUUGUUUCUUUCCCCUAAAAUGAAAAUAAUUAAUCCAAUGUAACAUUUGAAUUUGUGGAACAUUUUAUCAAUGCAAGAAAAUUAAUAAUUAGGUAGGGAUUAUAAAGAGAUAAUUAAUCUUUAGUAUCAUGAUUAUGUUUUCUCUUCUUUUCUGGAGGAUUAUGUCUUCAUUUAUCUGCUUUUCCUUUUGUUAUUCUUUCUUUCUUUCUUUGCCAUUUUGUUUAUUACUAAAUUUUUGUUCUCUAUUGCUUUUGCAAUUUUCCCGCAAAGAGAGAGUUUUUUGUGUGUGUGUGAGAAUAAAUAAUUAAUAAAGAAAUCAUUCGCUUUUACAAUUAAACCUUUGAUAUUUCUUUCCAAACAGAAAAACCCAAUCAGCUCCCAUUUACGCAAGAUAAGAAAGGAUAAUUCUUUUUUUUUUUUUGAAACUUAAUAAUUCUUUUUCUUUCCAAUUUUUGUUUUCCGGGAGAUAUCUAGUUUUGUUCCUGGAAAAAUCACUUUUAUUCUUCUCUUUUCUGGGUGAUGGUCGUGCAAAAAAGAAAGUUUCCUCUCUAUGUAAGCAUUUCUCUCUCACUACGGAAUCUUAAACCCUCUGAUUUUGGAAAGAAAAAAAAAAUCUAACUUUGGUUGUUUUGAAUCCGACCAUCUCUGCAACAUCGUACUUGAGCAGAAACAGUAUCUAAAAAACUAUCUCUGUUGUCUUCUUCAUCAGCGAAAUCCUCUCUCUCUCUCUCUCUCUCCUUCUUCCGUCACCGUCACAGUCGUCUCUGUCAAACUUAGGUUCUACUCUUUGUUUCUUCCUCUGCAUCUUUUCGUCUUCUUCUUGAACAUGGUUUCAUAUAUAAAUCAUCUUUUUUUUUAAUUAAAAAAAAAGAUAGUAUCUUUGUUGUUUUUCUGAAAGCUUACUCUGUUUGUUUUUCUCUCCUUCUCUUUGGUUUCUCAGAGUUGCAAGAUCUCUACUUUGGAAGCUCUGGAGGAACUGAGAACAGUAAAUGAACCAGAGCAAGAAGAAAGAAGAUCUUUACUCCUUUGAAACAUUCCAUUCAGGGGCAGAAGUCCUGAGCUUGGAGGAGUAUCAAUCUCUUUAAGGCAUUUAAUCGAACACUUGGUGGGGCCAAUGAAGCAAAAAUGGCUGUUAUUGUUGAUCCUCUGUUUUUAUGCAACUUUUCUGGUGAUGGGCACUCAUGGAAAAAGGCUAAUCAGCGACGGCGACUUCAACGAAGCUGCUCUGUUGAUGUCGUUCAAGCAACUCUCUGUAAAGUCUGAUCCUAACAACUUUCUGGGUAACUGGAAAUACGGGUCGGGUCGUAGCUUAUGCUCUUGGCGAGGCGUUUCUUGCUCUGACGACGGCCGAAUCGUCGGAUUGGACCUCCGAAGCGGCGGACUCACCGGAACUCUAAACCUAGUUAACCUCACGGCGUUGCUCAAUCUCCGGAAUCUUUACCUGCAAGGAAAUGAUUUCUCUUCCUCAGGAGAAUCGUCUGCUUCUGAUUCCGGCUCCAGUUGCUAUAUUCAGAUUCUGGAUUUGUCUUCGAACUCGAUUUCUGAUUAUUCAAUGGUGGAUUACGUCUUCUCGACAUGUUCAAAUCUGGUUUCGGUAAAUUUCUCGCACAACAAGCUCGCCGGGAAAUUGGGUUCUGCUCCGUCGUCGUGUAAGAGUUUGACGACUGUUGAUCUCUCAUACAAUAUCUUAUCGGAGGAAAUCCCGGAGACUUUUAUCGCGGAUUUUCCGGCGUCGCUGAAAUAUCUCGAUUUAACUCACAACAAUUUAACUUGCGAUUUUUCCGAUCUCGGUUUCGGGAUCUGUGGGAACCUCAGCUUCAUCAGUUUAUCACAGAACAAUAUCUCCGGCGAUGGUUUCCCGAUUUCUCUAUCUAACUGUAAAUACCUCGAGAUGUUGAACAUCUCUCGGAACAAUCUCGCCGGAAAAAUCCCCGGCGGAGAGUAUUGGGGAAAUUUCCAGAAUCUGAAGCAGCUCUCUCUCGCACACAACCGUCUGACCGGCGAAAUUCCACCGGAGCUUUCUUCACUCUGCAAAACCUUAGAGAUUCUCGAUCUCUCCGGAAACGCUCUCUCCGGCGAGCUUCCUCCACCAUUCACCGCCUGCGUCUCAUUACAGAACCUUAACCUCGGAAGCAACUUCCUCUCCGGCGAUUUCUUAACCACCGUCGUGAGUAAAAUCCCCGGAAUCACAUAUCUAUACGUGGCUUACAACAACAUCUCAGGCUCUGUUCCGAUUUCACUCACCAACAUUACAAACCUCCGUGUUCUUGAUCUAAGCUCAAAUGGUUUCACCGGAAAUAUACCGUCUACCUUUUGCUCUCUGCAAGACUCGCCGGUUCUUGAAAAGAUUCUCAUAGCCAACAAUUACCUCUCAGGAACACUUCCUAUGGAGCUUAGCAAAUGCAAAAGCUUGAAGACGAUCGAUUUCAGCUUCAACGCUCUCACCGGUCCGAUCCCAAAGGAGAUAUGGACGCUGCCGAAUCUCUCGGAUUUGGUCAUGUGGGCGAACAAUCUCACCGGAAGAAUCCCAGAAGGUGUUUGUGUUAAAGGAGGAAACUUGGAAACUCUCAUCCUCAACAACAACCUCCUAACCGGUUCAAUCCCUGAGUCAAUCUCAAGAUGCACCAACAUGAUUUGGAUCUCUCUUUCAAGUAAUCGUUUAACCGGAAAAAUCCCAAGCGGCAUCGGAAAUCUUUCCAAAUUAGCAAUCUUGCAGCUUGGGAACAAUUCCUUGUCCGGAAACGUCCCACGUCAGCUCGGGAACUGCAAGAGCCUGAUCUGGCUCGACCUUAACAGCAACAAUCUAACAGGAGACCUCCCUGGUGAGCUAGCUAGCCAAGCCGGGCUUGUAAUGCCAGGGAGUGUCUCAGGUAAACAGUUUGCGUUUGUGAGGAACGAAGGAGGAACAGAUUGCAGAGGUGCAGGAGGGUUAGUCGAGUUUGAAGACAUUCGUGCAGAACGUUUGGAGCGUUUUCCAAUGGUUCAUUCGUGUCCAGCGACACGUAUAUACUCAGGCUUGGCAAUGUACACUUUCACUGCAAACGGAAGCAUGAUCUACUUUGACAUCUCUUACAACUCCGUGUCCGGUUUUAUACCGACAAGUUACGGUAACAUGGGCUAUCUCCAGGUCUUGAAUUUGGGACAUAACCGUUUAACUGGAACCAUCCCGGACAGUCUUGGAGAAUUGAAAGCCAUUGGUGUUCUUGAUCUAUCUCACAACGAUCUUCAAGGGUACUUACCUGGAUCGCUUGGAUCGCUUUCUUUCCUCAGCGAUCUUGAUGUCUCUAACAACAACCUCACAGGUCCAAUCCCAUUUGGAGGUCAGCUUACAACGUUCCCUGUCUCGAGAUAUGCAAACAACUCUGGUCUCUGUGGCGUUCCCUUGCGUCCCUGCGGCUCAGCUCCUCGGCCUCUUACCUCCCGUGUCCACGGCAAGAAGCAAACCAUUGCAACCGCUGUGAUCGCUGGAAUCGCGUUUUCUUUCAUGUGCCUUGUGAUGCUGGUCAUGGCGCUUUACAGGGUGAGGAAAGCUCAGAAGAAGGAAGAGAAGAGGGAGAAAUACAUUGAGAGCCUUCCAACUUCUGGAAGCUGCAGCUGGAAGCUCUCUAGCGUUCCUGAACCGCUUAGCAUCAACGUUGCUACGUUCGAGAAACCACUGAGAAAGCUUACUUUCGCGCAUCUUCUUGAAGCCACAAACGGGUUUAGCGCAGAGACUAUGAUCGGAUCUGGUGGGUUUGGAGAAGUCUACAAGGCUCAACUCAGAGACGGAUCUGUUGUAGCGAUCAAGAAGUUGAUCCGAGUCACGGGGCAAGGCGACAGAGAGUUCAUGGCUGAGAUGGAAACAAUCGGAAAAAUCAAACACAGAAACCUCGUUCCGCUUUUGGGAUACUGCAAGAUCGGGGAAGAGAGGCUUCUUGUCUAUGAAUACAUGAAAUGGGGAAGCUUGGAAACUGUUCUUCACGAGGUAUCCAAAAAAGGCGGAAUCUUUCUGAAUUGGGCCGCGAGGAAGAAGAUUGCCAUUGGAGCUGCAAGAGGUCUAGCGUUUCUGCACCAUAGCUGCAUUCCUCACAUAAUCCACAGAGACAUGAAGUCGAGCAAUGUUCUUCUAGACCAAGACUUGGAAGCACGUGUGUCGGAUUUCGGGAUGGCGAGGCUAGUUAGCGCUCUAGACACGCAUCUGAGCGUGAGCACGCUCGCAGGUACUCCAGGAUACGUCCCGCCGGAAUAUUACCAGAGUUUCCGGUGUACGGCCAAAGGGGAUGUUUACAGCUACGGAGUUGUGCUUCUUGAGCUUCUCUCUGGUAAGAAACCGAUAGAUCCAGGAGAGUUUGGAGAAGACAAUAACCUUGUCGGGUGGGCGAAACAGCUCUAUAGAGAGAAAAGAGGAGCUGAGAUUCUCGACCCGGAGCUUGUAACCGAGAAAUCAGGCGAUGUUGAGCUGUUUCAUUACUUGAAGAUCGCGUCUCAAUGCUUGGACGAUCGACCCUUUAAGCGGCCAACAAUGAUUCAAGUGAUGGCCAUGUUCAAAGAGCUUAAGGCUGAUACAGAGGAAGACGAAAGUCUUGAUGACUUUUCGCUUAAGGAAACUCCUUUGGUGGAAGAUUCUCGAGAUAAGGAGCCUUAAUAUCGAAGACUGAGUAUGCUCUGUUACUUGUUUCAAAUUUUUUGUGUCACUGUAUAUAACAGAAGAAGCUUGAGCGAGACGGUCAGAUUGAGCAGAAGUGGAAGUAGCCAUUGAAGAUUUAUUGUAGUUGUUAAGCUCGCUUUGAGGGUUUUUGUAUUUGGUUAACUUGUAAUACACGGUAAGAGAAGUUCUUCAUUUUGAACUUUUAUAACUUUCCAUUUAAUAAUGUGAUGUUUUCUUGCGUUCUUUCCAAACAUCUUGAGUCAGAUUUUAUUUUUAAUUUGUUAAACGAUUGUUAGAAAUUUAUCAUUUUAUCUGCUGCAAAAAGUUUCCCUUCCACCAUCUUCAUUUAACUUCUGCAAAUACUUGUAUGCUUUCCUUGUUCCUGAAAGAAUACAAUAAACAAUAUAUUCAAGUUCAACAGUAUGACGUAAUCUAACAAACCAUGAAAUAAACACACACAUAAUUUGGAACUUUUUUUUUUAACAAGACAAAUUACUACAAGUUUACAACGUGAAAAGUCAACAAAAGUUAGAUUAAAAAUAAUAUAAAGUUUGGGUUUUUAUGAAAUCAGUUUGGUUUCUGAUUCAGGAUUGAAAUAACGAGAUCCAUGGAAUAUGAAAUACUAAAACGGGCUAUUUAUGGGUCGAAUUUAAAAUCCCAGUGUAAUGUGGAUUAUGUGGGGACCAUAUGCUCAAAGUCACAUUUCACCGGAAAAUAUGAUUAUGCCAAGUGCAAUACUAGAAAAGUGGGGACCAUAUGCUCAAAGUCACAUUUCACCGGAAAAUAUGAUUAUGCCAAGUGCAAUACUAGAAAAGGAACCCAUUAACUAAGUGUUGACUAACAAAAUCUAACCAGUGAUGUAAUCUACACCCUUUUUUUCACCUGAAUGUAACAAAAAUUAAUAUAUCACUCAUGGUGAUGGUAGAUUGGUAGUAGUAGUGGAUUAGCAGUUUCUACCGGUUCAGAAGUUGUUUUGUAGAUGUAAAGAUGUAAAUUGGAGAUUAGUUCCCUUUACUCAUGAGAUUAUGAUGAAGGGCAUAUUACGAACUUGGGUUAUAUUUGAGUGACGUCUUGGGUUUGAGUUAUUUUGUUUCUUUUUACGAAAGUUAUCGUAUCAUUGUUUAGGAUUUAUUCAUAUCUUAACUACUUAGAUUUCAUAGAUUUCUUUAGAUUCUCUAUUAGUUAUAAGUACUCGACACCUCCGUUAUUGUAAGGACGUUGAAUUGAUAUUGAAGUUUUUAAGAGCUUUCGAGCACUGUGAAGAGUAUUCACAUCUUUUACUGAUUUAGUCCUCGUUGUCGACCUCUAAAUCAGUUUCUCUACAGCUUGUGAUCGAACUUCGUCGAUCCCUUGUUGUUAUAGCUUCCGCUACUCUAUCAGAUUAUCUAACAACUCUCUUUUUCUAAGAGAUGACAGGCACAAACGGUUUGGUUUUACGAUAUUCUAGAUUUCUUAACAUUCAUAUAUAUUUUUGGUCGAAUUAUAUGUAAAUGUAACAUUCAAACUUGGAAAACUACAUCGACUAAUUUGUUUUAUAUGUUUUAUAUACUGAUGCGAAAUGCAUCUUUCUGGUCAGCUCCAGACUCCAACUCUUGUGUCUUGGAUUUGGAGGUAGUUAUUAAAACUAGAAUGUAUAAAAAUUAAUAUUCACUUGAAUGUAUAAAAAUUAAUAUAUCACUUGAAUGUAUAAAAAUUAAUAUUCACUUGAAUGUAUAAAAAUUAAUAUCUCACUUGAAUGUAUAAAAAUUAAUAUAUCACUCAUGGUGAUGGUGGUAGUGGAUUAGUAGAUUCUACGUACCGGUUGAGAAGUUGUUUUGUUGAUGUAAAGAUGUAAAUUAGAGAUUAGUUCCCUUUACACGUUAAGUUAUCUAACAACUCUAGAUUAUGAUUUUACGAUAUUCUAGAUUUUUUAUAUGUAACAUUCAAACUUGGAAAACCACAUCGACUAAUUUAAUUUGUUUUAUAUACUACGUAAAAAUGUUCUUUAAAAUAUUACCUACGAAAAGGGAAAAGAAAUUUAACGAAAGUUACUGAGUGGCCGGGGUGAACACCAACGCUCACUAGAUCCAUAAUAUGAGGUUUGAUUCAUUAGAAACUGUGACAUACUCACACAGAAAAAUGUAUUGGCAAUGCCAAAUUAAUACAAAAGUUUUCUGAUUAACAUGGUGUGAAUAACUCUCUUGGCAAGAGUUUCUCGUAAGUCCACCUCGGACAAACACUGAAACACAUGAACCAAAGUUUAAUAAAUUGUUCUCAAACGCGUUUAAGCCUUUUCUAUCCCAAAAGAAAAUAAAAUCUAUUCCUAAAUCCUAAUACUAUGUAGUUCGUGGUUGUGGAUUAUAUUUUAAUUGUUAAUGGUCAAUGCAUCGACUUACCUGUUAUGGCUAUUUUGAGAUAACUAUAUAUUCCUUUUAGAAUUUGUGCACUUGCCAUAUUCCUCGGUCAACAUUUUUUUGGUUCUAUUUAUGUUAUUUCCACAUUUGUGUUAACCACUAAAACACAUACCCGUAUUUUAAAACUGAACCAAAAAUAAACCAAAAUUUUGGUUAAUUUACAAGGUCCAGAUCAAACCAGUGGAACCGCCAACCUUAAAAUUGAUAAGAAAUACAGCAACCACUUUCAAAAGUUCACAGAUAUUCUAAUAUAUAUUAUUUUAAAUUCGACCAUAAUAUAUAUUACUUCAAUAGUUUUAAGAACGUCAAAAGAUAUUGACAAUAGUCUUUAAAAAGAAAAAAAACACUAAAGACAAUUUAAAACACGCUAAAAUAUCAUAUAAGAUAUAAAACUAGUUAAUAUAUAUAAUUAAUAUAUAAUUAUUAUGGUAAUAUAUUAUUUUAUGAAAACGAUAUAACGGAUCUAAAAUUGAUUAAACUUCGAUUUUAUUAACUAAAUUAUACGUAUAAUCUCGAUUUUUUAAAAAAUAUGUUAGAUAAUAAAUAUAUAAUCGCAGUAAUAUUAUGUCUAAUUUAUAUAUGUUAUACUAAUAAUAAUUACUUGAUGGUAAAAACAGCAUAAUUUAAAAUAAAUUAAAAUAAACGUAUAAUUUUGAUAUAAAACUAGUUAAAAUAUAUGAAUAACUUAAAAAAAUUUUAAAAGAUUAGAUUCUAAAUAAAUAUAAUCAUUAUAAUAUAUUAUUUUUUUGAAAAUGAUACAACAAAUUUAAAAUUAAAUAAACUGUACGUAUAACCUUGAUUUUUUAAAAAAAUAUUAGAUAAUAAAUAUAAAAUCGCGGUGAUAUUAUAUCUAGUUUAUAUAUGUUAUAUUUAUAAUGAUUACUUGAUGGCAAAAACGGCAUAAUUUAAAAUAAAUUAAAAUGUAUAUAUGUACUUUUUAACUGAGUUAUUAAUAAAUAUUAAAUCAUAGUGAUAGUCUAUUUAAUUUAACUUUGUGAUAUUAAUAAUCACUUAUCAGAAUGCUGUUUUUGAGUUUAAUAUUUUAAAUUUUUUGAUAUAUCUUGGUUACGUAAAUUAUGAAUUUAAAAAAAAAUUAAAUUAGUUUUUGUUUAUUAUUCUACAAGAAAGUAAAAAGUCGAAUUUCUUUUAUUUACAUCAUGCUUUCGGUAUUGUUUUGAUAAACCCAAACCGAAGUAAACCCCUCGCAUAAAAACCAAAAAUCGAAAAAAAAAAGAAGUAAUAAAAACUUCUUUAGGCAUUGUUGACACUUGGAUGACGAUGUUUGACCAUUUAAAAUUGUUACCAAAGUAAAUGGUGACGAAUUUUGUUAUAUAAGAACACCAUCUUCCUCCUAGCUAAGUGCACACAUCUCUUUUUUCUUCUUCUUUUUUCUUUUUUUCUUCUUCUUCUUCUUCGUUCGGCUAAAUUCCUCUCAAGAAAGAGGUCUCUCCUUUACAUAUAUAAUGCUUUUUAUUAAAUAACCUAAUCAUUCGAAUUCUCCCAAAUUAUAUCACUUUUACACAAUAUUCCAAACUGAUAUAUUUCGUCUUCUAACUCUCUUUUGUUUUCGUUGUGUGUGUUUCUUGACAUCCAAGUGUUCUCUAAAAAAAAAAACAAAAAAAUGAUCGAUCAUGAUGGAAAUUUCAUGGAAACGAUAUCGUUUUGGGCUCCACCGUCCAGUCCUAGCCCAAGAACGAUUCUAGAGAUGCUGAAUCAAACCGAUAAUGGUAUAAAUCCAAUCAGCGAGAUCUUCCCUCAAACCAACUUAUCAACUUAUCAUCAUCAUCAGUCUGAACAAAGAUCUGGUCUCGGCGAGAGAGUAGCUGCAAGAAUAGGAUUUAAUCUUCCUCCACUAGACGCAGAGAACAUCAGUCCAAUUUCUGCAUUUUUCAGGAACUCGACGACUGUUCCUUCUCCUGUCGUCGAAAUCUCUCCAGGAUUCAGCCCAUCUGCUCUGUUGCUAUCUCCAGAUAUGUUCUCUAAUUCCUCACAGGUAAAUAACAAUGUCUUUUAUGUAUGUUUUUACGAUUGUUUUAUUUUAUAAUUCGUGUUUAAAUUUAUAUUAAUUAUGAUUUAACAUUUAGCCCAAAAAAAAUUAUAAUCAUAUGAUAAAUUAAAAAGGUUGAAUAAACAAAUGAUUAAACAAAUAUUUGGGAAUGUAAUUAAUUACGUAUGUUAUUUUAAAAUGAUUAGGUGGAAAAAAUAUAAGUAGUAACAUUAUCUAUCGGUAAACACAGAAUCUGUAAUUUCCUUUUUGUUCACGUUUGACAUUUAUUAUACCUAUUUGAGUUUUUUUUUUUUUUGGGGUCAAAUACCUAUAUGAGUUUACUAUUUACAAAUGAUGUCUUCAUAAUAAAACAUUUUACCUUUAUAUUUCAUUUCACCGCCGAAUAAAAUUUUACGCAAAAAUUUACAAAUUUUACAAAUGAUGUCUCCAUAGUACUAGUAUUAUGUUUGGUAAUGUAUUUUUCAGAUUAUCCCUUCGUCUCCGAUGGCCAACGGCGAGACGGUGGAAAGUUGCGGUGACAACGACGAAACGACGAUGAUAUUCAACAACGAUCUUCCUCAUCAGCCGCUGCACGUUGAUCUGCCUCCUGAAGAAGGUAAUAGAGUUGCUUGUGUCUCAAGUUUGCUUCUAUUUUGUAUUUUUCGAAUCUUUUUAUCGGUUCUUUUUUUUUUUUUACAUGUGAAACAGGCUCUGAUGGUAUUCCAACGGAAGAGUCCGUUAAUAUCCCAUCUCAUGAAUCUCUUGCUGAUCCCAUUGGUGCUCCUUUAAACGCAUCUUUUGAAUUUGAAAUUGUUGACCAGACCGAUAUCAUCAACAGGGGCGGAGGUAGUGAAAGAGUAAUGGGAUCACGUGCCCUUACUCUUUUUUUUAUUUAUUUAAAUAUUUAAAUAAAUUUAUUUAAAUUACUUUUAAUUUAGUGAUAGAAAAAAAAUUGUCUCCAACUAAUUUUGUUUAUCAUACUUAUAAACUUAUGCUCCCAACUAUUUUUUUUUAGAUCCACCACUGAUCAUCAACAUCAAUAGCGAAAGCGAGGACGAGGACGAGGAUGAGAACGAGGGCGAGGACGAAGAAUACAACGAAGAUGAAGAUGUAGACGAAGAAGAAGACGACGACAUUGUUGCUGAACUAGAAGUCGAACCUUCAUCUCCAAAGAGAAGGUCCAAACAGAAUUAGUUUAACAUAUCAUAAUCGAUAAUACUAAUUAAAGAACAUCUCAAUUUUAAUUAAACCAAAGUUAAUGACCGAAUUCUCUUGCAGGAAAUUUGAGGUAUCAAACAUGAUUGGAGCGACAAGAACAAGCAAGAACGAAAGGGUCAUAAUUCAGAUGGAAUGCGAAGAAGACCUUCCUGACGAUGGUUUUCGCUGGAGGAAAUACGGUCAGAAAGUUGUCAAAGGGAAUCCAAAUCCGAGGUUGUCAUUUCACCAUGUUCCUAGCUCUUUUUUUUUUUAAUAACCAAUUCGAUGCUAAAUCUUAAAAAAAAAAGAUAUUUUUUGUGUUUUGGUAUAAAUUAAUGGUAAUGGCAGGAGUUACUACAAAUGCACGUACAACGAGUGCCAAGUGAAGAAGCAUGUGGAGAGAGGAGCAGACAAUGCGAAGUUAGUGGUGACCACAUACGAUGGGAAACACGAGCACGCUGCACCAGCUGCACGCAUUAGCCAUUCUGGUCCAAGGAGUCGGUCCGGUUCAUCAUCAGUGACUCAAGAUUCUACCAAUCGAACCGCUCGGUUAGGCAGGCCGCCUUCUUCGUCUCAAGCCAUGAUGAGGCCGCUCUCUUCUUCUUCGGCCCCACAAAUUGAUAUGACACAGUUCUAUAUGUCCGGACUCUCUAGGCUGCCCACUUUACCGGUUAACCAGAAUACUGGUUCUACGUACCGAAAUGAUGAACCGAAUGUGAUACCGGACGGCUCAGAGGUCUACAAGGGGAUCAUGCAUCGGCUAUCUCUUGAGUUUGGUCUCCAAUUUUAGGUGCAAACCGUUUUCAACAACAACUAAAAAGAGUUGAUUUUUUUAUUUUUUUUUAAAUCCGUAUCCGCAUUGAUAUCAUCCCUUAUACAAUAAUAUACAAGAUAUACAAAAACUUGUACUCAUCAGAGCUUAUUUUAUGAUUUUUAAUGAAUGUUACUCUUUGUGCUGAACGGUUUAAUUUCUAAUAAUUUGAGUUAGAAAUGCCUAAUUAAAAAAUCGAAAAUCGGAUCAAGGAGUUUUCUUUAAACCGAUCGGUAAUGACUCGGACAAGUCGGUAAGGAUACGACUAGCCUUGCGUCCAAACACCGCUCGUCUUUUUAUUCGUGUCAACGGCUCAAAAGGGGAAGAACAUGAACAAAUUUGAGAUUCUGGAAUUGAAUUGAAUUGAAGUGGGAGAAGAGAUAGAGAGAUAAUUCACCAUGGAGGAAGUGACGAGAUCUGUGUUAGCAGAGGAAAUACUGAAGCGUUUAGAUCUCGAGAAUCUCUGUUCCGUCGCCUGUGUUUCCACCACGCUCCGCUCCGCCGUUGUCUCCGGCGUUCUCCCUUCUCUUACCUCUCUCGAUCUCUCUGUAAGUCUCCGAUCCUCUAUAAUUCCGCGUUUUUUCUCUCUUGGAAAUUGAUGAAAUUUAUCGACUUUCGUUCCCUUGUGUUGUUAGGUUUUCUCUCCCGACGAGGAAACUCUGAAUUACAUGCUGCGUGGUUGCAUCGGACUCAGGAGCCUAACUCUGAACUGUCUCCGCCUCAGCGUUGCUGCUGUGCGUGGGGUUCUCGGGCCACACCUCCGGGAACUUCACUUGCUCAGGUGUUCACUUCUUAACUCCACCGUCCUCAAUUCCAUCGGGAGCCUCUGCCCAAAUCUCCGGUACAAUUUCCGUUUUCCCCAUGAUAGUGCGAUAGGUGACUCAAUGAAUUCUCGUGCUUGUGGGCUAUAUUUAUUUCUGCGAUUUAGUAGUUUGAUAGACUGAAAAAAAAUGGAAAAUUUGAUCCCUUUUUCUUUGACUUAGGGACUAUCGAUCAAUUCCAUAUAUAGAGAGAGCUAUGAUCCGGUAGAUGAUAGGACGUCUUUUUAGUUUCUGGUUCUCAUAUUAGACUUUCACUAAAAGAAUCGAAACCCACCUGCUGAUAAUUUGUCUUUCCUUGAAGGCAAGCGUUUACGUGUUUGAGAUUAGCUAUGGCUUUUUGUCAAUCAUACAGAAUUGAGUUUCUUUCUAUAGAGCAUUGAAGGUAUGAAAGUCAGCUAAUUUGGUUUUAUAAUUACAGGGUUCUUACGCUGGAAAUGACAGACCUGGAUUCACCCGUUGUUUUUCAAUCAAACCUGACACAAAUGCUUAAUGGGUGCCCGUAUCUGGAGGUAAUUUCUUAAAGCUUGCUGAGGGAUUGGUCCGAAGAAGCGAGAAAGUGUGAAAUUGAAUUGGGUUUUUAUAUUCUUGUGAUGCUUGCAGUCUCUGCAACUAAAUAUCCGAGGUAUCCUAGUAGAUGCCACCCCUUUCCAGUCUGUUAGAUUCUCCUUGCCUGAAACCCUCAAAGUUCUAAGGUUACAGCCAUUGCUCGAGUCCGAGGCAAUUCUUCUCAUGAACAGAUUCAAAGUCUCCGGAAGUUGUUUAUCUAAGGCUGAUUAUAGUGCCUUGCUUUCUCCUUCACCUUCUUUGACUUUGCAAAGUCUGUCUCUUGUACUGGACUUGAUUUCUGACAGGCUAAUCAUAGCUAUCACAGGUUCUCUUCCUCAACUUGUCAAACUGGACCUUGAAGACCGUCCUGAAAAAGAGCCAUUUCCUGACAGUGACUUGACUUACACUGGGCUUCAGUCUCUGGGUUAUUGUCAGCAACUCACAAGCCUCUCUCUAGUUCGAAGUUGUUACAACCGCAAGAUAUCAUUCAAGAGAAUUAAUGACAUGGGUAUAUUUCUCCUUUCCGAGGCUUGCAAAGGUUUAGAGUCAGUGAGACUUGGCGGGUUCCCAAAAGUCAGCGAUGCUGGUUUCGCAUCGCUCCUUCACUCGUGCCGGAACCUGAAAAGGUUUGAAGUUCGAGGCGCCUUCCUGUUGUCUGAUUUGGCAUUCCAUGAUGUCACAGGAUCUUCUUGUUCUCUCCAAGAGGUCAGGCUCUCCACGUGCCCUCUCAUAACCAGCGAAGCCGUGAAGAAACUGGGGUUGUGUAGCAAUCUUGAGCUGCUCGACUUAGGAAGCUGCAAAAGUAUAUCAGAUUCUUGCCUAAAUACUGUUUCAGCCCUCAGAAAGUUAACUUCUCUGAAUCUCGCAGGAGCUGAUAUAACAGACAGUGGCAUGCUUGCACUUGGUAAGUCGGAUGUUCCCAUCACGCAACUCUCCCUCCGCGGCUGUAAGAGAGUCAGUGACAGAGGAAUUUCCUAUCUGUUGAACAGUGAAGGAACAAUCAGCAGAACAUUGUCAACACUUGAUCUCGGUCACAUGCCAGGAAUCUCAGACAGAGCUGUACACACAAUCACGCGCUAUUGCAAGGCUUUAACAGAGCUAAGUCUUAGGAGUUGCUUUCACGUGACAGAUUCUUCGAUAGAGUGGCUUGCUACAAGGGAAAGACAAGCAGAGGGAGGAAGCAAACAGUUGAGGAAGCUCAACGUCCAUAACUGUGUGAGGUUGACGACUGGAGCACUGAGAUGGCUGAGCAAGCCGUCAUUUGCAGGUCUCCAUUGGUUCGGAUUGGGACAGACACGGUUCGCUGGUCGUAAGGAGACAGCUAGGUUCCGCGAGCAGAGACCCUGGCUCACGUUGUGUUUUGAUGGGUGUGAGCUUGGAUGCUAUGAUGGUUGGGAAUUCCACACGCCUCAACGCCAUUGAGGAAGCUCGUCGUCUAACUAGUUUAUGUAUUGUAUAAAUUCUAAAAAUCGUUCAGAAAAAUGAUUCAAUGUACAAGAAUGUGUAAUUUAUUUGAAACUUUUUAUUUUCUUUAAAUUAUAUUGUAACUAAAUUUAAGUGUCGUGGGUUAUAGUUGAAAUUAAUUCCAAAAAUGCACAAAAAAAGUGACAAAACGAUUGCAUAAAACUAAAAAAAAACAAUUGGAAAGGCAAAAGGAUUCAAGUGCCUAUAUGUUAGCCUUAGCAGAUGGCAACAUAUACUUAAAAUCUGGAGCCAAGCCAACUACUAAAGAUUUGACUUAUAUGAUUGAUUAAGUAGUUAUAGGCUAAUUAAGAAAAACAAGCUAGAUACCCAUAUUUCUGAAUUAAUUAAUUGAAGAGGCAUUCACAUAUCUACAGACUACACAUUAACGACAAAUGUAACCUGAAUCAACAUCACGUGUCGGUCUCACAAACCGAACACCCGAAAACCAGAGUGUUGUCUUCCCCUUUACAAUUCGUUUUUUGGAUUCUUUUUUAGUUCAUUACAAUAUUCUCAUCUGUAUAUAUUUCUAGUUAGUCAUAUUUUCUAUUAAUAUAUAUAGAUUUACAUAGAAUCCAAAAAUACAUCAAAAAUCUUUAUAUAUGUAAUUUAGUCAUAGUUUACAUCAGAUAUUUAUUUCAACAUAAGUAAUAUGAAGAACUAACUAACCAGCUGAAAUACUUGGUAAGGAAAAUUAUUUGACCAGCCAAUAGAUUAUAAAACUUUGGAAAAUGUAUAUGAAAAAAGAAAAAGUAAAAAAGUCAAGACAAAAAUAGAUUGAGAUUGAUGGAUGGAAGUAAAAAGAGAGUGGGUGUGUGUACAAGAGCAUGAGGGAUUGCUUCUGUCAGUAAGCAUAUGAAAUAUAUAGAUUUCAACUCAAACCCUAAAUCCUUUUUCUCUUCUUUCUUUUUCCUUUUCAUCACUACAAUUUUUUUUUUCAUAUUCAUAUAUAUAUAUAUAUAUAUAUAUAUAUAUAACUUAAUUUGGUGGGUGAGGUUUAGGUUUCUAUCCACACGCAAAAAUCGCCUUUCAGCUCAUGACGACGUACGUCAUCUUCUUCCCGUCUUUGUUACAUAUUAAUUUCACCGUCUUGUCAUAAGUAAUUAUUUGAUGUUUGAUCUCUGAGAAAAAAGAAGUGUAGGGCUACAAAUGUUUUCGUUAAAAAAAGUAUAGGGCUAUGCAUAUAUUAUCCAUUUCCGAUCAUAUUAUGUGUAUACUUAUAACAUAUUAUAGGGCUAUGAUCACUAAUGUUUUCUCCUAUGUUAGCAUAUAGUUGGCUUUAUGAUGAAAUAGUCAGUGUAUUUUUCUCAAUGAAAUAGUAAUUUGUAACGUAGAUAUAUUACCUUGGAAUACUAAUCAAUGUAUUUGCUACAUUUAUAUAUUAAAUCACUUAUAUACAGGAAAUGCCGGUAAAAAUAAAAUAAUCAAUCAAGUUCGCAAUUGUUAAUAUAUGUUUAUGUAUGCAUAUAAAUGUAUCAUAGUGCAUGGACUCGUGUUCCUGUAUAUGGUUUGAUCAGAAAGAUCCGAUCUAAAUUUGAUCAUUACAUUUAGAAUUCAGACCCAACUAGACGCGUGUGCGUGUAGGUGUAUAGAUAUGUGUGCAAUGUUUUAGUCUUAUUUUUAAAUAAGAUAGUAAAUGUGUUAGGGCAAAGAGUGAACAAAAGGGUAUGAAAAAAAGGGAAGAGAAGGGAGGCAACGAGACACGCGAGACGAGAGAGAUACCUAUGAACCACGACUUGUGUGUUUGUGUUUCAUUAAUUAAAAUUAUAGCAUGAUUAACUAUGAAAUCAAAACAGCCUUUCAUUUCAAUUUAAAUCUACCGUAUAACAUAACUAUAAAAAAACACACCCAUUUGUUUUAUUUUUGACAACUUUGAUGCUUUUGUUUCACCCGACAAAUCGGCACCUUUUAGGGUUUUCAUUACCUGUUUCUUCCCCAAAGACAAAUCCCUUUUUUCACCCCAUUAUUUUACUAUCUCUGGAUAUAAUAUUAAUUACUUUGAAUGGAGUAUAAAUAAUCGAUAAGUACCUUUCUCGGAAAUAACGAAAACGCAUCAUUUUAAAACUCGACAAAGAAAAAAGAAUUUUCGGGAAACAAGAGGAACCCAGUGGUUGUUUGAUUAUUCCUCUAAGAUCUCUUCUGUCGACAUUAACCCUAAUAAUUAAUUAAACAAAGGGUUUCUCUUUUGGCAUCCAAAUGGUGGUUUCUUAGUAGUCUAAGUAAGAAUUAUGGUACUCAUGGUAGAUAUUAAUUAGUUUUAUUACUUCAAUUUUUUUUAACCUUGACUUCUUCAAUUUGUUGGAUAGGUGGCUUUCGUCGACGUAAAAAGAGAAUUGGCUUCAGUCUUUCACAGGAAUAUACAGCUAAAUAUUAUAUAUACUAUAAUUUGUUUGUUAAGUAUCAGAAAAGACUAGCUUCUUCCAUUUGAAAAUAACUGAUGUUUAAUAUUUUUGCAUACAGAUUAAAAAAAAGCUUAUUAUUAGUUUUCCCUAUAUAAAAAGCAUCUUUUAUUAUCCACCUAGAUACAAUUUAACCACUGAUAAAACAAACUGUAUGAUAUAAAUGAUCAUAAAACAUAGAAAAUAAAUUGCAAUGAAAUUUAAAAACAUCAUAUAAUCUGAGAUAAUUUUUAUCUAUAAAACAUCGAAUAUUUUGAAACGAAAUAAAUAUAUAUAUAUAUAUAUAUAUAAGAUGUAAUAUGGGUUUUCAACUUAUUAAGAAGCUGCUAAUUCCGAAAAGGAAACAUAAAAAUGUUCUUAAUAGUUUUGUAAAUAUGUGAAAAUGAAAAUUAAAACGAUAUGUAUUGUGAAACCUCUGUUAGCGCACUAGUAUAUAAAAUCCCACACACAAAAGUUUGGGGACUAGAAAGAGAUCUUCUAAAUGAUUUCAAAUUGAGUGCUCCUCCCUUAACACAAACUAAAUAAAAACUCCUAUAUUGCUAAAUUGUCAUUUAUAAAGUUUAGCCAUGAACGAAUAAUUAACGUCUUAGAGUUAUCUACACUUCGAUACGGCUCAGUAUUUUUUCAGAGUGUAAUUGUUGGACCCUGAAAUUAGAUAUUCUUUGAAUGGACAUAUUUGACUCUUGAUUGAGGAGUUGUUUUAUGAAGAUCUUGGUGUUAAACCCAUAAAGUCAACUCGGAGCUGAUCAGCUGCUUCAAAUUCGGUUUAGAGUUAGUUUUGGAACGCAUGAUGGAUUAAUGAUGUUUUUUUUUCUUGUAUCAUUUGAUAGUUCGGAUUGACUAAUGAAGGGCUUGUAGGCUUAGAAAAAAAAACUAAACAAAAAACUAAAGUAUAGAAUUGUGAUACAAGAGGGCGGUACUCUCAUUCUCAUAUAUAUAUUAUCAUCACGACUACAUAUAAACAUAAUACUAAAAUAAAUAGAAAACAAAUUAAAAAGCAUGAGAAAGUGGAAUCUCUUAAAAGAUCGAAGAGACAGAUUAACUACUCUCUCGUGCUGAUUAUAUUAUUAAACUGGUUGAGUCCAAAUAAGGCCAUUUCCACGAAUUUAAAGGUCUCUUUAAAUUUAUAACUAUGACGUGACUAAUUUAAAUCAGACGAUUUCAACCAAUUAGUUAUUUAAAACUCUCACCUACUAUUAAAAUUUACCAUAAUCAUAUAUAAAUAUAAUAUAGAAAUUUAAAAUACAUUUGAAUCAUCAGUGGAUACAUAUAAUAAAUCUUAAAAAUGCAUCCAAUAUACUAGUGGAUCGACUAAUUAAUCAAAUUAAAUUAAAAGAAAAUAGAUAAAAUGGGAAUAUAUAUGUCAAAACGAUACACCUAAGAUUUGAGUUUGAAGAAAAAAAAAUCUUAGUAGGUUAAACACAAAAGAUUAGGUUGUCUCUUUGUCUGAGCUUCCCAAGAAAGUAAAAGUCACACGUCCCAAGAUUCCUUCGCCGGAGCCACCGUCCUCCGUCGUCAUCUACAAAAUGAUCUUUCUUGCCCUAACAGCAAAAAUGAUCGAUAUUCUUUUUCUCUAUUAAACCUAACUCUUAGGUUUUCUUCUUCCGAUCAUUUCCACGAUGAAACAAAGAAGAGAGGACGAUUUUGCCAUCCAAGAAACAAAGAAUUGUUAAGAAACUGAAGAUUAUAACCUUCUGAAGGAUAAUGGAGUCUAAGAAGAAGCUUAGCUUGAGAGAAAGCAAAGCUUCCUAUGGGAACGUUAACGAAGCCAAAUCUCUUCAUAAUCUCUUCCCAGAUCUCAAACCUCCGAUGUCUUUGCUUUCUCUCCUCCGCUUUCGCCGCCACAACAUCCAAAAUCUCUUUUCCGAACCACCGUUGCUCUAGGGUUAGCCUCUCUCGGCUAUUCGGCGGCAAAGUGGCUUCCAGCGAAUCAAAGAUCGCCACGUAAUGAUCCACAGCUUCUGCGAAUCUGUUCAAGAACGAAUGAUCUCCGUGGUUGGCUUCUCUCUCUGCCAUUGUCACGAUUCUAGGGUUUAAGCUCUUGAUCGCCGACAAAAAGUGACCGAUCAUAUCUCCGUCGUCGUUAGAGAAUCUGUGGAGGAAGUGAACGCAGUUUACUGCGAUGGUCUCUCCUUGUACGGCGGAGAGAGCUAACAAUCGGAUCUGUAGCAAAAGUCCGGCGAGAUCUUCUUCAACGAUCACAAGCGUGUGAAACUGAAACUGAAGACCUAGAGAGUUAGCAAACCGAGUUAAACGGUCUCCGGUUCGGUUUAACCCGGUAACGUCUCGACCACAACCGGUUAUGCGGAGAGAUGGAGGUGGACUGUUAGGGUUUGAUGAUCUCUCAGCUAGGGCUUGCAUCAGUGGAGGCCAUUGAAGCCCUUGUGAGAUAUCUAAAUCAAGUAUAUGUAAAGCUCCGUCACCGUUUGUCUCCGUCGCGUCGAGGAUCGCUUGGUUCGCCGUCAAAUGACCGAACCGAAUAAAAGGCGUUAGUUGGUUCAGCCAAAGAUAGUAACAAGACUCGAAUUCGGAGUUGUUGUUGUUCUUGGUUCGAAACAAGAACUGUUCUUUGCAUACACUACUUGUAAACACCGUGGAGCUAGUCAUUUCGUUCGUUGUCCACGUGGCAACGUUUUCAGCCGUUGGAUCUUGUUGUUGACGGUUGAUCCGUAUGGACAAGGCUUUUGAGAAGAGGUGGACGAGCCGCUCGGUGGAAUCGCCGUAAGGAGAAGAGUUUGCGGAGAGGAUCGAGAGCAAGUUCUGAGCGGCGGAGAAGUUUGACUGAGAGACGAAAUCCGCGGCGGUGAAAAGGAGACGACGGAGGUGAUGUGAGGCGGAGGAGGAGGCGGAGGAGGAGGCGAGGCAUAACGGAGGAGGAGGAUUCUCGGUGGUGGUGGUGGCAUCUUCGGAGGAGGAGCUAGAGGAUUUGAAGGAAGCAAGCAUUUGAAAAGAUUGAAAGAUGCUUUUGGUUCAUAUGAUAGAUUCGUUUUCUCUCUCGAUCAAAUGAGUCCUUUUCAAUGGGUAAUAAUAAAUAUUAUUUUUCUUUACCUGAAGGUAUAUUGCUUGCAUUAUUAUAAAUAAAUUCCACAUUAGCUAUAGCAUGUGUGUACACGCAUAUAUAUAUAUAUAUAUAUAUAUAUCUAUACACAUAACACAAAUCUAUGGAUAGAGUUGAAGAUGGACCGACCAAACCAUUCAAGGGUCCAUGAGAAUCCUCAAGCCGGUUUUAUGAUUAAUUAAAAAUUUACUUUGUUUAUAUAUCUCACGUAGCUUGAAACAAUAGUUGAGUAAAAAACUAUACAAAGUACAAUCAUUAAAUUCUUGUGUUUGAAGUUUAGUUUGAAACAUAUAUAUACAUUUAACAUUUUCUCAUCUUGUGUUUCAAUUUUACACACUAAAUUCUAAGACCAAAUUUGUUUCAGUUCGGUUUAUUAGAAUUUAGCACACUCUUGAAUCCUUUUCUAUCUUUGCAGCCAAGGAAUCUUUCAUUUAUUUAUCGACGUGCACUAAAUAUAAUAAAGCAAUUGCUGUAUUAGUAUAUUUCCCCACAACAAUAGAUACUAAUUAAAUAAAAACACAAAUAAAAAAUAUAAACUAAAACAGUUCAACAUCAGUCGUAUACAUAAUAUUUUCUGCAUUCACACGCCUUCGUCGACAGGAUAAUAUAUACUUAUGUGAGUAUAUUUGUGCGGUGGAUGGAUCGUGAAGGUGGCCCACUGUGUUAAUUGAUUAUAUGGCGUUUGCAGGAAUUAUGCUUAUAGGUUCCAAUAUUAGAUGCGUAAAAUAGGAAUUCUCGCUGAGAUUCUGAUGCCGAGGAUGCCAAUUUACGAGAUCUAGCUAAAAGAAAUAAUUUUGUUUACAAAUAAAAUAAAACAAUCAUAUAAGAUGAAGGAAUCUGAUAAUCUUGGGAUGUACAAAAAGAAAGAAAUAGCUUUGCUUGCAAAAUCGAAAAGGUAACCCCAAAUUGCUAAUUAUUACACUUUCUCAUUUAUUGGAUUUACCAAAAUGGAAAUGCUGCGACCCUUCAAGUGAAAAGGAUUCUCUCUCUCAGACUCUCACUACAUUAUGUAUGUAUAUAAUUAGAGCAUCUAUAAUUGGAUUGGCGACUUUAUUGCUCAUGUCAUCAUAUCAUCUUGUACUAUAUAUACGAAGCAUCUUAUCGAAUGAUAAAUGCAUUUACAUACACUUUUUAAUAUAAAAUCUUACAUACAUAGUUCCACCAAGGAGAAAGAUGCUUUCAAAGUUCAUGACUUAAAUCGUUUGGUGUAUGCAUCACAGUGGCUCGUAAGUAUUCCUGAAUUAUUCAUUCUUCUUGCUAUAAACGAUAUUUUCUUAUCCUCGAACCGGUAAUUCAUUCACGUAAUUAUAUUUUUGUGUAUGUGGUGGAUUUUCAGAGAAAAUUAUUAUAUAUGGGAAAUCAUAGUAUUUCAAAUUGGAUCCUAGUCAAAUCAACUUAAUACAAAAACUAAAAUAUAAGUAAGUGAUAUAAAUAAAUAGUGUCUGCAUUAAAUGAAUAAUAAUUAGGAGCUGGUAGAAAGAGUAGUAGUCGUCAAUGAGGACAAAGGAGAUGGAUGUGCUUUUUAGUCUGGAAAACACAUAGCGAUCCCAUAGGUUUUUUUUUUUUUUGGCACUAAACUUUCUUUUGACAAGUCUUUUCAGAUGAUAUUUCUAAUUUGACUAAACAUUACCAUCAAUCAUCCACGUAAAUCGAUUUCUUAAACCUCAAUACAAAAAAGGUAACUGUUUAACAUGAAUCCAACUAUUAUUAAUAUCCAUAGAUGCUUUACAUUUUAUGUUCUUUUGGGUUAAAUAUUUUAAUCAAAAUGUAGAUUAAUUUUUUAUAUUUUCAGUUGUUAAUUAAAAAUGUAGUUACAAAAAAUACAUUUUAUGAUCUAAUGUUGUGUUUGGAUGAAUGUGAUAGUAAAAAAACUCAGAUAACGCCGUUAACACACUAUAAAUUGAAUAAGGAGUUAGAAGUAAAAAAAGACAUAAAAAAACAUAGCGUGUUGUGAAUCAGUUAUCAAGAAAGAAAGGAAAUUGGUGUGUCUUAUUCCGGAGAUAAUGAAGAGUAUAUAUAGUGUUACAAAGACUUAGCUAUCACCACAAGUUUCCGAUGUGGGACAAAUACAAUAUUAGUAAUGGGUCUUAUAAUGGGCAUCCAUAUAUUAAUAUUCAUAAUACUCCCCCUGAUGACCAUUAUAACGAUAUUGUAGUAAAGCGCGUAAGAUGUUGCCUCAUUAAAAACCUUACUAGAAAAAUCCUGUGGGAAAAACCAUAGUUAAGGGAAAAAGAGUGCAGCACGCAUUUACUCCCCCUCAUGUGUACCUCCGUCUAGGUCCUUGAGACGUUGUAAUCCAAUAAGCUGAACCAAAUUCUUGAAAGUAGCAGUUGGAAGCGCCUUGGUAAAUAAAUCCACCAAAUUAUCGCUUGAACGGAUCUGUAGAACACGAAUAUCCUCAUUCUUCUGCAAGUCAUGUAUAAAGAAAGAAUUUCGGUAGAAUAUGCUUUGUUCUAUCUUCUUUGAUGUAUCCUUCCUUAAAUUGAGCGAUGCAAGCAGCAUUGUCUUCAUACAUAAUUGUUGGAGCUUCUUUUCCUUUUGAUAAACCACAAUCUUCUCGAAUAUGUUGAAUGACAGACCUUAACCAUACACACUCUCGACCGGCUUCAUAAAUAGCUAAAAUCUCAGCAUGGUUAGAAGAAGUAGCUAUAAUGGUUUGCUUCAUAGAACACCAAGCAAUAGUUGUACCACCAUAUCUGAAUACAUAUCCUCUCUGUGAUCUGGCAUUAUGUGGAUCAGAUAAAUAUCCAGCAUCUGCAAAACCAAUCAAAUCUUCUUUGGAUGGAUUAAAAAAUAAUAAAUCCAUAUAAUUUGUUCCUUUGAGUUAACAAAAUAUAUGUUUAAUCUCAUUUCAAUGUCUUCGAGUUGAACAUGAGCUAAACCUUGUAAAUAAAUUUACUGCAAAAGAUAUGUCAGGUUUUGUAUGAUUAGCAAGGUACAUCAAUGCCUUUAUUAUAUUUAAAUAUGGUACUUCAGGACCAAGUACUUUUUCAUCGUCUUCUCGAGGAAGAGAGGGGUCUUUUAACACAUCAAUUGAUAUUACGACCAUAGGGCUACUUAAGGGAUGUGCAUCAUCCAUAUUAAUUCUUUUAAGCACCUUUUCUGUAUAUGUCGUUAAAUGCACUAGGGUUCCAUCCUUUAGAUGCUCAAUUUGCAAUCUCAAGCAAAAUUUUAUUUUCCCGAGAUCUUUCAUCUCAAAUUAUUUAUUCAGAUAUUCCACUAUCUGAGAAAUCUCUACAUGAGUUCCAAUGAUGUUUAAAUCAUCAACAUACAUUGCAAUUAUCGAGUGUCCUGGAUGAUCCAUCUUAAUAUUUCUCUUUGCUUUUGAUGAUCUUAAUAAUCUCUUUAGUCGUGAUACACUUUCAUAUUUACAUUCCUUUUAGGUUACUAUCAUUUGCGUGUUCUUGUUGCCUCGCUAAAACCUUUUCAUGGAAAAACCCAGUGAGAUAAAAACAUGAGAAAGAAAAAGAGUACAACCACGCAGAUCAUCAUAUUUCUCCCUCUGUAAGCAUCUUCUUCAAGAGAUGCAUUCUAAUCAUAUAUCAUCUUUUAGGGAAUUGAUAUAAGCACAACCUUAGUUAAUACACUCAUAUGCUUAUCAAACUUUCUCAGGUUAGUGGAUUUCUAGUCCAUAACAUCCUUUCUCAUAGAAGAUAUUUUCUUCUUCCAUUUGGACUUUAUGCCAAAUUUUUUUUUACAUACAAUCUUCUACAUAUUCAUAUUGUACAUAUUUGUACAUACGACUUAUUCAUGCUCUUCUUGUAACAUCUAUCAUGUUGGAUUUCUUUCUUGCCAUACCAAAGCACAUCUUUCAAUCAUGAAAGAGAUCAACAACUUUCUCAAAUAUCAUUUUAAGUGUGGUACUCCAAGACCAACUAUGUAUGAGCAUUUUGUAUAUAAAAUAAUAUGAGGAUCUUUGAGACAAUAUCUCUUUCUUUAGUUUACAAUUUGGAGAACCUCAAGACAAACUUGUCAUUCCAAAGUUUAUUCUUCCAAAUUUCGACUUCCGGUAACUCUUCAGGAGUUUUUAUUAUAUCCAAACCAAAGAUUCCAUUGAUCCAUAAUCUUUUGAUACAUACACAUGAGUAUAUUGAUUAUCAUAUAAUAUCCGCAUGAAGCAUAUUUGCUUUAACUCAAUAAUCUAAUAGCCAAUGUUCUUGAGAACCUCAUUUUGAAAUCAUUAAUCCUUCUAAUUGCUUCUGGCAAUUUGAUUUCCUUUUAGGACUAAAUCAAGUACUUUUCUCAUUCUUAGACUGAUAAAGGAUCUGUAAAAUAGUUGCAUCCACCACAAGAAAGUAUAUCUUUUCAUGUAUCACUUUCAUUCAUCUUUCGUAUAAAGAUCCACUUAUGUCUCAUAAUUUUUACACUUUCAAGUAGACGGACUACUGGUCCAAAUUCUUCUUUACAAGAUAUUUAAUCUUUGCCUUUACGGCCUCUAUCAUGAUUGGCCAAUCAUCGGUUUACGUGUUUUUCAAUACAUCUUUUGUACCGCGGUUUUUGAUCCUCAUUUCUCAUCAUCAAUUGCUUCAUUACAUGCAAAAAUAUUAUCAACGUUGAUUUGCUUUUGAUUCCAUUCAUUCCAGACAUGACUCAGUUAGUUGAAAUCUCUUAUCAUUAAUAGGUACCUAGAUUUCUUUCUUUCUCAUGUCUAUAUCUCAUCUAGAGAAUACUUCCUCAACCUUGCCAUUUUAUAUUAUGCUCUUUUUUCUUUCGAGGAUCUUAUCUUUGGAAUCAGUAGGUCUAUCACGCUUCAUGCGAUCUUUAGCCUCUAUAGCAGUUGAUAUUGUCCCCCCGGGACAUCAAUAUUAAUUGGAGCACAGCUGGUAUAACUUAAUCAGGGCCAGAUACUGCUUCUAGCAUCAAAUUUGCUUAACUUUGCAAAUAAAUUAUCUUUCAAACUUUUAGUGCACAUUCUUUCAGAGGAUCAAGAUAAUUUCUUUUACUGAUUUUCUAGCUGUUUAUUUUCUCUCCCUUCCUUAAUUGUUGGAAAGACUGACUCACUGAAAUUACAGUCUGUAAUUCUAAUCUUAUCCCUUAUUUGAUGGCUUAAUACAUUUACUCAUCAAGGGAGAUCCAUAUCCAACAUAUAUUCCUCUUUUGAGGUCCCAUCAUAGAUCAAUGUGGUGGAGCAAAAUUAUCCAAAACUUUUAGAUGGGAAACAUCAGGUUCCUGACCAAAACCAACCAUGGGGAGAACUCAAAAUAUUCGUUGGCAUAAUGCGAAUCAAUGUGGUUUCACUCUUAAUCAAUUAACCAAAUACUUUCACAAAGAUACAUAGUGGGUGAUCAGUCCAAAAUAUCUCUUUGUGUAUGUACCAGAAAAUUAACAUAUCCAAAUUUAUUGGAGAGUGAAAACCAAACACAUAAGAAUCUUCUGGAUCUUUUGCGCAUUGUUAUUUAACUGGAAUGGCUUAACCAGUUAUGCCAAAACAGUGAGAUUUUCUGUGAACUUCUUGUUUACUAGAUCCAUUUAUAUCUCAUAUACUAGUGUAGUACAAUUCAAUAGAGAAUACAAGUAGUUUCUCUAAAUUACUUUUACUGUCUUGGAUAAUACUCAUGAUGUGAAGAUGUUAAUCAUUUCCUUCACUCAUUGUCUCAACUUGAUAAAUCUUAAAAUCUUUUAGAUUUUCUGUACACAUGAUUUAUCGAACAUGAGUGUGAACAUGAUCUUCUGGAUGUUCCACUUACUAAGAAUUGUGGGAUUCUACAAUUCUCCCUCUCGAGAUGAUGAUGACACUUCAGUUCCAUUCAUCUCGAAUCGAAUCCCACUCUAGGAUCAACAACAUACCCAACUUGGGUUUUAUAUUAUAUCUUAGAUCCUUUUGACCUUUGAGACUUAAGAAAGUAUAAUCCAUUAAUGAUUCCAAAUCCUUUCAUAGGCAAUCAUAUCUGCUCUUCUGGAGCUUCUAAUAUUUUAUACAAUCUCAUCUUGUACUCACACUAGUUUAUUUUAUCAUCAUAUGAUAUACAUAUCUCUUGUAUGUUACCAUCUUUAUUCUCUCAGUUCUAGUGAAUAUCAGAAUUCUUAAAAGAAACUCUUUGGCCUCAACCUUGACCUUGACCAUAUCCAUAUCCAUAUCCACAUUUAUGUCUGCAACCACUUUCAUAGCCAUAUUUGGCCUAUAUCAAUCAUGUGGUAUUUUCUUUCUCAAUAUAGGGUGUCACAUUCACUUCAGGGAAUGGACUAUCUCAAAUCAGAAGUAUAUCCUGAUUUUUCUCUUUUUAACUCAUUAUGUUGCUCAGCCUCUUUUAGACCCAUAUACAAGUUUAUAACACUUCUCAAAGUGUAUUGUGUCUACAAGACAACAUCUCAUUCUCUAAAUGGUAGAGUAUGUCUUUUAACAUCUUUGGAUCAACGAUAUUAUCUUCACAUAAUAUCUGAACAUAACCGAGCCAAACUCACUGCAGACUUUAAAUCACAUUAUUUUAGAUUCAACCAAUCAUAAUGAGUGUAAUAUCACAUUUUGGUGAUUCAAAAUUUUGUGGAUCUUUUUGGUCAAGUACUCGAUCUUAAGAUCAACAAAGAGGCAUUAUCACAUAAAUAUAAUCACGAAAAUUUGUUCAAAUUUCAAAAAAUAUGAUAAUCAACCCAGAUGCAAUUAUCUUAUGAACGUUAAAUGUUCUAUCACUUAAAGCAUGCAUCGAUUUGAACAAAUAUCACAAAGCAAAUGAUUUUGACUAACACAAUUUAAUUGUACUCAAUCAAUUAUGAUAUCCAACCAGCACAAAACUUAUGUAAUAAAAUAUUUUGAUUGUCGUAUUCUAUCACCAUAAUUAAUAACAAUAGUACGAUUACUAAUAAGGAUUUAAUCUAAUUUAAUAUUACUCACAUAAAUGAUUAAUUAUGGACUUAUAUGAAGAUUAAUAAUAAUUUAACAUAGUUUAUAUAAAGCAAUUAUAUUAUAAACUCUGGCAACAUCUCUAUGUGCUAAGUUAUAUUAAUUGAAAAAUCAUAAAUCAGGAUAUAAUCACAUAUAAUAUUUCAAUCAUUCAUUAAUUCAUUAAUAUUUUACCUUUAACCUAGUUUUUAAAUCAAUCAAUCAAUUCAUCAAACAAUUUCAUAUAAUAUGAAUGUGUAAAUUUCGUGAUAAAGCAUGAUAUAAUUUGUUUCGUUUUAGAAAACCUUAUCAAAUAAAACAGAAAAAAUUCAGCCGUGCACAGAUAGGACAUAUAUUUAUAUUAUGCUGUUAUAAUCUCACCGUGCAUAAAUAGAGCAUAUAUUAUGCUCAUAUAACCUCGCCGCCGUGCAUAGAUAGGGCAUAUCUUGUGCUCUUAUAAUCUCGCCGUGCAUAAAUCGUGUAUAAAACGAUUUAUGAUAAAAUCCAGGUGUGCACAGAUUGGGCAUAUAUGAUGUUCUUGUGCAAAAACGGAUCAUAAAUAGUGUAGAUUAUAAAAUCGUGCAGAUUUAGGGUAAACCCUAAGCAUGGAGGAGGCAUAGUCUUCAUUCUUCGGGGAAAGAAAAACUUCUCGUCCCAAAAUAAAAUUUUGAACUAACUUUCACUUUUUCGGUUUGAGAGAAAAAAAAAAUUUAAACUAACUCUCACCUUUUCGGUGUGAGAAUAGAUCGAGAGACGAUCGCGCUAAUAACGUGUUGUGAAUCAGUUAUCAAGAGAAAAAAGAAAUUGGUGUGUCUUAUUCCGGAGAUAAUGAGGAGUAUAUAUAGUGUUACAAAGACUUAGGUAUCACCACAAAUUUCCAAUGUGAGACAAAUACAAUAUUAGUAAUGGGCCUUAUAGUGGACAUCCAUAUAUUAAUAUUCAUAAUAUAGCGCUAUUAUAUGAGCAUUAAAUUUUUUUAUUGAUUUAUUGUGCUAUAAUAGUUAAAAACUAGCGUUAUUGGCUUUUAUGUUUGGAUUAAUCAUUUUAGUUGAACUAUUUUUUCGUGGUUUUUUCUAUCUUCGGUUUUUUUUUUCGUUUAAAGUUGUAAAUCCCCUGAUCAGCGUUCUUUUGAGUUAUGUAGUUUCGCUAUUGUACUCUUCCAACUUUUCUAUGUUUCGAGAAUUUUACUUUUGACUUUAGUAUCUUAUUAUAUGUAUCCCAUGUAUCGGAUUUAGUUUUUGGAGAAUUCCUGUUUUCCGCUGGUUUUGUGUAUCAAAAUUGUGUUCUACUUUUGUAUUCUAUCUUUGAAUUAUAUAAGAAAAAAAAAAUUUCAGUGAAAAAAAAAUAAGUUAGAAAGUAGGACAAACAAAUAAAUAAAUAAAAAAAAAACAAAGAAGAACAAGAAGAAGCACGCAAUGAAAUAAAUGAGGGAAGGGAGAGGCAGGAAGUUUAACCCAAAAGAUUGGACGAAAGGCUGACACUUUUGCCUUUCUCACUUUUUUUAUUUUCUUUCUUUCCUUCAAUUAAUAAAAGUAAAAUUUGUUAUUUUAUUUUGUGUAUCUUUGGCUGCCACGUUGGAUGGGACAUAUUGGAAUGAGGUAUUUCCUUCCUACCCUCCACUGCCAUUCCUAUAAUUAAAAUACGAACAUUCUUUCUGUUCCUAAUUAAUGAUUUUUUGGACUUAAACAAUUAGAUUUGAUGCGUUUAGAAGAUACGUUCCUUUCCCAACAAACCAUCGCUAACAAUUACAUGCGCUAACUUACGUGAAGACCUUGAACACACGUGUAUCAAAUUCACAAUAUUAUCAAGAAAUUAGAAAAAAUGGUAAAAAAGUAGUGAAGCUUUUUGUGUUAGCUUUUCAAUUGCUUGAAGUUGAGAGAUAUAUGUCUCCUUAUGGUUGAAGAUCAAAACGAGCAGAAGAAAGCUUUUUUAACGUUUCACCUCAUCUGUGUCGCACGCGACAAGCACGUGCACGUCAAGAUCCUUGUCAGCUCCACUCUCAAUAACUCACAUAGAUAUCAAUAUAUGUCCCUAAUCUAUUUAGCUAUCUGCAUAUACAAUUUCCCGACAAAAGUUUGAUUUGUUUUUUCUUUCUUUUUAUAGCCUAUCACGCUAUUAUAUUUCUAUCCAUUUAUUUACUACACGAUAAUCUCAUGCAGUUCUCGUGUAUCUGAAUAUGAUUGAAUAACAUCGCAGUGUGAAUGUAUGAUAUUUUGUGUUAUGAUACUCUCUAGGCCUCAUCACAGCCCUAGUCAUUCGGCCCGAUAUCAAUGUGGUGUCAACGUGAUCAUUCAUUUAUUACAAAAAAAAAACAUAUAUAGAUAUAUCCUAUCAUUCUGACAAGUUACAAUCGGAUUACAACUGUAAUUCAUUUUAAGUAUUGUUAUUUUGGAUCCUAAUAGAGUUAAUCAUGCCUGCCUUAUUGCCUUUUAUGUUUUGGUUUUUGGUUAAUUUGUUUUAUGUUUAGUUUGUAGUUGUUUGUUUUUUUUUUUUGGGGGGGGGGGGAGCUAUUCGCUCCAGAAGAAUUUCUAACUUUACCGGUUUUGUGACUAUUGUUCAAAGGUUAAAUUUUCGGGUUAAAUUAUGGUUUAUUCGACGUGGUAACAUCGCUUGAUAUUAUAAUAUACUCUUUCAGAUGUGAAAAAAAAAAUCAUUAGGUAGCAAAAGCUACAUCAUUAUCUCUACUCAUAUCGUUAAUUAGUUCAAGGUUUAGCUAUAUAUGAUUAAAUAAAACAAUAAACAGAAGGACGCCAAAUUAAAGUUAAUAAUGAUUCCCUUAAUUAAUUCAUUUGUUUAGAAGAAGAAGUCUUACCGUUUAAUUAAUUCAUUGUUUAGAUGAAGAAGUCUUACUCAAGGAAUAAAACAUACAUACAUUUCACAAUUCAUGCAUAUGUAUAAAAAAUAUUGUCUUAUGGCAAAUUAAUAAUAACUUGAAUUAAAUAAUCAAAAGAUCCGAAAAUCAUAAUAUAAUCCGUUCGAUUCCAAAUUGGUCUCAACAAAACAAAAACAAACUCUUUUUUCUGUUAAAUAAAAGUCUUAAACAAAAAUUAGGCUCCGGCAUAAGGGUUAAUCUUAGGUUUGUCCUUGACUAGACCACAUUGGAGGCUUGACUCCGGCAUAUUGUAUUCGUCCCGGAGAGAUUUUUCCGGCGACAAAACGCUUGCGUAGAGUUGCUGUCCCAAGUAACGUCUUUCGGAAUUCUCUGACCUAAUGUUCCACAUUCCACAGUUGUCAAAUGUGAGCAAGAUUGCAGCCCAACACUUGGGGUAGACUUGGACUGUGUGUCGGCUCACUGCGUCUAAAAGGUUGUAGUUCUUCCUCUUCUCUGGUGUCCAUGUCCCUGGCUCAACUCUGUUUAAUACAAUGAAAGACGCUUUAAUUAGAAUUUAUAGUUUUUUUUACUCGUAUAGUGCACGAAAAGGGAUGUAGAGUGUUACUUACGCUACAGCGAAGAAGGAAUAGCCAUCCAAGUGCCAAGACUGAACGCUCCUCUCAUGGUUCUCAAACACAAUUUCGAUGAAGUUGCGGUGAGUGAUGUUAAGAACAUUGGGUUCGAUCUUGAUGUUCUUGAUCUGAUCCGAGGUAGGGUUAUCGGAGAUGCUGUCAUACUUGAAAACCUUAUCGACAACGCCAAAGUACUCAGCAAGCUUCAAGGGUGUCUCUGGGUCUGUGUGUGAGACACCACUCAAUGCGUACCUGAGCUUGCCAUCGAUCUUGCCCUGAGUAUUCACGAGCUUGAUGGUGCGAGUGAUAUUAAUCUUUCCGUAGUGGUACGAUCCCUGUGGGUUAGGUCUAGCUGCACUGGCUGUCAAGUUCCAUCUAAAAGAGCGGAACUGGUUCAAAGACCAAGCCCAACCAACAGGAGCCGCAGGUAGCUGAGAAGAGGCGGGGCCUUUUCCUCCCUCGUAGCGGAGGAGCCCUGUGGUGGUCAAAGCGUUUUUCAAGAACCUUGUGGAAGCUACCAUGUAGUAAUCUUUAGGUUCUUGGUUCGCGGUGACGAGAACACCAAAGCAUUGACCGACGUGGACGUCAAGCGAGUCAUAAUCAUUCUGGAGAACGUGUGAGCCUUCCAUCUCAACAAGUUUCAUCUUGUGGUUCUGAAUUCUGAAGUUGAGAGAUGCCUUGAGACCCACGUUACAAAUACGGACUCUGUAGGUUUUUCCUUGCUUCAAGGUGAAAAGAGGCUGGUCGGAGCCGUCACCUUUCCCGGCCUUACCAUUGAUGAGAAUGCCGUCUGGACGGCCAAUAGUACGGCCACUAUCGAGGAACUUUUUGAGCUGAGUGUGGCUUUUCGUAUACCAGUCGUUGAUAAGGAUAGUGUAGUCAUCUUCAGGAUCAGCGUACGGGACGGGGAUUAGGAGACGGCUGUUCACACGGAGACCACCAAAGGCACCCGCGGCACGAUGCAUAGCUGUGGUCGGGUAGUAGAAAUAGCUACCGAUCUGAUCCUUAGGCUGGAAAUGGUAUGUGAAGUUCUUACCCGGUGGAAUGGGACACAUUGUUCCGGCUGUACCAUCUUGCCAUGAGUUCUUCCUAUGCUGAAUUCCAUUCCUAUUUAUAAAUUUGCCAAAAUAAAACCCGAAUCAGAAGGUAUUGGCAGCAUUGACUAUUAAUAAAAUCGAAAUGUAUUAAAUAGAGAAAAAACAGUAUGUAAUAAUAUUUACAUUUUUUGUAUAUUUUGACAACUUUAUGCUAAUUUUUUUUUUUUUUUACCAUCUUCUCCAUCAAAUUUUUCAGUUUCAAAAUUUUCUAUUGAAAUGUUAAAAAGUAUAUAUAUUAUUAGAAAUAAAAAUCUGUGAUCAUUGAUCUACUUUGUUUAUUUUAGCGUUUUAUUAACAUUUUACAGAAACUAUGUUCGAUUGUUCAUCUAACAUUUGACUAUUUUACGAUUUAAUUAUUCAUUUAAUAUACAAUUCAAACUGAUAAAAUAUUGAUUUUUAGAUAACCAAACAAUAAAACCGAAUUAUAUAUAUCCAAAUAUAAUGACCAUUCGUAGCGCCCUAUAUAUGAAGAAAAACGUACCAAGUAAGGAGGAAAGGCUCGUCGAGGUUGUUGAAGACAUUAACGAUGAUGUUGUUGUUAGAAGUUGAGUUGAUGUUAGGACCAGGGAACUGACCGUUGAUGAGAAUGACUUGUUGUGGAACUCCGAGAGGAGAUGCGGUUCCGUACGUCACGUUCCACACGUAGUGAAAGUAAGGAUCCUCCGCUACGACGACGGUCGCCACCGCAAGGCAUAGGCACACGGCCAACAGUUUAACCCCUCCCUUCAUUAAUUACCAAUAUUAAACUUUACUAGAUAAUAAACUUUUUGAUUUUCUUUUUCAAGUGUUAGAAAGAAAAAAAGUGAUAUUUUUUUGGUUUUGUAAUGUUUUUUUUUUUUUGAGGGGUUUGAAUUUAGUUUUUUUUUUCUCCUUCAAAUGUUAGACGACGUUUUUAUAGUUUAAUCGAAUUUACAGUUUCCUUAUUUUUCUCGUUUCUUCAGGUCCUCUCGUCACGCUCUCCCUGUCGUCCAUAUUAGGAAUAUUCAGUUUGACCUCUCGCUAUUUUUGGUGUAACUUUUUUUUUUUCUAGAAUAUUUUUCCCACAGUGUCUUCGCGUAUUUUGCUCAUUUUGAAGAAUAUAUUUGUGAGUCUGUUCAUAUACGUGUGGUCUAGUAAUAACGCAUAUGACUAAACUUUAUUUCCUAGACAAAUCAAUUUGGGUUGGCUAUGAUGAUUUAAUGUCAUUUGGCAAUAAGAUUGUACAAAUAUUCAGUUAUGCUCGAUUGAAAAUAGUUAUACAAACUAAUUAAUGAGCUAGUGAUGACUAGUAAUUGAUUUGACGUGAGAAAUCGAGAACAUAGUGAAACAAGUUGAUGGGGUGAACAAAUAUGGUUUAACAUGGAACAUGCAAAUCGGAUGGAUCAAGCAGUACAUAUUCAAAUUAAGUAAAUCAAUCAAGCUCCAAAUCGUCGAUGGUUCCUUCUUCAUAGCUAGCAUAUCAGUUUUGAUUCAAAUUUUGCUAAAAUUAUUAUUAUUAUUCUUUUUAUAAACUACAAAGUUCUGUUUUCAUAGCUUCAUCUAAUAGUAUUUUCACAUUUAACCCAAAAAAGCAAUAAAAAACAAACAAAACAAAUUUUGAAUAAGAACUUAAUAAAUUUGUUUUGUCAACAAUAAAGAACAGUAAUCGUGCAGUGGGGAUAAAAUAGUUAUCAAACUUUAAUUAGUUGACUAUUUUCUAACAUUUUAUAUGUCUAAAAAUAAUGUUUUCAAAUUUGAUUGUAUUGAUAGUUAAAUAUACAUUAAAUAAUUUUUUAAAAAGCAAAUAUGAGAUUUUCAACUUAAAGAAAAAGGUAUUUGAACCAACCUAUUUUUGAAUGAUGGGUCAGUGAUUGAAGUACAGUUCACAUUACAUGACUACAAAGCACAGUCACUACAAGGAAAUCAAUUAAGCUUUUGAGACGAAAAAAUAGUCUCAUAAAUAAAAUACCCGGUCGCAAAUUCUGAAAACCACAAAUAAUUAUAACUCGGGUUAUUUAUUCAACGCUAAUUCAUUCCUCACAAGUUCAUAAAAAGUUAACUCAAACGAUUAUAUUUGUUUAGUCACGAAUUUUGUCUUGACAACAUUUUUCGGGUAACAAUUCAUUUGACGUGUGAACCAGUUAUUGACAUCGUUAGGGACAUUUCCAAUAUUAGAAUACAAUCCGAGUUGUAAUAAUUCAAAAAGUUCUGGAACCUUAAAAACCAGAAAGAGAAAGAGAGAGAAAACUGUUUGUUGCAUCACCAUUUUCACAUAUAGAAAAUUGAAUUAGAGAUGAAGCGUAAAAUAUGGUGACGAUAACUUGCGAAAGAAGUUAUGUUUACCCUUCAUAAAUACUUCAAAUCACCCAAGUUACAAGAGGAUUCCUCAAAGGAAAGGGUUAAUUAUACGUAACACAGAAAGUAAAAUUAAUCUCUUUUUCUAGAAGAAAAAGAGAAAAAAUAAAAAAUAAUAAUAUGGAGGGGAGGUUAUUGACGGUGUUGGUCUGCCUCGUCUCUACGGUGGCGAUAGUGAACGCCGGCGAUCCUUACUUCUUCUAUACAUGGAAUGUAACCUACGGAACCGCCUCACCUCUCGGUGUUCCUCAAAAGGUGAUUCUCAUCAACGGCCAGUUUCCUGGUCCUAACCUAAACUCAACCUCUAACAACAACAUCGUCAUCAAUGUCUUCAACAACCUAGACGAGCCUUUCCUCUUGACCUGGUACGUAUCCAUAUAUCCCCAUUCUUUAGCUAGUUUCUGAUUAUAUGUUAUUAGGGUUGUUUUCAAGGACCGGAUCAUUUUCAGUUUAGACAGUUUUAGUCCACUCCUCGUUCUAAAGCUUGAGCCACAGUACCCAUUAUUUGAUCUCGAGGGAACAGACCGGUUCAUGAUUUACCUUAGGAAAAAAGAAAAAGAAAUGAGUAUUAAUGAUGGGAUUGUGACUGCAGGAGUGGGAUUCAGCACAGGAAGAACUGCUGGCAAGAUGGUGUGGCUGGGACUUCAUGCCCCAUCCCAGCAGGACAGAACUUUACUUAUCACUUCCAGCCCAAGGACCAGAUCGGUUCCUACUUCUACUACCCGACCACUUCUCUCCACCGGUUUGCUGGUGGUUUUGGUGGUCUCCGUGUAAACAGCCGUCUCCUUAUUCCUGUUCCUUAUGCUGACCCUGAGGAUGAUUACACUGUCCUUCUCGGUGACUGGUACACAAGUGGCCACACCGCUCUCAAGAACUUCCUUGACAGUGGACGCACCCUUGGUUUGCCUAACGGUGUUUUGAUCAAUGGAAAGUCCGGAAAGGUGGGAGGAAACAACGAGCCUUUGUUCACGAUGAAGCCCGGAAAGACCUACAAGUACAGGCUAUGCAAUGUUGGAUUCAAGUCUACUCUUAACUUUAGGAUCCAGAACCACAAGAUGAAGCUUGUGGAGAUGGAAGGCUCUCAUGUUCUUCAGAACGACUAUGACUCACUCGAUGUCCAUGUUGGCCAGUGCUUUUCAGUUCUUGUGACUGCUGACCAGGCAGCUAAGGACUACUACAUGGUUGCAUCAACUAGGUUCCUAAAGAAGGAAUUGAGCACCGUUGGUGUGAUCCGGUACGCAGGAAGCAACGUCCAGGCUUCAGCUGAGCUCCCCAAGGCUCCCGUUGGUUGGGCUUGGUCUUUGAACCAGUUCAGAUCCUUCAGGUGGAACCUCACCGCUAGUGCUGCAAGGCCCAACCCGCAGGGCUCGUACCAUUAUGGAAAGAUCAACAUCACCCGUAGCAUCAAGCUUGUCAGCUCUAAGAACAUGGUGAACGGUAAAGUCAGGUUUGGCUUCAACAGUGUAUCACACGUUGACACCGAGACUCCUUUAAAGCUGGCAGAGUACUUCCAAAUGGCAGAGAAGGUGUUCAAGUACAACGUGAUCAAGGACGAGCCAGCAGCCAAAAUCACAGCAUUGACAGUAGAACCGAAUGUGCUCAACAUCACUUUCCGUACCUUUGUAGAAAUCAUUUUCGAGAACCACGAGAAGAGUAUGCAAUCAUUCCAUCUGGAUGGUUACUCCUUCUUUGCAGUCGCGUAAGGCUCUUUUUUGUGAUCCCUUUUGCUUUGUCUUUCUUUCUUUCUUUUAACUCUCUCUUUCUAACUAACUUUUUGCUGUUCUUGUUUCCUAGUUCUGAGCCAGGGAGGUGGACACCUGAAAAGAGAAAGAACUACAACUUGCUGGAUGCUGUUAGCAGACACACGGUGCAAGUAUACCCCAAGUCUUGGUCAGCUAUUCUACUGACAUUCGACAACGCAGGUAUGUGGAACAUCAGGUCUGAGAACUGGGAGAGGAGAUACCUUGGUCAACAGUUAUAUGCGAGCGUUCUGUCACCUGAGAAAUCGCUAAGGGACGAAUACAACAUCCCCCUCAACACUAACCUCUGUGGCAUCGUCAAGGGCUUGCCAAUGCCUGCAAUCUACACUUAAAAUAAUUAACCACUCACUCCACAAGUGGGGUGCAUACUAAUGAUUUGCUAAUUAACCCUUUCCUAAUUUGAAGUGUGUAAUUUGUAAACUACAGUCUACAGUUCAACUAUACUAUCAUUAACCACAAAUCACAAUUAUAGACCAAGUUUUGUCCUCAGUUGAAACAAGUUUCGUAUUGAGCACCACAACUAGUUUGUACUAUAAAAAAGGAAAGAAUCCCAAGAUGUAAAGUUAGUCCAGAUUCACGACAAAACAAGGCUUGGAUUGAAACAAAAUAGAAUACCAGAUAAUGAGCAGUGACCACCACUUAUUGAUGAACAACCUCAUGGAAAUGCCUAACACCUCUUAUUGAAAUACCUAUAAUUCUAUUGUGGUUUGGUGAAAUCUGAAGAAUGAGAGAGAGCGAGAGAGGAAGAAAGAAUGAGAGAGGGAGAAAAAUGGUUCAGUGGCGUUAGCCAAAAAGCUCUGAUACCAUGAAAUCUGAAUAAUUUCCCUGAAGUUUAUUCACCACCAAUUACAUCAAUAUAUACAGAGGUCAAGAGACUUAAUUAACGGGAUUCUCCUUUGAUUGACAAGCCUAUAAUCUAAUCAUAUCAAUCAAAUUAAUUACAAUAUUUGACUAGUAUCUAUCAUUUGGUUCCGAUUCGGUUCAGGAUAUUUUGCCCAUGCCUAUCUGCGACUUUACAAUUAUUUGAAAUGCCAAUUAUAACUUUGAUUUUUUUUUAGUUGACGUUACUUUCUUUGAACUAUUGAAGUCCACAACGAAAGAAAAGUUGAUUAACAUAACAUAUAAUUUUCUGUUAGAUGUAAAUCAGACCAAACGUUUAUAUUAUUUAGGCUUCUUCAGUUUUGAGCUAAAUAUAAUGUUAUCCAUAUUUCGGAGUAGUAAUUUUUUUUUGUUACGUAAGUUGAUGAAAACGGUCGCUAGAAACAAAAGAGAGAAAAAGGAAAACCCUCUCAUUUCAUUUUAAUUUAAAAUUCAAAAAAGCGGUCUAUACUCUUCUAAUUUCCUCUCCUUGAAAAAACGGCUAUAUUUAUUUUUAACAAUAAUAAAUAACACUCCUAUAAUUUUCUCUGUUUUUUCUCUCCUAAAUAAACGCUCCUCGAUUAGACCUAAUUUUCUCCUCAAUAUUCAGUUUUUCUCAAUUCUACCGAAAAAAAACUUUGUGUUUUUUACGCCAAGGGUAAAGGCGUAUGCUUAAAGAGAGAUUUGGGUGCUUUCAGCCAUGCCCACGUCGUCACUGCCACAUCCACCACUGCAAAGAAAAUUUUUGAGAUAUAUCGGCGAUGACAUGGAAGCCGAUAGAAUUCAAUGAACCUUUAAUUUCUUAUAUGAGAAAAAAAAGUUAUUUGCAGAAGAAUUAAUCAGCAGUGCAAUCAGUUAUUUUUGAAGCUUGCUAUGGCAAUUAGUGAAGAUGAGAAAAGGUUUGUGUUUUGUGUUUCAAGCUUAGAGGGUUUACGUUUUUUCUUUUGAUUUACAUAGAGCCGUACCUAUACUAAUGAAGAUCCUAAGUAGAGGCAGUCAUAAGUUUUAAAAAAUUAAAAACAAAACAAAAUGAUUGUGCAAGAAUUGGUCUGAGAUUUUAAUCAUUUGUCUAAUUUUACUAAACUAUAUAAAACAGUAAGUAUGUGAACAUAUUGGCCUUCGAAAAUAUUAUAAAUUCAAAUACUCAAACAUAUGUGAAAUGAAUUUGUAUCCACAUCAACACACAAAAUAGUGUAAUAUGUGAAUAUUGGUUUAGUUUAUCCAAUUUUAGUUUAGGCAUGUGAGAAGAAUAUUCAUCUAUAAAUGAACUUAAUAAGUCUUUGUAGUAAAUCAAUUUCGAUGUUCAUUGGAUGAAAAACUUAAUAACUCUUCAAAGUUUCACAAAUGUAUUUUAUGAACUAUUUUUUUUAGUUUCGUCCUAUGCUUAACAAAAUUUAUUGAAUAUUAAUUAUUAGCAAAAUAACAAAUACUAUAAACCGGCCAAAAAUUCACUUUGAUUAAAUAUACUUUUUGAUUAUAUUAAAUUAGUCCAAAACUAGCUUAACUUUAAAUUUUUGAUAUGAACUAGUCAAUAUAAAGGUGAUCUCAAAUUGUAAUUUAGAAUUUAUAAUUUUCAUUUAUUUUGAAUAAAUUUGGUAGAAGACUUUAGAUGAUGUAGUUUUUGCUUUGUUUGAUUUUUUAGCUUAUUCGUUUAAAAACAAAUCUAGUUUUAUAAUAUAAUGUCUGAUUAAAAAAAAUUAAAAAUACGAUCAUAAUCACCACAAAUAACAACAUACAAAUUCGCUAUAAACAUCUUAUCCAAUUAAUCUUAAUAUUGACCACUAAAUCAGAAAUUGCAAAUCAAUUUGUUGAAAGAUAAUUUGUAUAACAAUUUAUAAAUUUACAAGCAAUAUUAAUUAGAUUUUUUUUAAUGCUUUUAUGAAUGAACAAAAAUUAAACGUGAAAUUAUAAUAUAAUAGAUUUUGUAAAAAAAUAAACUUUUAUAGAUAUUUUAUUUAAAUUAGGCCAUAGGCCAAUGUUUCCCAAUGCAUAAGACACGCGCCCUGGAUUUACAUCUCAAAGAACUCAUGUGGUAUGCUUUUUCCUUUUCUAUAAUACCAGACUUGUGCCAUGAAAGAGGCGAGUACUUCUCUUGCGAGUACUUCUCUUGUCCCCAAAAAAGAAAGAGGAUGAGAUCAGAGAAGAGAUUCAAGUUACCCCAAAGAUACCAAAAAAACAAAUCAAGACGUGCUUCAGAUGUUUUUCCUAGCUUCAUGAGACCAACAGCUAGUAGCAACAGAAGAUUAUCAGGGACAGAUUUUAGCGUAAUCUCCAAUGGUCGUCCAGGCUUUAAGUCUAGAAGAAACUCAAUGAUAUCUGUCCGAGCUGAAUCUGUGUGUCUUCCGGUGAAGAAGAACGGAUUUGAUCCCGCGUGUGACUCACCAGAGAGGAGCGUUUCGAAGUCGACUUGCGUUAUGCGUCCGAAUACAGCGGAUGAUGCAGCAACGGUUUAUAGUCAGGACAUAUCUGAAUGUGAUAUUAAGUUGGUCGUGUCGGAGCACAAACCAAAGGUACUGCAGAUGGGCCCCGGAUCUGCAAACAAAUCCCGCUCCAAGAUCGGUUUCUUGAGAAAAACGUUAACCAGAAAGAGGGUGGAACAGAGUUCUCAAGGAUUAAACAGUUGGCUUCAUUUGCAAUCCGAAAACAGGAGUUACGUGAAAUAGGUAGGAUCGAAGAAACAUUUAUGCAUGUGUUUUUCUUUGCUGGUUAAUUAAAUGUAUAAUCCCUUGAAGCAAUAUAUAACAAACAAGCAAUAACUUGAAGAGUUGAAAUCUUGGACAAGGACAUAGUUUUGAUGGAAGAAACAAAGGUUACAUUAACCAAAUUUAUGAAAUAGAGAUUAAACUCUGGAAAUAACAAACAGAAUAUCCAGUGGAUUCAGCAUCAAAAACAACAAGAUCAUUCUCGGUUUCAGGGUCAUGGGUCAUCAGUGUUUUCAUUUGCACAAGAUCAUAAAACAGCAACUCCUUUUUCUUCUUCUUCUUAUUAGUAUUAUUCUUCCCAUCCAAAAGUGCUAGUGGAUGGAACGCGCAUAAUGUUGGGCUACCAUAAAUAAUAGAAAUUACAAGCAGAUUUAUGGAACAAAUUUUGUCCCAUGUAUUGUUGCUGGAAUUGAACGACCAUAUCACUUGGAUGUCGAGGUUGCUAUUCUUCUCGGAUACACAUGACGAUAUCGUAAGGAGUACGCUCUGGAUUGGCUGCAAAAGAAGCUUUAGAUACGACUUGAAAAGCUUCCGUGUGAAGAUCAAAAAAUAGAACUUUGGUUUCUUGGCAUUCCGUGAACCAAUGAAGCGACCCAUGUACAAAAACGGGAUCGGCACAACCAGCAAUCCGAUAAGGAGAAGCAGGAGUGACAUACCUCCAAGCGUUGGUGCUAAAGUCGAAAACUUCACAUGUAGUAGCGUUUUCAAGGCCUAUUUCUAAAGAGUUGUAUAGCCAAAUGAGCUUGUAUGUGCCUCUGGAUAUGUCUUUACCGAAUCCAAGCUUAAAGAAUGAGUGUCCAAGUUCGAAGUAACUUUCUCGUAAGUCGAUCAUGAGUUGCUGAAAUUGGCAUAGAGGAAGAGGGCGAAACCAUCUAGUGGUGGGGUUGACCACAAACCCUGAUUGUUUGUGAUGAUAAAGACAAACCAGACCGUCACAGCUAUCAAAGGAGACGAAGUACUGCGUGUUGUUUUCCUUCUCCCAAGGAGUAGGGAUCUUGACCGAUGAGGAUGAACCCAACACCAGUGUUCUUAGAGAUUCUAUGUCCGGCGGGUGAGGACAUCCUGACACCAAGAGUACAUCUGGAUCUCCUGAUUGCUGUCGCUUCUUCAACUGUCUUUCUUCAAAGACUGGUGAUUCGAUCGUUGAUUUCCAUUGCUUCGACACAGCCUUGAAUCUCAGCAGAGAAUUCACCGCAAGUCUCUCCAAGAUAAGCUCUACGACAUCGUGUGGCACCGCAUUCCAUCAUCAAGCGACGUCUUUUCCACAUUCUUGCCUUGUCUCCGUAGCCAUUGAUGAGAUACAGAGGCUUAUUAUAUAUACUGCAAGUAAUAACAAAUACAUAGGAGAAUUUCAACAUUUUCCUUUCCUUCAAUCUAGAAUUUCAAUAAGGAGAAUUUUCAUCAGAUCAAGGAAAAGGAUAUUCUCUCUCACCACAACACAGAUCUUCUCCUAGCUAAUACUCAAAAACCUCGACACUUUCCUUUUCAUAAUAAAAAUCUAAAAUGUCAAUAAGAAAUUUCUAGGAUUUUCCAUCAGAUUUUCUCUCUCCAAACGACACAGACAGAUCUUCUCCCAUUUACUCAGAAACCUCUUGGAACCGAACCCUAUCUCUUUCUUUUUUUUCUGGGCUUUGAAUUUUCUUUGGGCUCAGAACCCAUAUAUGAUUUAAACCAACGUCUUUCGUCCGUUAUUUGCAUUUUUUCGUACUUUGAAUGAAUCUAUUUUUUGUCGGCAAUAUUUUUUUAUGAAAAUCUGAUACGUGCCCGUGAGCGUUAGACAAUCAUUAACGGGGUCGUUUAAUGGGUCUCUUCAAAUAUUUUAAUAACUAGGGAUUAAUUUGCGCCGGAGAUAUAUUUUUAAUUUUUAAUUAAUUUAAAUAAUUUGAUGAAAACAGUUAUUUUGUAAAAACAGUUAUUGUUAUAAAGUUUACAAUAAUAUAGUACAUAUUUUUGUGAAUUUUAAAUAAUGAAUUGAUCUAUAUAUAUAUAUAUAUUUUUGAAUUAUAAAAAAUGAGUUAAUCCGUAUAUGAAGUUAUUUUAUAAGAGUGUAAAGCAAAAUAAGUUGUUUUAAACCCGUUGGCACUAAACUAAAAUAUUAUCUAAGCUAUUAUAUAAAAAUUAUAAUAUUAUAAUCAUCAACUCUAAUUUGCAUAGUUUAAUAAUUGACAUUUAUAAUCUGUUCACUAACUAUAAAAAUUUAAUUUUAUCUUUUUAACUAUAUAUGAAAAUAAUAUAAUAUUCUUUACACUUAGGUUUGAUUUAUAAUAAAUAAAUAUACAACAAAUUAUAUUUAAUUUAAAAUAUAUAUAAUUUAGUAGAUUGAAUAUAUUACUUAUUUUAAAAAUUAAUAUUUUGAAUUUUGAGAUUUUUUGUGGGUAUUAAAAAAUUAAAAUUAUAAUCUGUUCAUAUCGAACUAACCCGUUUACUUAACAUAUUUGUAUUGGAUUAAAAUUUAAUAAUUAAUUAUAAUAUUCACCGUUUUUUUUAUUUAAACUUUAUAAUAUUCACCGUUUAAUAACUCUUAUUUCACCACAAACUUUUUUUAUUUAAAAAUCAAUUUUUCAUAUCAAAUUUUUAGUAAAAUAACUAAAAAGGUAUUUUUGUAUAUAAUCAAUCAAAUGUAGCAAAUUAUUGAAAAAAACACUUCACCACUUUUUUUAAUAUCAUAACUUUUAAUUUUGACUUUUAUAAUAUUUCUAAAUUCAAAAUUUUAUUUUCACGGUUUUAAUUAAAUAUACUUUAUAAUAUCAUUUGAAAAUAGAAAUAAUAAAAACUAUCAGAUUUUUGAAUUUAGAAAUUAAAUAAUAAAUAUACUCUAUUAAGUGAGAAAUAAAGACUUUCCAUAUUUUUAGCAAUAGAGUUGAAAGACAACUAUAUCCUUUCCUAUUUUAAUUAUUUUUUGUUAUUUGUAAUGACAUAUCAUGUAAUAUUUUACAAAAUAAAGGUUAUAUUUUAAAAUGUUUUACUCAAAUAAUAAUAUAGAGAUAAAAGUUGAGAAAGUUGGGCUUAAAUUGUAAAAACGUCUUUAUCUGGCGACGGGGAGAGACGUCUCUUGGGCCAGAUGUCACGUGUCUAGAGGUCAAAAAAUAUGGGGAAAAUAUAAUUAUUUUGCUUGGGCUUUUUUUUUCAAUCCUUCGAUGAGUUUCUACAUUGCACCAUGCAAAUUAUAUAAGUCUCACAAGAAAAUCUCUAAUUCAAUUAUAAUAUUAAAAUAUUGAAUAAGAGAUCCAUGAAAGUCUUUGGGUUGCUGAUGCUAUGAAUUUAACGGAGCCCAACAAUCUGUGCUUGUACAUAAAUAGAAAAAUUGAAGCCUGGAAUAGAACAUGGUUUGGAGGGUGUAUUUUUCACUGACCAACAGACCAAGGAUCUUAUAUAUGUUAUGGCCGUGAACCAUAUUCUUGUUAAGGAUUGCUUUAGGUUCCUUAUAGCAUUGUUAUGUUUGAUCCAGAACCAAUGCUUUUUGUGAGAAUUUGCAUUGUUUCCCUUGAUCACCAAGUCCACUUCUUCACAAUUCUCUAUGAUAAUAUGCUUCUUCCACAAUGUUUCUCUUAUUCAAAGACCACACUUAAUUAGACUUAAUUAGCUUCACUGGAAGUGGCCUCAAGAAGAGCAACAGAAAUAUCUGUGCACAUGCAACCAUUGAAGAAGAAGAGCCUUGCAUGCCUAUGUUUACGCCAAUUGUUCACAAUCUGUACUCUCGUUCUUGUCUCUCUGCACCUUAUCAUCAUCCGCCAAGUUGCUAAUUAGCUCAGCUUCUCUUCUCGUUGUAGGAUGAACUUGUGACGACAGAUUUCUUGCUGAUAUCAAUCAGUAGACUGUUCAAAAUCGUUGCAAAAGGUGACCCAGAUAUGUUGUAGCUCUAUGUUAGAACAACAAUUCCAAACAGAGAUCUCGAACCCUAAAAAAUUAUCCGGAAUGUAACACCAUCAGCUGUGCCGGAAUUAAAAUCGGCGGCAGGUUUUGACCAGAACAAUUAUUAAGAGCGACUAUUUUCCGUCAGAUCAGUUACCAUCUUAAGCUUUAUUUCCUUUUUGUUGAUUUAGAGAUGUUUAAUAUAUAUAUCUAUUAUAUAAAGACUCAGUUGAGUCUCACAAACUUGACACAUCAGCACUCCUUUGAAUGACACAUCAACUCAUUUAUUUGUUAUUUAAAAACUUUAGUAAAACUCUAAUUAAUUUAAGCUAAUUACUUUUAUGUUCAUAUUUCUGUGCACUGAUUUAUUUACCAUCAUGGGCCUCAUGGCUUUUUGACUCCCAUUUUUGAUGCUUCCUAUUUUUAAUGAUGCUUCAAACGUUGUCUUAAAUAUUGGUUACUCAUGUUUCAACGCAUAAAAAAUAAUCAGCAAAUAUAGAGGAGAAGACAUGGAAAAAAGUAAAUAUUAUCUAAGAUUUUUUAAUAAAUCUCUAAUCUACAGCUUGCACGUUGUAACUUAUGCAAAUUUCUAUAUAGAAGCUUACUAAAGUGAAUGUUGUUCACAAAUCCACGGUCUAAGAUUUAUUUCUUGGUCAUGGGCAGAGACAUCUACAUUUAAUACCAUCGUUUGUGUUCAUUUAAAGGAAAAGAAGAAUUUUGCUUUUAAAAAGAAGAUUUUGUAUGAUAGUUUCGAGAAUUCUGUGAAGAGUAAAUAGCAAGACAAAGUUAUAAUAAUAAUUUCUAAAAUAAUAAUAAUUCGGCGACGAAGCUAUAAUAAUAAUUUCUAAAAACUUUGUUUUAAGUUAAGCUGGUGUAAGUUAUAUAUUCUAUUUAUUUUUGUUUUAGAGAAAAUUUUAAGGGAGAAAAAUAAUACUCCGAAAAACUUAUUACAUCCAUUAGUAAAUUUUUUAAUAUCUAUGUUUUUACAAGAAAUGAUAAAAAUCUCGUCUUAAUGAAUAAUAAUUAAAGAAAUCUUUGUGGAGAAAAGAUAAAUAUAAUUUAUAUCAUUUUAUGUGCAUGAAAUGUAGCUUGUUUUAUCUCCAUCAGAUCUUGGAGUUGGAGUAUUGGUUCUCCCAAGUACUGCAAUAAAAAGCCACUGGAGCGGCAAGAGCCAAAUCCGAUGGUGAAAAUGGAGAAAGACGUAUUUGGUAAGCUUUUACGAUAGCUGGUCAUGCUUAUCUAAAGUUCUAAACUCUACCUGUGAUGCAAAAGAUAAUAUAUAGUAUGAAAUAUCACAGAUUUUCAUGCUAUAUUCAUUUCCUAACUUUUCUAAUUUUAGUGGAUAUUGUGACGGUUUUGCCAAUGAGAAUAUGAAAAUUUUAUGGAAUAAAGUUAUCCAUUUAUUUUGAGAAUAUACCUCUUAGGUUCCUAAUCAUAAUAUUUAGUAUUUGCUGGAUUCUCAUAUCUUUGUUUAUAAUGUUCAAGAUAAUUUUUCACGUUUAAUUGAAGACAACGUUUCUUAAUAGAGAAAAUUUCUCAUAAGAUUUCAUAAAACCAAAAAAAAAGUCAAGAAAAAAACUAAUUAAAACAAAAUCACUUUAACAAAACAAGUUAACAACUAAUCUCUCUAAACAUAUAUAUGGCCAGUCCAAAAAAACCAAAAAUCUAAAUUUUUUUUUUAACAUCAUCAAAAAUCUAAAUUUAAUUUCAGUUUCUUUUGGUUUUUGAUCGACAGUCUAGAUACCUAGAACGGUUUGGUUACCCAAACCGAAGAUAUCGAAUUUAUGUAAAUAAUAAUUUGUAGGUGGACACAAGCGCUUUUUUGCUAGAAUGUUUGCCUUCGAAUUCUUCAUGCGUGAAAUGUGUGAUAUAGUGAAGGAAUUGUAAACUGAAAUUUAAGGAUAAAACUAAACUUCAGUUUUAAACAUUAUAAAAAUAUUAAAAAGAAAACCCACGCAUAUGCGUGGGUACUCAUCUAGUUAUAUAUAAAAAUUGCUCAACUUUUUCCAUAUGAGUGACAUAUCAUCAUUUGAGAAUUGAUAUGGGAAUGACAUGUGUCAUUUUUUAUUUAAAAUUAUAGUUUUUAAAGAAAAUUAAUUAAUAAAUUUUAAUAUUAAGUGUUCAACCACUCAAAAAAAUGAAAAGUAUUUUUGUUAAUUGAUUCUUAAAUAACAUUUAUGUAAAUAUUAAACAAAAAUUUAUGUUAUAAUUAAUUAAAAAUUAGUAUUUUUUAAUCAUUUUUUGUUUUUUAAUAAUAUUAUAUUUUAAAUUAAUUGAUUUAUAAUAAUAUACUAACAAAUAACAAAUGAUGAUCAUACUUAAAAAAAUACAAAUAUAUAAAUUUGAAAUAGUUGAAGAAAAAAGCUAUUUAAAAUUACAGUUUAAAGAGAAAAAUUAAUUAAUAAAUUUUAAUAUUAAAUUUAAACUACUCAAAAAUAAGAAAAAAUCUAUUAAUUGAUUUUUAAAUAACAUUUAUGUAAAUAUUAAACACGGAAUUUAUGUUAUAAACUUUUGAUUUUUAAUGAUAUUAUAUUUAAAAUUGAUGGAUUUAUAAUAAUAUACUAACACAUAAUAAAUAAUGAUUAUAUUUUUUUAAGAAAAUACAAAAUAUAUAUAUUUGAAAUAGUUGAUGAAAAAAAUCCGCACGUUACAUGCGGGUAUUCACAUACUUAUAACAAAAAGGAAACAAUUUUUCUGAAAUAUGCCAUUACCAAAAAAAUUAAGAUAUGACAGGUUUUUCCUAAGCAUUGAACAACAAAACUAUAACUGGCAUCUCCUCCAAAAAAAUUAAAAACAAAAACUGAAUCAUUAAACACUAAACAAAACUCUCUUUUAUUCAACAAAAAAAAUUGGGGGAUCAAGACUGCCUGCUGUUCUUUGUCUUUACUUCGUUAACCCGUUGAAGAAGUCGUUACCAUAGCCCACAUCAAUAAACCCUAAUCCCAGAAGAAUACGGAAGCAUAAAGCCUGAAGUUUCCGCAUAAACCUAUGAGCUUUUCCUGCAACCAAAAUACGGAAUCUCAGAAGCAAAAAAACACAAGAUAAGAUCUACACGAAACACACAAACGUCGGUCCAAAUUGUUUACCUCUCCCGCCCAUGAUUUCUUGUGGUCUACGCAAUGGUGGAGCUACAUCCUCCGUGAAUCCCAAAACUCUCUCAGAUUUCGGUUUGUGCGAUUGAUCCAAACCCGUUUCCGGUAAGAGCUGUUUGAGAUCAGAUUUUCCUUCUGACAGCAAGAUCGAGGCCGGUGAAUCUUGCUCCCAAUCCGAGCUGUGAUCAACUCCAAACCAUACAUUGUCUAUGUGUUGGCUAAGUCCAUCAUAUACUAAGCUUGGAGGAUAAAGAGAUUCUUCGUCGUCAGGAUUUAAGUAUCUGGACAGAAUCUGAUCUUCUGUUUCAGAAGAACAUAGACAUUGCAGCUCAAACAGAUCUUUAAGCAUCGGUGUAGGUUUAAUCCCUGUUUCCUCUGUUUUGAACUCUUCAACGAUUUCAGUGCCAGUGAUUUUCUCCGUUGUAAACCUCUUUGUAGAUGACUGAUCCAGCGACCUGUCUCUGCUUAGUCUGCCCGGUUUAGCCGGGAAAGGAGUUGCAGGAAGUCGUUUCUUGUCAAGCACGUAACUCCUGUUUUCGGAUUGCGAAUGAAGCCAACUGUUAAUCCUUGAGAACUCUGUUCCACCCUCUUUCUGGUUAACGUUUUUCUCAAAGAAACCGAUCUUGGAGCGAGAUUUGUUUGCAGAUCCGGGGCCCAUCUGCAGUACCUUUGGUUUGUGCUCCGACACAACCAACUUAAUAUCACAUUCAGAUAUGUCCUGACUAUAAACCGUUGCUGCAUCAUCCGCUGUAUUCGGACGCAUAAAGCAAAUGGACUUCGAAACGCUCCUCUCUGAUGAGCCACACGCGGAAUCAAAUCCGUUCUUCUUCACCGGAAGACACACAGAUUCAGCUCGGACAGAUAUCAUUGAGUUUCUUCUAGACUUAAAGCCUGGACCAUUGGAGAUUACGCUGAAAUCUGUCCCUGAUAAUCUUCUGUUGCUACUAGCUGUUGGUCUCAUGAAGCUAGGAAAAACAUCUGAAGCACGUCUUGAUUUGUUUUUUGGUAUCUUCGGGGUAAUUUGAAUCUCUUCUCUUAUCUCAUCCUCUUCUUCUUCCUCAGUAAAAUGAGGCUUCCCAGAGAGUUUCUCUAAUCUCUCGUUUAGAUAUCUGAUCUCUUUUAACGUUGUCUCACGCUCUUGCUCGAUCUUUUCCAUCAUAUUCUGCAGAUUCAUCAACACAGCCUCCUUUUUCUCUUGUUCUUCCUACGCAUCAAAAGAAUCCUAAACCCAUCAGAGAUUGUUACACUCUAGGGUAAGUUGAUGUGUUAUGCAAGUUAAUGUUUCCAUUACCUUUGAUUCGUCCUGUCCUAAAUGGAUGUUAUUUGCCCUCGUUGCGAAGUUCAGAGAGCAUAUGGUUUCACACAGAUCAUCUUCUUUCGGGCUGAUAUGAACAAGCAUCAAUGUUUUAGAGUCUUGCCCUGCAAAACUAGGAAAGAAACUCAGAGAAGAGAGCAAAUAACUUCAGUUAAGAUCAAGAUCUUUCGGAAGAUCUUAGUUACCGAGGGAGUCUUUCAGGACCUGUGUGAGCUUGCUGUUCCUGAAAUACAAAGAACAAAAAACUCAAAAGUUUCAGAGAUUAAUGUAGUAAGGGUUACAUAAAAAAGAGAGGAUAUGUUUACCUGUAAGGAAUGUGACCAUUCUUGCGUUGAAGAGAGUUGAUGACAUCUCCAAGAGCAGAUAAAGAGAGAUUAAUGGCUUUGCCUUCAUCAAAACGACGACCAGUGGCUCUAGUUUUCAACACGCGCUCGCUUCCUCCAAGAUCCACUAGCCAAAUCUUGUUUGUUUCACGCCGCCUCUCAGGAGCUCCAAGACAAGUGAUCGAUACUCGGAUCAUACUGUUCCAUGAUUUUCAUCCAUAUAUGAGAGAUCAAAUAACAUAGGGUAAGAGGAAAAAAAAAUCAAAAAUCAAAAUUUUGAGGUCUUACCAGUGUGAUCUGCUGGAUGCAGAGUUAGAGUUAGUGGAGGCAGUUGCUCUGUUUCGACAACCUAAUUUGUAUAACUUGAAGACUUGAUUAAAGUCUUUCACUUUAAUAGUCACCAAGUUCUCGAUGUCUACCUCUCCCUUUGCGUCUGUGUGAAUCAGAAGACUGAAACAGAGAAACAAAACUCAUUGAGUUGCAUUCCAAACCCGAUCCUUCAAUGGAUAUUCUCUGCACAUGUUAUUAUGAGUAUUAUUACCUUGGAGGUAUUGGAUCAAUGGGUUUAGUUGCUUGAGAAACAAGCAAGUCUCUGAGAUUUCCCAUGUAAAUCUCAAGCAUACUAAAGUUGAUCACAAACUUAUGAUUGCUUUCCUCGACUUGUUUGAAUAAUCCCUUUAUCGCUCUAGGAACAAUACCUGGAGAUUUCGGAAGACCCUCCUGCAUAAAUAUUCAUCCCAAUAUUUAAAUAUCAACUUUAAGAGAUGGAAACAACAUGGUAAUCAAAGAGAUGUUUUUGAUUGAUCCUUCUUACCAUUGUAUAAGUUUUCCCAGUACCGGUUUGUCCGUACGCAAAAAUGCAGGCGUUGUAUCCAUCGAUAACCGAUUUUAUUACUGGUUCGAUCUCUAAGAAAACAUCAUCUGCAAAAAAUUUGUAUACUAUAUAUCUUCAAGAACACUUUAAUGUAUGCGUAAUCAAUUGUAAAUGACGUUGUAAUGAACUUCCACUAAACGACGUCGUGAUUAUAGUGUACGCCACUAUGAAGCUUGUAAGAAACUUACCUUGUGAUGAAUCAGGUUGGAAAACUCUGUCGAAGUUGUAGGUUUUCCUCUUGGUUUCUGUUAACUUUAGGACAACGUUUCUUGUAUCCGAAGCAACUGGUGCUCUCAAGUUUUGGGAGUCCAAGGGUUUUACUCGACAAAACACACGAAUGUUUCCUGACCAAUUUUCCAAAUCGAAAUCGAUGAAACUAGACUCUUAAACUUGGAAUUUACAGUAUAAAUCGUAGUUUAAAAAAAAAAUCGAAUACUGACCUUUAAGGUCCAAAAACUCGUUAAGAAUCCGUCUUCUUUGUUUGCUCUGAUCAUUUACUUGAACUGUUAGUGCAUAGAGUUUAUCUGUAACACAAAAACAGAGGACACAGAGUGAAACCCAUAAGUAAAAAUUGAAACUUUGUUGGAAUUUUUGAUAUAGUAUCACUAUCUGAAUUAAAUAUACAUUCUCAAAUUAAUUCUACAUAAUAUAAUACCAAAAAAAUAAAAAUCUACAUAAUAAAACCCGGAGUUGACAAAUCUUAUCUUGACUUUAAGUAUUUAUUAUCCGGUAGAAAUCUUGACUACAGAAAUAUUGAACCCACUUAAAUUGUAAAAUGAAAAAAAUGUGAAAACGAAUGAUCAAAGAGCCGUUAGAUGACUGCCACGUCACUUUAAUACAGUACAAGAACAUGUGAUCCAACGGUUCAGAUGCUUUGCAUGUAGUAGGUAAUCUCCACCAAAGGAUUUUAAUUUUUCACAAGAAAACAAGAAUUUGAUUCAGAAGAGAAUACCAAAAAAAAAUUGAAGAACAAAAAACCAGAAAGAGAAAAAAAUCUUUAACAAAUGGGGAAAUGGGGAAAUGGGGAAUCCGAGAGAAGUACCUCUAAGGCUCUGUACUUCGAUGAAAGCAGAGUCGUCUUCUUCCUUUGACGAUGAAGAAAUCUCAGAAGAUGAAACAUUCUUGACGAUGUUGCAGACAGAUUUAACCCAAGCUGAAGUCAAAUGAGAUUUCAAACCGAGUAAUGAAUGGAUUGUCUCCGGCAAAUCCCGAACUGGUUUCGGCCUUCUUCCCUCCAUUACACCAAAUCUUGAUCUUGAUUAGAAAACAGAGCAAUUCGCAGGAAUCAGAUUUUGAUUUCACUGAACUUUUGCCGAGAAAGUUAGAGGAAAGAGAGGGAAGUAGUGAAAUUUGGGUCAGAGCUCAUCAAUGGCGGAAUCUGGAGAAUAGUUUUUUUUUUUAAGAGGACAAAGAUGUGGAGAGAAUGUUCUUCAUAAGCAAAAAUCUCUGCAGGUGCCAUGUAUAUAUAUAAUUACAGGCCCUUAUAAUACAAAAUAUAUAUUGUUUUUGUUAGUUUUACCUUGGGGAGAGAAAAUUUUAGCUGAACUUAACACUUGUCUAUCACUAAAUGGAGAAUUAAAAAAUUUGUAUAACUAUUAUUCAAAGAAAUUAAUUACUAUUCCCCCUUUUUGGCUGGAACAAUAUUGAUGAAAAUGCUACUUAGAGAUAUUUUUAUCUAAUCAGCUUAACGGCUGUGGAUGAGUUCAUCCAAGCUAUCAAUUAUUUUUACAGCUUUGUUUUUUAUUUGUCUAAAGUAACUAUUUGAACCAAAUUUAGUGUUUAUGCUUUAUUUUAUACUAUUAAAUUUAAAGUCAUAGUCUAAAUUUAUAUAAAUAACCAAAUAGAAUAAUAUAACUAAAAUAACCAAAAUAACCAAAAUUAGUAUUUGUAUAUAUGAAUUUCCUUUUUAUAUUUUAUUUUACCUUAACAAGAUGUUGUUUAUAAAGAAAAACGGACAAUCGGUCUAUAAUAUAAUCUAAUCUAAUUUGUAUUAAAAAAUACUAUAAUUAGAAAAAACAGCGUGUCAAUUCUCAUAAAUAUAAGACACGUGGCUACAAUGUUUUAACUAUUUUUCUUAUUCAAAACGCGGCAUACUGAAUUCUAUUAACGUUAUAAUGAUGAUUUCACGCGGAGUUUGUAUUGGGCCUGACUUUAAAAGUAAGAGUAUUGAUCUGCAUUUUCUAAAGAAGAGCAUCAUUCUUACAAAAAAAAUAAUAAAAAUGAUGAGUUUAUUCGCAUAAAACCCUUUUUUAUGCAUUUUUAUAAUUUAAAACAGUUAGCAUGUUCUUUGUUUUUUUUUUUGAAUUUCGCUUUCGAAUUUAGUACUAUACAUUUUUCUAAAUAGUUUUAGCUUCCAAUACAUUUUUAUAAUCUACUUUUGUCAUUUGCAAUGACUAACAUUUCAUCCAAAAUGUAAAUAACUCUAUUAGUUAAAUACAAUACUUUUGGUUUUAUUUUAGUUUUGUUUCACAUGUUUUUUUCUUCAGAGUAAUAUCUAAUAGUUUUUUUUUUUACAUUUUGAAAAAUAUUUGUUUUUAUUAUUUAGGGGUAGUACUGAAAUUUUAAUAUUAUCAAUACUAAUUGGACAAUGUUGAGUGAAAAAGUAUCAAAUGGACAAUAGGUGAGUUUUUUGUCCUAUAAUUCUAAUUUUCUCAUAAAUAAUUAAAUUCUCUUUCCCAAAAAAAAAAUUAAUGUUAUUAGAUUCAAAUAAAAUAAGUUGUACUAUGUAGUCGUCUAAAAAAAUUAUCGACGCAAUCAAAUAACAUCACAACAAAUUUCAAAUUCUUCAAAACUAACUCAAGUAAUUAAAUAUUUUGCAGCUUAGAUAGUGCAACGAAAUAGUUCACCUGCCACGAUGGAUCCAUCAAUGGAUAACGCAAUCUCACUUGUUAUAGUCUAUGGUUAGAGUAAAAGUCUCGUCAAUGUCUCUUUCUUACGAGUUACGAUCUACUGUAUUAAUUUUUCCUUAGCUAAAUCAAUAUCCGUUGCCUUGUUUUUUAUUUCUUUUCGCCAAGGUAACAUGUAUAGGGGAUUUGCUUUUGUAAUAUCCAACUUUCAUUUUUUAUGAUAUUUACAAGUUAGCAAAAAAGAAAAAGAAAAAAUAGAAAGAACUAUUUUUAGCAAGAACAAAAAGUAGAAAGAAUAGAUAAUAAUCUUUAAUACUGUAGUAUUAUCACGUUUUGGAAAAAACGCCAACAUAGACCAAUGGUCGAUGAACAGAAGAUUUGUUAUUUUUUCCCAAUAUAGGUUGACCCAAACAUCUAUGCAACUUAGUAAUGUCAAAUAACCUUUAUUUCCCAUGAAUGGUUAUGUUAUGCAUGAAUAAUUGAAUACGACCUUUUCCCAUAAUUAUACAUAGAUAAUGUAGUAAGAAAAUAGAGUUUGUAAUAUUUUAUCCAAGGAAUAAGCAUCUCGGUCCAAAAGAGAUUUCAUAUACUGUCGUCCGAGCACCAUUGAGAGCAUUGAAUGAUAUUGCAUAGAGAGAGAGACAUGACUGUCGUAAUUCGGCCAUGCCUCACACGCUCUCUCUCUCUCGACAUAUGUGAUCACAUGCCAUAUAACCUAAUCAACCGGACCGAUAUAUAUGGCAUCUCAUCCACCAAACCUAUAUAUAUAGUGAUUAUAUACAUUGCAGUCGAUCGCCUAUUAGUCUAGACUCUAGAGUUAAGUUAAGCGUGACCUAAUCCGAUCACAUAUGGUCUUCUAAUGCAAGUCACUAACUAAAUUUAUGCAAAAUACUUUUUUACUUCACACAAUGAGAAAGAAAUGAUCCAUGAUAAUUCUCAAUGAAGUCGAUCGAACCUUACCCUUGACAUCAAUCUAUAGUUUUCAUUUUUUUUUUUUUUUUGAAUUUUCAUUUCUAAAAUCGAACUAAUUUAUCCUUCAUUUACUACUGGUCCUGUUUUUUUUUUUUUUUUUCCAAGGAGUCGUAUCAUAUUGGUCCUCUCCUUCAUUCAAAGAAAAGGUGCAUGGUGUUAUUUGUAUUUCACUGCCUGUGUGGGUUAAUGGCUCCCAACUCGCAAGACAUAUAUAGGCCCUUCGUAGUUAAUACUCUGCACCAAUUAUAUACAUUUCUCGUGGGAUCCAUCAUUAUAUGCAUAUACAGUAGACCGUGUAUGUAUCUACACGCAUGAUUUAAUUACCAAACAAACAGUAAUGUUUAAAGUAAAAAACCCACUAGGCUUCAAGAUCUGGUAAAACUCUGUGUUUUAUUCAACGUUCUCGACCCAAAAAAAAAAAAAAAAUUCAAAGUUCUCAAUUAUUACAAGUAGUACAAGCCUUUUCGAUAAAGCCAACAUACAAACAUGUGUAUACACCUUAUAAUAUACAAAACAUUUGAAAACCCUCACAACGCAAAAAAAUCAGCACAUGAAGGCAAAGACAGAGAGAUGUAAUUGCUUAAUCUUGAGGAGUCUCGAAUCUAGUCGGUGUGUCGAUGCCCGCCAUACAACAAAGUCCACUUAUCAAGAUGGUAAGCAGGACGAUUCCCUGAAAAGAGGCAAGAGACCUUAUCACAAAGACUUCUUAUGGAAACACAAGCUUCCAGCUCGAGACAAUUAAAGAAUGUGCAUUAGAAGAAAUUUGCUUUAAAAGUGGGUAGCUUUACCACUAAGAUUCCCUCUAAGAGUGAUGACUUGAAUUUGCAGAGUUCAUCACAGGUUGUAGAAGCUUCAGCUGUAGUGUUUCCUGUGGCUGUUUCAGCCAAAAACCUUUGGAGAGUUUGGUAAGGAGUGUACCAAUAAGGAUCAGAGACAUAUAGGGUUGCGUAUUUAGUUCCAGAAUGCUCUACUGAACCAACAAGCUCAGAGAUGAUUUCACCUGCAGAUAAUGGUUCAAAGAAAACUUAGUUAACUUAAAACGAGUAUCUAAAUGCAUGCUAUGACUUCUUUUGUAACCAUGAUCUGUCCACUUACGAUCUGAAGGUGACUGGUAAGAUUGAGUCGAUGAUUCAGAUCCCUCAGAGCAGACCACAACCAAGUCGGUUUCCCCUUCUUUUCUUGUUUCUUUUCUAGCAACCAGAUGAUCCUGUCGAUCGAUAAUUUAUAGGUAAAUCAGAAGGUUCAAGAGUAAGGGUGCAUGGGACUCUGGAAAACAUAAACGUCAGAACAAUCAGAUGACUUUGAAAGACUGCACUUUCGAUAGUUUCUGAGUUGUUCCAUCCUCAACGAAACACGAGUCUGAGAACACGAUAUUGCUGACUCCAACAUUAUGAGAACAAGCUUCUUUAAGCCCUGAAACAACAAAUUUUCCAUCCUUUCCUCCUCUGGUGCAGAUAUAUAUGGGAAUGCCAACGAGAAACUAGAAGCUGUAAACAGAUUCUGGUAAAAAUACGAAGAACUGAAUGUUAAUUAUUGUUAAGGCUUCAGAGAGUAUCAAUGUAUAAAAAUUGUAUGUAUGUUCUAUUGUUCUAGAAGUUAAGUAAAACUAGCUUACCUUCAAUGUGUUAAGAAGGGCAGGAAAGGAGUAGAGGUAAACGAAGAACUAACAAGAAGACAGCUUCAUCUCCGGUCCUCAAAUCUGGUCUGUGUUGGUAAGGAGUAGCGGAAAACGACGCCGUUUUGUAGUUAUUUAACCGAAUCUGGUUUAGCGACGAGAAAUCGGUCUGAAUUUAACGGUACACAGGAGAUAAACGGCUACGUUUUGGUAACUGUCGGGUAAGGGCCAUUCACAUUCCGACCCGGCCCAAUUUGAAAUAAAUAAGACGAAACUUGAACAGAGUCAUCGACUCACCGGACCAAGUAGCGCCGGUACUUGUAAAAUCAGAGAUACUCAAACUCUCGAGUCUCCUACGAGCCCUCCUGGUUCGUUCUCUUCUCUCAUUCCCGCCUAAAAACCUUUAACUCUCUCGAUUCGGCCAUUGAAGCAGCCGCAACAGCUUGAGGAGAUUUCAAAAAAUGGGUAAAGUUGAGAUUAAAGAAGAAGUAGAAGGAGAUCGCGUCGGAACUACCGAUUACUACUUCGAUAGAAUCGGCGAACCUAUCUGUAUCAAAGAGGAAGACGCUCUAUACGAUCUCGAAAACCCUCCCUCACAGCCUCUAGCUAUCUCCGAACGCCACGGCGUCGUUUUCGUCGCACAUUCCUCCGGUUAGUAUUCUUAAUCGGUGAUGAUUGUCCAGGUUUUUGCUCGUGCUGUUUAAUGUAUGUGGCCGUUUUUGUGUGAAAAUUAGGGUUUCUUGUUGCAAAGACCAAGGAUGUAAUUUCUGCUUUGAAGAAUAGUAACGGGAAAGGUACCAGGGUUUAUCUCCAGAAUUUGAGCCUCGUGGAUGUUCCCGUUGGCAACGUUCGUAUACUGUCUCUCUCUGCGGAUGAUUCCAUUCUCGCUGUCUCCGUCGCUGCUGAUUUUCAUUUCUUCUCUGUGGAUUCACUUCUUAAUAAGGUAUAUGGCUCUUAAGCCUUUAGUCUUUAUGGCAUAUUCUCUGCCUGUAACUGUAAGCUUGGUUUCCCGGGUUCUUCCGUAAAUUGACUUCUACUUUAUACUACUUCUUGCUAAUGCGAUUUUUUUUUUAAAUGUUAUGCCGGUUCUGUAUGCUUUUUCCUUGUGAAUGGCGUUUGAAAGCACACAACUAGUAGUAGCACACUAUCCAGCCCUUUGCUAGGAAUGAGAAUCUAUGUUGAUUGAUAGUUUAUUUUCUUUAUCUGUCCUUUGAUGCAGGAUGCAGAACCUUCAUUUUCUUAUUCACCUGAUGAGUCAGACUUUGUUAAGGAUUUCCGGUGGACACGGAAAGAUAAACAUUCGUAUCUUGUUCUUUCAAACCAUGGGAAUCUCUUUCAUGGAAUUGAUAAUGCACCCCCUAGACAUGUUAUGGAUGGUGUUGACGCCGGUUUGUAUCAUUUACUUUUGCUACUUCUUCAGCAACACAAUAAACCAUGUUUUUUGGAAUUUCAUUGUGUACUAUGUUCUUUUUUCCAGUUGAAUGGAGUUCAAAAGGGAGUUAUAUUGCUGUGGCUCAAGAUAAUAGCCUGCGGAUUUUGUCGUCAAAGUUUAACGAGAAGCAGUGCAUAGCGUUAUCAUUUGACGCCUGGAAUGGUGAUUCCAAUGAAAACUGUGUUGUGAAAGGUAUGUUGUAUGUUUUAGCCUAUCAAAUCAGUAUUUUCCAUUUUGGUUCAAAUAGCAUAGUUGUUGUAUGGUAUAUGAGGUGUUUUCGUAUGGACUGAGUCGUCCUCUAUUCCGAUGCUUGGACAUAGAAUAUUUACAAAAUGAUCCUGUUGAAAGUUCUUAUUUCGUGCUAUCUCCCAUCUAAAUCUUGGUAACAUUCCUAUAGAUCUGUAUUUCUUGAAAUGGUGUUCAAAUUUCCCUGGUUCUAUGCAUACUUCCGUUGAAAAGUUUCAUGGAUCGCUCUGAAGUCAAACCCGCUCAAUGACUGACUGUUUACCAACAACACUUUGCAACAGUUGAUUCUAUUCGAUGGGUACGUCACAACUGUAUUCUUCUCGGAUGCUUCCAGCUGAUUGAUGGCAUGGAAGAAAAUUACUUUGUUCAGGUUAUUAAGAGUCCGGACGGGAAGAUAACUGAUGUGAGUGACCGUUUUUAUGGGAUAGAAAGAAACAAUAGGAUCUGUAACUUGUACUUAUAUAUUUAUCUGAUAUGUGGUUUUUGAGCUUCUUCUUUGCAGGGUUCGUCCAAUCUGGUUGCUGUAUCCUUCUCUGAUUUGUUUCCAUGUUCGAUGGAUGAUCUUGUUCCGGCUGGUGUUGGACCUCAUUUGCUCUUUAGCUACAUAGACAAAUGGUACUUUAGGCUAAUUUUAUGUUCUUUUUAUUUUUUUUCUUUGCUUUAUCUUUUCAUGAAUGCUGGAAUUUACCUUCGCCCUGCAAGCCGUUUGUCAAUCUUUCUAACUCUUGAUUUAUUCGGAUCUUAAGAUAUUUUUUCAUACGUAACCAACUAGGAUGAGCUGUAAAUAAUUAAGUUCGCUAAUGAGAAUUGUUUUAAAUUCAACUAUCAUAUAAUACUGGAAGUAAAUCUGAGCUAAUUCGUAUUUACAAUUCUCGUCUUGAAGCGCAAUAGAGUCAGUUUAGUUAUUCUUGAUUUCCUCUUAAUCGCAAUAAGGAACAUGGACAAAGUAAACUACCACUUAAUUCAAUGUUGAAGAUAGUAAAAUUUUGCUUACUCCUCUAUAUUGUCAACUUUACAGCAAACUGGCAAUCAUAGCAAACAGGAAGAGCAUAGAUGAGCAUAUUGUUUUGCUAAAUUGGCCACUUGGUGAUGAUAAAAGUGCAGUUGCCGUUGUUGAUAUUGAUCGAGAGACCUUUUUGCCAAGGAUUGGACUCCAAGGUAUGUGGUCCAGAGUUGCUGCAUUCCAAUGUGCUUUUUCAUACAUUACACGUUCGAUAUAAAAAUGAUCAUUCUUUUUCCAGAAAAUGGAGACGACAAUAUGAUCAUGGGACUCUGUAUCGAUAGGGUUUCUGUUGAAGGGACCGUUAAUCUCCGUUCGGGAGAUGAUGAAAUGAAAGAACUCCCGCCGUAUUGUGUUCUUGUGUGCCUCACUUUGGAAGGAAAAAUGGUCAUGUUUAAUGUUGCUAGGUAGGCUUUGUCUCUCAUAAUGGUUAUAAGUUUCUCCUUUUCUUUAACUACAUUACAUGAAACAGUAACGUUGUGUUCCUCUACAGUGUUGCAGGACUCCCAGCUUCAGAUAAUGUUGAUUUGGCUUCUUCUUCUGAUAUAGAAGAUGCUAAUGCCCCUUCAAUUAGAGAUGAUCUUUCUGAACAAUCUUCUGAAGAGCCUGAACAACAACGAAAUGUGAAUGUUUCGGUACAAAAUGAACUGAAACCCCUCAACUCAGAUCAUUUAACUUUUCUGUUACCUACCGAACAAAGGUUCCCAAAUGAAACAAUUUCUAGUAAGGAAAUUGGUUCUGUAAAAAAUUCAGCGUCUGGGGACAACAACGGGAAGCAAGAAUUCUAUGCUGAAAAACCAUUACAAGCUGCAGAUGGUCAACAAAGCAUGAUUCCUAGGCAGUUCGGAACAAGUUUUGGGGUAACUCCUUCGUCUUUAGGAUAUGACACCAACAAAUUUGCAGGACUGGGUCCUAUCCUCCCUGUUUCUGAUAAGUUUCAAAAAGACUUAUCUGAGCAGUCUAAGUCUCUGCAUUUUCAGACCAGUUUUGGGUCAAAGAGUACACCAGCUUUAUUUGCAUUUUCUGGCCCGCAGAACGCUACUGUUCCUUCACCACAAAAUACACCAGCUCAGCCAUGGUCAAGUGGGAAAGGUAUCUCACCUCCAAAUUUUGCCUCUGGUCGUUUUACUUCUGUGAAAGAUACUCAGCAUAAGCAAUCAGAACAGACGGGAGCUGGUUAUGUAAAUCCUCCUACGUGCAUCAAAGAGAAGCCUGUACAAGUUAUUGAGACUGCUAAAGCAUCGGCUCUGAUUAAUUUAACUCCUCCGCUAGGCCAAAAUCAAGACGCUGAUGAAGGGGUAGAAAAAAUCGAGCCAAUUCCGUCUAUCCGUGCCUCUCAAUUGUCACUACAGGUGAAAUCUUCGUUCGAAAAGUCCUCUAGUCUUCAGCAGCACAAAACUCCGUCCAGUCCUGGACCUCUGAGACUCGAGAAUACCAUGUCAAAGCAACCCAGUAAUGUAAAGUUUUCACACAAUAUUUAUUUCGUAAGAUUUAAUAAUGUGGUUAUGUAUUAUAGGAAAAGGGUGUUCCGAACUCUCAUGCUGUGCUCUAGUAUUUAUCUUACUGGACUUAUGUCAUUGGCGUACCUUACUCUUCCUUUCAUUUGCCAGAUAAAUGAGAUGGCCAGAGAAAUGGAUGCGCUUUUACAGUCCAUUGAAGGACCAGGUGGUUUCAAGGAUUGUUGCACCUCAUUACUCAAAAGUCAUAUUGAAGAAUUGGAGCAAGGACUUCAAAGUCUUGCUGGCAAGUGCCAAACGUGGAAGGUGUCUUUAAAAGUUCAUUAUUGUUUCGUAUUAACUUUCGAUUAACUUUUUAAUAUUUGAUCAAACCACCCUCCUGCAAUAUACAAAUACUGUCAUUGAUCCUGGCCUUCUUUGUAUUGUUAACUAAUAUGGUUUGAUGGUCUUCAGAGCAUAACUCACGAGCAGCAAGCAGAGAUCCAACAUCUUCUGGACAAAACAAUUCAAGGUGAUCUAUCUAUUUUAUCAUCCCAGUAUGUAGCGCGAAAAAAAUUUGAUAGCGGGUUAUUGUUUCUUUCUGAAAAGGUGUCUUAUCAUGCAAUAGGCGAACUAGGAAUAUAGUGAAUGUACAUUGCUUCUAAGCACUAUCAGUGAUGUCUAGAAAGGAUUGACUAAAGAGGCAAGUUGAACUCUUAUCCUAUCUCAUUUUCUGCCCCACCAGACUUCAAAUCUCAACUUAAUCGAGAAGUGGGGAACAAAUCAGGAUAAAAUCAUAUUUAUAUAUGAUGUAUCCUUUUACGGGGAUACGUGGUGAUAAGUACAUUAUUCUCACAUAUGUUAAGUACAUUAUUCUCACAUAUGUUAAGUACAUUAUUCUCACAUAUGUUAAGUACAUUAUUCUCACAUAUAAUAUUAGCAUAAGCUUGCGCUUUAAAUGAGGUCAUUUUUACAUAUGUUGCUCUGGAAGUCCCUAGGAAUUUUGUUCUUUUGUCUCUAGAUAUAUUUAAUACCGUUUCAUAUUUUACACUGGAAUUUAGGCUGCAAAUUAUCAGGCUGUUAUUUGUUGUCUUAUUAUUCUUUCAUGUGGGGAUUUCAGUUUUGGCCAAAAAGACAUACAUGGAAGGGUUGUAUAAGCAAACUUCUGAUAACCAGUACUGGCAACUUUGGAACCGCCGGAGGUUGAAUCCUGAGCUUGAGGCCAAGCGGCAGCAUAUUGUGAAACUAAACAAGGUUGUUUAUGGGUUGAUAUAUCUCACUCAUUUAUCUGUUACUGCCCUCUAAGCUUGCUUUUUAAUUUAUCCACUACUUUUCCCGUUCAGGAUUUGACUCAUCAACUGAUUGAAUUAGAGAGAUAUUUUAAUCGGCUUGAACUCGAUCGCUACCAAGAGGAUGGAGGACUUUCUGUGGCCCGGAGAGGUUUGCCAAAUAGGUCUGCCCCUUCAAGGUAUAUUUUGUGGUUAGUUGUGAAAUUUAAAUAAAAACCCAUCAUUAUAAAUUGGUUAAGUUGGCCAUAAACUCCCCAUUUCCACCACUGAAAUUGGGUUGAUUCUCUCUGCAGACGUGUGCAAUUCCUUCAUAGCCUUCAUAACACAAUGAGUUCCCAAUUGGCAGCUGCUGAGCAACUCUCUGACUGUCUCUCAAAACAAAUGACAUUUCUGAAAAUCGAUUCACCUGUCAAAAAAAAUGUGAAGCAGGAGUUGUUUGAGACAAUUGGGAUCCCUUAUGAUGCUUCUUUCAGCUCGCCAGAUGCUGUAAAAGCUAACAAUGCAUCUUCAGCGAAAAAUCUAUUACUCUCUUCUAUUCCUGCAAGUAUAAAUGCACAGUCCAGACAACGUCAGUCAUCUGGUAUGAAAAGUUCUGACCCUGAAACGGCUAGGAGGAGGAGAGAAUCAUUAGACAGGGUAAUUUCAUGGGAAAUCUUUGACUCAGUACUAGACCACACAAUAUAUGUAAUUUAUGGUGUAUCCUCACGCUUUGCUCUACUUUUUGCAGAAUUGGGCUGCUUUUGAGCCUCCAAAAACAACUGUCAAAAGGAUGCUUCUGCAGGAGCAACAGAAGACGGGUAUGAACCAACAGACUGUGUCGAAUGAGAGAAUACGGUCAACGAUUAAUACACAGGAGCAAUCACUGCUUCGCCUGAAGGAUCAUGCAUCACCUGUAGUCUCCUCGAAUAAGGGUGAGCUAAGAUUUACUGUGUAGUGCAAUAAUUUGAUUUUACAGUGUUUCAUUAGUAUUCUUUAUCGUUUCUCUGGUUUGACUGUACAAAAUAGGAAAAAUGGAAUUAUUCCAACAAGACACAUCUGAAGCGCAAUCAACCCCGUUCAGAUCAAGGCCACCUAUGCCACAAUCUAACAGUCCCUUUACCUUCUCUCCAAUAUCUGCGUCGAAGGCAAGUUUCGAUUGGUCUGGAAAUAUGUCGAACAAUAAAGCUUCUUAUGCUGAGGAAUCAGCCCCGUCGCAGAGUAAGGAUCCGAAGACAGUUUCACAAUUAGGAGGACCAAAUUUGCUUCUGAAACGACCAGUGGCAUCGACUGUAUUUGAACAGACAGAAAAGAAGGCUGGAGAAGUUAAACUUUCUGAAGGCAAAGCAAAUGUGUUUCCUGAUAGAGCUGCUGGAAAUGUGCAGCGGCUUGGUACCACAUCGUCAAGAUCCGAUUCUGAACCUAGCAAAGGUUUUGGCAUUCAACUGUCGUCGGUGCCUACUGGUGAACCAGCAUCUAGUUUCCCUGUAAAAUCGCUGUUUGAUUUCAAUACCAGUAGCAGUAUCCCUGGUGACAAAGUAACUUUUCCUGCUGCAACGGUGUCAGUUUCAUCUUCACCUUUGUCUAGCACGUCACUUGAUUCCGUUUCCACGUUAUCUACACCAUUAUCACGUCCAGUGCCAUCCUCUACACAAGAUUCAGGUAUAAUUACGUUGACCUCUGUCUGUUUCUUUUGAUUCAACAUAAUUUUAUAGUCAACUAUGGCAACUUUAAUAUCUGGUCAAUGACACCGCUGUUAUCAAUUUCAGUUCCAACAUCUAUUCCCAUCAGCUUAGCAUCAGUCCCUCAAAAGUUUUCAGUCACAUCGACAUCUGCAGUUUCAGGUUCAGCUACGGGGUUCAGUGUUCCAUUUGGUAAAUCGUUGACCAGUGCCAAUUUUGAUCUCAAUCAAGAAGCUACGUCAACACCUUCUCAAUCACCUGGCCCCACAACUGGCUUCUCUUUUAAGUUACCAGCUUUGUCUCCAUCAUCCCCUGAAAUUGUCACAUCUUCAGCUGGCCAAUCUUCAUUUCUUCCACCAACUUCCACAGCAUCACAAGUGUCAUCUAGUCUGGUCUCUGCAACCAGUUCCCUAACAGAUAAUAAUCGUUUGUUUUCAUCAGCCUCCUCAUCGUUGACUGCUCCUGACGCGUCUCAGUCUCCUCAAGUUUCCACCCCGUCUUCUGCUGAGUCCAUUACAGAGCCAGUCUCAGAGCCUAAAAAACCAGAUGCUCAUAGUUCGCCAAUUCCAAGUAUGGGAAGUACUGUAGAUUCUGUAGCAAAUGCGACAAAAGUACAAACUGAGCUGCUGCCAGUGAAAAGUGAGAUUCCAAACCCAGAGACUACAGUAACCCCUGUCAGUUCAUCUGGGUUCCUGUCUGGGUUUUCAUCCGGAGCUCAGUCUAGUCCUUUAAGCAUGGCGCCGCCUUCAUUCAGUUGGCCAGGUAGUUCUCAGCCGCAACAGCUAUCGUCGACACCUGUCUCUUUCCCUGCAUCUUUAUCAACUUCUGCAAGUCCAUUUGGUGAGAAAAAAGACACUGUAGAUACACAAGAAGAUGAAAUGGACGAAGAAGCUUCAGAGGCUAGCCAGACGACUGAACUUAGUAUGGGUGGUUUUGGAGGUUUUGGGCUUGGGUCAACUCCAAACCCGGCUGCUCCCAAAGCAUAUCCAUUUGGGGGUCCCUUUGGUAAUGCUACAACAACAACAAGUAAUCCGUUCAAUAUGGCAGUCCCCAGCGGCGAGCUAUUCCGACCAGCAUCAUUCAAUUUUCAAAAUCCUCAACCAUCUCAACCGGCAGGGUUUGGUGGAUUUUCUACAACACCUUCUCAGACACCACCUACUCAGAGCGGGUUUGGCCAACCGUCACAGAUUGGUGGAGGACAGCAAGCUCUAGGAUCGGUUCUUGGUUCAUUUGGGCAGUCGAGGCAGAUUGGUGCUGGUCUCCCUGGAGCUACGUUUGGUGGUCCAAGUGGAUUUGGUGGCUCUAACCCAGGGAAUGGCCUCCCAAAUGCACCAGCGUCUGGGGGUUUUGCAGCUGCUGGUUCUAGUGCUACUGGUGGCUUUGCGGCCAUGGCUUCAGCUGGUAGGGGAUUCGCUGGAGCUUCUUCUAGUCCAACUGGUGGUUUCGCAGCUUUAGCCUCAGCUAGUGGAGGCUUUGCCGGUGCUGCUCCAGGAGGAGCCGCCAGUGGAUUUGGUGGACUUGGUUCAGGCUCCGGAGGUUUUGGAGGCUUUGCUCCUCCUAGUGGUGGAGGUUUCGUGGGAGCAGCAGGAGGUAAAGCAUCUUAACAUUGAUCUAUACAUACGCAUGCUCAAACAUUUUGACCAUUUUGUCUGUCGUUGACAGGUGGUGGUUUUGGAGGUUUUGGCAGCCAAGGACAAGGCCAAGCCGGUGGUGGUGGGUUCGCAGGCUUUGGUGGCAACCCCGGAGCAACAGGAAAGCCAUCGGAACUCUUCACACAGAUGAGAAAAUGAGACAAUUUGUUCAAAUCAGUAUGCAAAUGCAAGCGAGUCUCUCAUCUUUUACGUAGACCUAAGCUAGCUUGUCUCAAGAAAUUUUGGUCUAGCUCUCAAGUCUCGACUUACAGUCAAGUCGUAUAUUUUUUUCUAUAAAUAUUGUGUGUUUGUCUACUCCUUUUUUUUGUUAAUGUUGAAAUGUAGUUACGUCAUCAACUAACCUUGAAAAUGUUAUAAAUUGCUGACUUAACACUCACGUGGCUCAUGCCUUAAUGGCCAUACAGUUAAAGCUUUUUCAUCAUCUUUUGAAAGCUGGUUUGGCUUCUUUAUUUUUUAUAACAGCAGAAGAGAUAUUUCCCUUUCUUAAUUAUAAAUCCAGAAACUUUCUUGCUAAUUAAAAAGUGAUUUUAAAUCUGGAGAACUAUAAACAAACUGAGGAAGGUAAUAAUAAAAAAAAAAAAAAAAGAGAGAAAGAAGUAGUGGGCCUAGUGGGGAACUGGGAAGGAAAGGAGCAGAGAGGGCGUUAUUCGCAGUCUUUGAUUUUAAUUAAAUUUGGUAAGAGAGAGAUUUAAUUUCUCGGGAGAAUAUAUUUUCUGUUUUCCUCUUCUUCGAUUCGAUGUGAUCCCGCCAAACAAACUCUUUACUCUCUCCUCCUCCUCACGAUAUUCUCCACCGUCGAUUCUUCAGCCCUUCUCUCUCUCUCUCUCCGUUGAUCUGUGCUUUGUCGCCGGAAAAGUUCUCUGAAUUUUCGACAUUAGAAGCUUCUUCGUGAUAUUGUCUUUUAUGAAGGGACAUCGGAGUAGCGACGAGAUUUAUGAUGCUUUGUGGUUCUUUGCGAGAUCGAAUACAGCCUUGGCUUCGCGACUAUGUUAGGCUCCAAUCUCUCGCCGUCAUCCUUAUUUACACUCAGGUUAUCUCCCUCUCUCUCCCCGUGGUUGAUUCAAAUCUGUUUUCGGUCUAGGGUUCAUCGAUUCGAGAAAUUGUGUCAUCGUUGUGAGAAUCGCGUUUUUUUUUUUCUGAAUUGUUGUUGUUUCCGGUGGUUUCAGAUUGGGUGUGCGCUGAUUGGAUCACUAGGAGCAUUAUACAAUGGAGUUUUGCUAAUAAACUUGGCGAUUGCGUUGUUUGCGCUUGUGGCAAUCGAGAGCAAUAGCCAAAGUCUCGGCAGGACCUACGCUGUUCUUCUUUUCUGCGCUAUUCUUCUUGAUGUCUCGUGGUUCAUUCUUUUCACCCAUGAGAUAUGGUAUCGCUCUCAAACUAAAACCUUGUUUGUGAAUCUGAACUAAGCAGCAUUGCUUUUGAGAGAUUUUACACACAUAUUCGACUAAAAAUUGGAUAUCAGUUUCACAACUUUUGUUUAGGCACUCUAUUCAUUUUGAAAUGAUUGAUCAUUAGCAUAUUUCCCUUCCGAUUUCUAAAGCAUUUCGAUAUAAGGAAAUAUUGUUCAUAUGAUGCCCUUUUGAUUGACAAAACAUCUCCUUUGUCGACCCCAGGAGCAUUUCAGCUGAGACGUAUGGAACCUUCUUCAUAUUUUCAGUGAAGCUGACCAUGGCUAUGGAAAUGAUUGGCUUCUUUGUGAGGCUGUCGUCGUCACUCUUAUGGUUUCAGAUUUAUAGGCUGGGGGCUUCUAUUGUGGACAAUUCACUUCCUCGUGAAACAGAUUCAGAUUUACGAAAUAGCUUCUUGAACCCACCAACUCCUGCUAUAGCUAGACAAUGUUCAGGUGCAGAAGAAAUCUUGGGAGGUUCUAUGUACGACCCAGCCUACUACACCUCUCUUUUUGAAGAGGGCCAAACCAAUAUGAAUUCACCCAAGGCAACACAGGUUUUUCUGCUUUCUACUCUCUUCCCCUGUUGACUUGUUUAUGUGCACUCUUUGUAGUCGAGCUUUCCGCUAUUUUUUCUAUUUCGAGUUUUUGUAAUUUAUCUAGUACGGUCUCUCUGACUGUAUUUCUUCCUGCCUGGUUACCUUUAUCAAGCCUCCCAUCUAAGAUGAGUUUCCUGGUUCGCGUUCGAAUCCGUUUGAGCUGUCGUGGAUGCAAUGCAAUAUACCGAAUCUGGGAUAAACUAAUAAGCUAGAUGAUUCUUUAUCUUCUUUUAGCUCUUUGUCCUUAACAAGAUAGGUCUCUGAGUAAUGAUAUUUCCCGUUUUAGGAUGUACGUACACACACUACAUAGUGAUAAUGAUGGGAAGUUUUAUCUAACAGCAGUAAAGAAAGAUGCUACUCAGCCAAUUUAAAGUUUUUCAUCUUUGUGUCCUUUGUAGGUGAAUCAUUAUUUAGCUGGGAACAAUGGAUCACCAUCUGCUGCAGAAGCCUCUCAGAUUAAGUCUCCCACAUCCAGAUCACUACAUGCAAUUGAUGUUAGUCUUUAUUGAUUUGACAUUUUCAUGGUUCUUGGUCGUAUUGCACUAUGUCGUGUUUUUGUUGCGUUUCCUUAUCACCCAUCAGAUAUCAUAAGGAAAUUCUCGUCUCAACUUCUUGUAGGAAGAGAAGGGUUUGAAGCAACCGGGGAUGUCUUCAUUAUGAGAACCCCAUUCAAGAACGGUGGUGCUGUUUUACAUUCUAAACAAGCAACUUGCCUGCUGUGCAUUAGCUAAUGUUUAGGAUAUGAAGCAGACGCAACUAUUAUUGGGCUAGCGAGGGAAUCAUGAAAUCUUCAUGUCCAUACAGAGGGCAGCAAGAUUAUAUACCACCUAUCAGGAGAUGAGAUUCUAUAUGUUAGACGCCAAGUAAGCACCGUUUCUACUUUUGCUUUUUUCAUCAUUUAUUUUGUAUGAAAAUAUUUAUUUUUUCGGGAUCUCUUGUUAGAUUGGAGUCAGAAUCUACUUGAUGCAUCAUGAUUCUUUCCGGGUUUUUUCUUGUGUGUAAAUGGAGAUACUUUUGGUUUUUGUUGCAAUGGAGAUAGUAUAAGAUUCCGGCGUUGAUAUGUUUCGUCUGUUUGUGUUUGAUAUGAAAUUUUAGGGAAAUGAUCUUGAGUUCUGAAAAUAUUGAUAAACUAGCUUGAAUCUUGUGGGUUGCUCAUGCGUUGGUGAGCAUGAAGACUGUAGUGACAUUUUGCAGAGAGAUGAUAUGAGACUUUGAGAGAUUGUUGGACGGUCUGGUUUGGACACGGCUUGAAACCGGUCCAAACGCUCUUUGGACAUGGUUGAUAACGUCAGAAUAAGCGGUUUAGACCCGGUUUGAUACGUUCUACUCGGUUAAUACGGAAGUUGGACACGUCUAAAGGGGGAAAAUCAUAAUCCUUAACUUCGAGUUGGCUCCAACUUCAAUCUAAACCUCCAAUUUUUUUAAUUCCUACUACAAACUCUACUAAUCUCAUUGAUACACCUGAAAGAAAUGACUCAUCGUGUCCGAAUUUGCAGCGUUAGCUUCACUAACGAUUUGUUCAUUUCUCUUAGUUGGCUUUUAGUGAAACAUUAAAAGCCCAUAAAUUAUUAAAAGAGCCCACGAGUAAGUCGAGCUAAAAAGGAUAAAAGCCGAUAAAAUAAAUAAAAAACCCAAAAUCCAUGUGUUGCUGUUUCGAGAAAAGUCCACUGAUAAUUAAUCAGCUGAUUCUAAUUAAAUUAAAAAAAUGGUGUCAAAAUCCGCAAGCUUAUUAAAGACAGAGAGAGACCCAGAAGGAUCUGGAAUCAUCCUUGUUCUUAUUUUCUCACGUCAAUAUUCCUCCUUUCGUAGAUAUACCACAAUCCCACAAAUACAAUCUUUUUUUUUCUAGUUUCAAAGAAGACAGUAUCAGAAAUUUUUCCUUAUCGCUCUACUUUUGUUUGUGCUUAACGGAGAUUAUAUCUGCGGUUGAAGAAGACUCGAAGGUUAACAAAACGUGCUUAAUUUCUGGUAUUUUUUUUUUUUGAGUUAGGUUGUUCUUAUUUUCAUCAUUUACUCGACACGGCUGAUUUAGGCUAGCAAAUGGGUUGUUUCCGAACGCAGAUUCUUCUUUCUUCUUUCGAAAAUUUUUUUUGUUCAGUUUUGAAAAAAAAAUCAUUUCUUUCUUCUUUGAGUCCGAGGACUAUCAUACAUCUAUGAUUAAUGACUUGGUUUCAAAAUAUUGUCACGAUUUCGUCCUUUUUUAUGAAUGUUGUGGUCGUGUUUAAAGACUUGGUUUCAAAACUCCAUUUAGCGAGGAAGAAACAUCAAACCAUAGAUUCAGUGUCGAUAAAAACGCAGUUUUCAACUCACUGAUUCUAGGGUUUGAUGUUUCUUCCUCGCUAUAUUUGGUUUGAAUGAAGUUCCUUAGCCGCCUGAUGAAAAAUUAAGUCUUUUUUGCUGUAUUUGAAGAUUGUUUUGUUAAAGCUGAGUGUUGUUUUUGGCUAUGAACAGGGUUACUACAAGUACAAGGAAUCGGCCAUGGAAGAAGCAAUUGCAUCGAGGUACUGGUGUCACAUGUGCUCUCAAACUGUGAAUCCAGUAAUGGAAGCUGAGAUCAAAUGCCCCUUUUGUCGGAGUGGGUUUAUUGAAGAGAUGCAAGAGGAACAAGAUUCUUCAGAUACCAACGAUCAGAGAGCAAACCAUUCUCUCU
rnacentral:lncRNA from 1 species